rnacentral:lncRNA from 1 species
CUUCAUAUUUACACAGCCAUUGAUCUGUCGUGCAACAAAUUUCAGGGAGAAAUUCCAAAGGUUACCGGAGAGCUUAGAUGGCUUGCAUUGCUCAAUUUAUCUCAUAAUAGUCUAACAGGACCUAUCCCAUCAUUGCUGGGAAAUAUGAAAGAACUCCAAUCUUUAGAUUUGUCCUCAAAUCAACUGACAGGGGCUAUUCCACCUCAGCUAACUGCAUUGACAUUUCUAGAGGUCUUGAACCUCUCGGGAAACCAUCUUAGUGGAGAGAUUCCUCAGAAAGGACAGUUCAGCACAUUCAACAAUGAUUCUUAUCUAGGAAACUCCGCGUUAUGUGGAUCACCUUUGACGAAGAAAUGUGGAAACACUGUAUCACCUCCACAGGAAGUCGGAAAUGGUGAUGAAGAUGAUGCGGGUGAUGAAUGGACAUGGGAAGCAAUCGUGAUGGGAUAUGGAUGUGGACUGAUAUGUGGAUUGUCAUCUGCGUACAUUGUUCUCAAACUAGGAAAGCCUUGGUGGUUUGUGAGAUAUAUCGAAGUACUGCAACAGAAGUUGAUGAAAAGAUAUGCAUGAAGAAAGGUACUGGUAGAUCAAGAUGAAAAGAUAUGAAGAAGUAUUUGGUAUUAUGUAAUAAUCCGUUUGGUCGGGACUCAAAAUGAUUUCUCUUGCUUCAGGGGUAUUAAUAUUAACCUUGCUAUCUUGUUCAAUGUUAAUGCAAAUUAAAAAGAAUAUAAAAGCAAAAAAUUUGCAUCAAACACCUGUUGUACCAACAUGCAUCCAUUAAUUUGCUUUCAUCUAUUAAGUAACAAUUUAAGAGCGCUUCCACUCUGUUUAAGCAUGGAGAUUACACAAAGAAGGCAAGUCCAUGGAUUAACACGUAGUCCACAUCUAUGCUACGAACAAUUCACAUUGAUCUUAUAUCUGUUCAACAGUCUCCCGAAGAUAGGCCAUAAAUGUCAUCUGUGGCUCUUAUGUUUGUCAGUAAAGGAGAAUCUCUGAUGCCUAUAACCUGGUUUUCUUACAAGAUGCCCAGGUUAUCAUGGCCAUGCAGAAAAAUGCCCAAAAAUGAAUAGCUCAGGUCUCCCCAAGCCUUCCAGGACUCAUUCCAAGUCUUCGGAGGACCACUGCCUCCCCCUUUCAAAGAUGUGAUUGUAGCUCGAAAGUGAUAUAAAUUAUUUUCCCCACAUUAAAAAUAAAAAAUCAGAUUAAAUUAAUCAAUAAUAAAUUAAGGAUGAAAUCCAAAUUAAUCCUAAAUUUUGAUAAUAUAUAAAAAUUAUAAUUAUAAAUUAUAUAACCAAAUCAGAAUUGAAUUAACUUACUUGGCACUAGAAUUGCUAAAGACAGUAUAAUAAUUUAAUUGAUGAAAAGUCAAAGUCUUCUAAUAAAUCCAUAAAGAAUAUGAUAAUAUGAAAAUUAUAAUUGAAAAAUCAAAAUCAAUAGUGUAUUGGAAUAGUGUUCACACACUUAUAUAUCAAAAUUUGUGGUCCAAAAACUAUAGCACAAUAUCCUAAAUACAUCACAUUAAAUAAUAGCACAAAAAUAUUCAAUAAAUAAUUGAUUUCAUUCAUAAAUUUGUUAUUUUAAAAACUAAUAAUUUGGUUGAUGUUAACCUAUAUUUUAUAUAUAAUUUCGUCUUAUUUUAUUUUACUAGAAACAAUAUUUUUAUAAUAUUUAUUACAUUAAAUAUAUUAAAAGAUAUAAUUUUAUUAAAAAAAUUGAAUAAAAUUAAAAGGAUAAGUCUCGGCCUCUCCAAGUCUACAAGACUCAUUUCAAGUCCACCGAGGGCCUCAACCAUUGAGAGAUGUGAAAGUAGCUUGAGAGUGAUAUAAAUUAAUUAAAUUAGUUAAUAAUGAAUCAAGACUAAUCAUGAAUUAUGAUAAUAAUUAAAUAAAUUAUAAAAUUAAAUUAUACAAAUAACACUAAACCUUAGUUACUUUAUUGGUAAAAUAAAUAUAAUAUAAUAAUUAAAUUGAUGAAAAAUCAAAAUCAUCUAAUAAAUUCACAAAAAAUAUAUGAUCAUUAGUAUAUUAUAUUAGUAUCCACACACUUAUAUUUCAAAUCUAUCCUCCAAAAUUAUCAUCUCGAUAAACUAGCCGCAUAAAAUAAAAAUUUAACGAUAUUAGAUAUUUAGCUAUUUUCAUUAUAUAAUUUUUCCACACUAAAUAACAAAAUAUCUUUAUCAAAUUAUUAUUUAUGAAUUAAAUAUUCAAGUUAUAAUUCCAGCAUGCAGCGUAUAAAUAGAAGUGUGCAGUAUGAUAUCAGAUUCAUAACCCAGUUGAGGAGAAACAUGGCACACUCUGUAAAGCCUUCUCACCUUCUUCUCUUUGUUUUCUAUCUCUCUUAACUUGAAUACAUUCUUGCAACAACACAAGAGGGAGAAGCUCUUGUGAAAUGGAAGAAUAGCCUAGCCCCUUCUUCUUUUCUCGACUCUUGGUCACUCACCAAUCUCGAUGAUCUUUGUAACUGGACUGGCAUCACUUGUAACUCUGCAGGUUCAGUCUCUCAGAUCAACCUUUUCGAAAAACAACUUGAUGGAAUGCUGUCCGAGUUUGGUUUCACUUCAUUUCCGAAUCUCAACAAUCUCACCCUCGCAUACAACUUCUUCUCGGGUCCGAUACCACCGGCCAUUGAGAAUUUAACACAGCUUCGGUAUCUUGAUUUAAGCUUUAAUUCUCUCCAUGGUCCCAUUCCGUUCCAGGUUAGCCAUCUUCAGAGCUUGCUCAUCUUAAACCUGUCACAGAAUGCAUUGCAAGCUCCAAAUUGGUCCCAUUUCUCUCCCAUGCCUUUUUUGCGCAUCCUCAACCUCAUUAGCAAUCCUCUUGCGUCGAAAUUCCCAAAUUUUAUAUCCAACUCUCAUAGCCUGACUCACCUUAGCCUUAAUUUUAAUGAGUUUACUGGUGAUUUAGUACGUGAAUCAGUAUUUGCCAAUCUGCAUAAUCUUGAAUUGCUCAGUCUCGUUGAAAAUUCUUUUGAGGGGCCAUUUCCGCCGGAUAUAUUCAGGCUUUCCAAAUUAAAACAUCUUCACCUGUCAAGUAACAAAUUUUCAGGUUCAAUUUCCAAUGACAUAAGGUUGCUUUGUGAUCUUGAAUCCCUAUAUUUAGGCAACAAUUCCUUCGAAGGACCCCUUCCAUCAAAUAUAUUCAAGCUUUCAAAAUUAAAAAAUCUUGUUAUUGGGAGUAAUAAGUUUUCGGGUUCUGUUUCCAACGAUAUAGGUUUGCUUUCUGAGCUUGAAAGCCUCUAUCUUGACUCCAAUUUUUUUGAGGGGCCGCUUCCGUCAAAUAUAUUCAAGCUCUCCAAAUUAAGGAUUCUUUCCCUUUGGCAUAAUAACUUUUCAGGUUCUAUUUCUAAGGAUAUAGGUUUGCUUUCUGGACUUGAAACCCUCUUUCUUGACUCUAAUUUUUUUGAGGGUCCGCUUCCCCCGCAUAUAUUUAGGCUCUCCAAAUUAAGAGAUCUGGGUCUCUCAGACAAUAGAAAUUUAUUUGAAGGGAGUAUUCCUAUUGGACUGGGACUCUUGACUAACCUCAGGUACUUAGAUCUAUAUUCCAAUAAUCUCGGUGGUUAUAUUCCAUCUGACAUUGGAAACCUGAAGCUACUAGAAGUUCUUGAUCUCAGUUCUAAUCAAUUGACUGGACCGCUUUUAAAGAUUGUUUCUAAUCUCACAAAUCUUAUGUUUCUUGAUGUAAGACAAAAUAGUCUUAGUGGAAAUAUUCAGAGUGACUUGUGGAAAUAUAACGAUCAUCCAACUUUGGAAUUCAUCAAUUUAAGUGGGAACCAUUUUACGGGUAUAGUUUUUCUCUAUAAAUCUUUUCUUUUGUCAUAUGUAACUAAGCUAGUAAUCUGAUUAAUUGCAGUUUUACCAAAGUUUCAACAAUCUUGACAGGUGAGCUUCCAACAACAAUUUGCAAUGUCACUUCCCUUUCAAUUCUUGAUUUGUCAAAUAAUGGAUUAAGUGGUGCACUUCCAAACUGUUUCGGGAAUCUUGCAGAUAGAUUGCUUUUCAUUAAUCUUGCUAAUAAUCAGUUUCGAGGAACAAUACCAACUACUUUAUCCAAAAGUUGUCAGCUGACAUGUCUAAACAUGGAUAAUAAUGAGUUUGAAGGAUUGUUACCCCCAUCUUUGGCGAACUGUAAGCACUUGAGAAUUCUUGAUAUUGGCAACAAUAAAAUAGGUGGCACAUUUCCGUCAUUGCUUUAUGUACUUGGAGAGCUAGAAGUCCUUGUCUUGCGAUCAAAUAAACUCUGCGGUACAAUAAGUGCAAGGAGCAUAGAAGAUCCCUUCCCCAAGUUGCGGAUUGUGGAUCUGUCCAACAAUCAGUUCACAGGCCAUUUGCCAAUUCAAUACUUCAAGAAUAUGAAAUCAACUGAUAAUUUGUAUUGGUAUCGUAUUUCCACAGGAGAAUUAUUUUUCCAAUAUGAAGCAGCAGUCUCAUUAACUGUGAAGGGAAGAGAGUAUGAAGUAGCAAAUAACCUUCAUAUUUACACAGCCAUUGAUCUGUCGUGCAACAAAUUUCAGGGAGAAAUUCCAACGGUUACUGGAGAGCUUAGAUGGCUUGCAUUGCUCAAUUUAUCUCAUAAUAGUCUAACAGGACCUAUCCCAUCAUUGCUGAGAAAUAUGAAAGAACUCCAAUCUUUAGAUUUGUCCUCGAAUCAACUGACAGGGGCUAUUCCACCUCAGUUAUCUGCAUUGACAUUUCUAGAGGUCUUGAACCUCUCGAAAAACCAUCUUAGUGGAGAGAUUCCUCAGAAAGGACAGUUCAGCACAUUCAACAAUGAUUCUUAUCUAGGAAACUCCGCGUUAUGUGGAUCACCUUUGACGAAGAAAUGUGCAAACACAGCAUCACCUCCACAAGAAGUCGGAAAUGGUGAUGAAGAUGAUGCUGGAGAUGAAUUGACAUGGGAAGCAAUCGUGAUGGGAUAUGGAUGUGGACUGAUAUGUGGUUUGUGAGAUAUAUCGAAGUACUGCAACAGAAGUUGAUGAAAAGAUAUGCAUGAAGAAUGAUACUGGCCGAUCAAGACGAACUUGAAAGUUUGUUGUCCUUGUGGACAUUUCAGCUGAACCAGUAGUGUACUAUUCUCUUUGUGACUGCAUAAGUAUUUUGUAUUGUGUAAUGUUCUGUUUGGGCUUAAAUCAUAAUGAUUUUUCUUGCUUCAGGGGUAUUAAUAUAAAACCGUUUGGUCGGGACUCAUAAUGAUUUCUCUUGCUUCAGGGGUAUUAAUAUCAUCCUUGCUAUCUUGAACAAUGAUAAUGCAAAUUAAAAAGAAUGAAAAAACAAAAAUAUUGCAUCAAACACCUGUUGUACCAAGAUCCAUUAAUUUGCUUUCAUCUCUUACGCAACAAUUUAACAGCACUUCCACACUGUUUGAAAGAUUAUCAUAAAUUCGAGUUUUCCUCUCCAGCACCAAAUCCAAAUUAAUAUACAAUGCCACACAUUCCAGUCUCAGCUUCAGCUCCCAGGGUAGCAUUCAUUUAGCCAAGCACGACAGUGGCCGCUUACGUGCCUAACAAUAACAGUUGGGGAUUUGAGUGAACUUGCCUUGGUCCUGCCUUCAAAUGUCUGACAAUAACAGUUGGAUAUGUCGACAAAAAAAUUGUUCCUCACAGAGGAGCUAAUAGCAAUUGACUUCGAAUAAAUCCGACAGUUCUUUUCAUCCAGUUAUUAUUUCAGCAAUAUGUCUAGCAAAUAUGUAGUGCACUGGACACCAUACUACCAACACAAGUAGUAAAAGGAGAGACCAUUGUUUCGAAUGCUCGGAAAUUUGAACAGGGUUUUUUCCACCUGCCCCCUGACUUUUUACACAAACAGGUCAAGAAAAACAGAAGCCGGCUUCUGGAAAAAUGAAGCACUACUUUAUGAGUGACCAUUGUUUUGAAUGCUCGGAGAUGUGAAGUGGAUUUUUUCAGCCUGCCCCCAGACUUCUUUUUGUAAAACUAGAUUUCUUUAGCUCCGGUGUCUUAGUAUUGGAGAUUAUGAGUGACUGUAGAAAAGACUUUAAUAUGAGUGUGAGAUAUACCCCGGUGGAAACAGGACCUUGAUCCAAAGGGUCACGGGUUCAAACCUCACCUGAUCGGGUUCCACUCCACGCUCGGUCCACAUCUAUGCUGGAUUCAUAUUAAAAUGAUAAUGGAACACGGGCGUCCAUGGUUGGGGAUAUCAUAUUAAAAAGAUUAGCUGGGCACAGAUGAAUAUUUAUAUGGAUUUUAAAAACAAACUAUGACUUAAUAUAAGAAAAAUCAUUAUUUUUUAUUUUUCCGACUAAACAUUUGUUAGCCUUCUCUGGUGCCCAUCCAAAUCAUUCAGCGGGUUCUACUUUCAGCUCAUCACAAGAACAUCAUUCUGCAGGUACUUUCUUAUAUUGUUUGCCAGCGGUGACCGAGCCAGAAACUUUUUCGAGGAGGGGCCGGAAUAGAAAUAUUAUUUAAAUUUGAAAAUAUUAUAUAUCAUAUUGAAAAUAGUAUUAGUAACAAAAAUCCAUUUAUUUUAGGUUUCUAUGAGAAAACUCAGUCGUUUCAUUAAGAAAAUUUAAUUACUUAAUUACCAAACGGUUGAGGAUGAAGAUUUGAAAGAACGAGUUGCAACGGGGAGACUCAUAGACGCGACAGAAAAAAAUAGAAAAAGAUAUUGUUCAACAACCGAGUCUAUAUUAUUAAAAUUUAUGAUAAAUGAGAUAAUUUUAUUUUAUAAACUAACUAAAUACAUAUAAUAUAGUAUUAUAUGUAAUGCUACGUAAAAUUGGAUACAAGAUUUUGCACAAAAUGAUAUGAUAACUAAAGUGAAAUAUUUUAAUUGGUGCUAUUAAUGUAUAUAUACAUUUAUUACAAUUAAAACUUAACACAUAUUAUUAAUUUUGUGAAUAAAAUAUUUUUCUUAAUAAUAUAUAAGUAAAAAAAAUAAAAAUCUAGGAGGGGCUCAGGCCCCCUCUGGACCCCUCUAGCUCCGUCUGUAUACACCUAUCAUAUUAUUGACAGGUGGCUCUCUCAUAUUGCUCACAGGCGAACUCCUGCAUAUACUUUGUGAACCAAUCAUGACAAAAAUAUCAUCAUCCAAUCAAUUCGAUUAAUUAUUCUUUAAAUCAGUACAAAUAUUGUUAAAUAUAUGGAUGAUUAUCGUGUUUCCGCGAACCAAUCAUGAAAUGAAAUUACCUCUGUAUAAAUCCAUCGGAAAUAAGACAAUUAAUGGGGCCGUUUGGGCAAGCUUAAAAGAAGUGACUUCUUGCUUAAACUAGAGAAGUGGAGCAGAAGUGAGAAGUAAAUAAGUUAUUAAAGUGUUUGGAAAAGAAGCAGAAGCUGUGAGACAAAAGCUAGCAUUCUCAGCUUUUUAAAAGUGACUUCUUUACACAAACGGGUAAAAAAAGCAGAAGCCAGAAGCAGCUUCUGCUUCCGUUAAACAAACAGGCCCAAUAUCUCAAUCGAAUACACCCCGUGAGUUGUCAAACUCCUCGAAACGUAUUAAUCACUUUAGAAAUUUGUUCCACUGGCGCCAUUCAGUUCCAGAGUUGGUGGUAGGGGCCGUGCUUCUUGUGUUUCUUCUUUUCAUUAUUGACAUUGUCAUCUAGGUCCUUGCUUCUGGGCUUUGGAGAAGUAAACAAUGGAUCUAUUAGUCUUCCAUAUCGCUGAUACGCGCUAACGCGCAUUAUAGUGGAUUGAUCUUUAUUAGUGAUUUCUGUGGAGAUGCAUAAUCAUUAUAAGCUCCAAUAUAAAAUAAACCUAAUUUAAAGUUAGUAUGGGCAUUUGUGUUGAUAAUUUACGCAAUGUUAACAGGGAUUGCUCCCAAGUCUUGGACGGAUUCUUUCCAAGUCUUCUGAGGACCUAUUUGCACACUAAUUUGUCGCCAACUAAAAAUUCAACGAUAUUGCUAGCUCCCUCUACUAAUUUUUUGCGGGACGUUUUUUACUUUUAACACAUAUCUUUAGAUAGAAUUAGUAUUGUAAAAAGCGGGAAUCAGACUUAAUCGGUGAAGUCACAGAACAACGAUUAAUCGAUGAUUAAUUGGAUUGAUUGGGUAUCAAUCGGAUGAUUAAUGAAAUAAUCGGAUAUUUAAUCCGUUCGACGAGUUACGGAACAGGGAUUAAUCGUGAUUAAUCACCGACUUUUAGAACAGAGGAUAGGAUAAUAAAAUUAUUAUUUUUGAUUAUUUUUUUUGUGAAUAAAAAUUUUGAUUAUAUAUUUUUAUUAAAAAAGAAUUUAAAAUAAUAUUUUUAACUAACCGGUCCAAACAGCUAAAAGUGUGUGCCCAAGCGUCAUAUAAAAACGGAGGGAGCGAGCAUGUGCUGACUAACGGUUCAACUAACAGUUUACAAGUACUCCAUCUGUCCCAUUUAGUCCUAUUUAAUUAUAUACGUUUUUUUUUAACUGUUUGACACGCACUUCAAUGCUCUUCUAAAAUAUGGUUCUAUAACUUAUUUUUAAAAUUUUCUUUUUCUGAAUAAAAAUAUAACAUUCAAACUUUUAUUCAGAAAAAAAUAUCGUAAAAAUAAGUUAUAGAAUUAUAUUUUAUAAGAGCAUUAAAGUCCAUGUCGCGUCCCCGUCUUCUGAUGUAUAAAUUUGCGCAAUGUUAACGGGGAUUGCUCAUUUGCUCUCAAGUCUUGGACGGACCAAGUCUUCUAGGACCCAUCUGCACACUAAUUUGUCUGCCAACUAAAAAAUCAACGAUAUUGCUGCCUCUGCUAUUUUUUACCAGGACGUUUUUUACUUUUAACACAUGUUUAGAUAGGAUAAUAAAUAUUAUUAUUAUUGAUUAAUUUUUUUGUGAAUAAAAAUUUUGAAUAUAUAUUUUUAUCAAAAAAAGAAAAUUUUAAAAAUAAUAUUUUUAAGGGAAAUUAUUAAUGGUACUAUUGUGCUACUGGCUUUUCUAAAUGGUACUAUUUUGGUGUUUUCGACUUACAUGCAUUAUCACUUCCAUUAACGAUACUACCAUUCCGUCCCUCAAAACGUUAAAACCAUUAGUUGACCGUAUUUAUUUUGUAUUUUCCUUGUAAAAAAAACAAAAGAAUACAACUAAUAUUUGUAUUUUUUGUUUGUGUUCAAAUCGUCGAGAUAUGGAAGAGGUUAUCAGAAUUUUAGAAUUGAUUCGAUGUCCUUCAGAAAGUCAGGGGGAAACGGAAUGAGAUACGAGUUUUGAACAAGAAUCCAGUUUAGUUGUUGUUUAUCUUGAAAAACAGAUUUGGAAGUCAUAUAUUUUCAGCCUUUGGCUUCAUGUAUUUCUGUCUCAUCAUUCCCAGAUACUUGCUGAGGUUUAUAGUCACUGUUUAUUAAAUGUUGUCGUACAUUUUCCUGUAUUAUGCACCCAUGUGGCGCCUGUGUUUUGCAUGUCAUGCACAAUUUGCUCAACUACAUACAGGUCACAGGAUGAGUGCAUGUGCCAAAGGGAUUAGUGCAUUGAUCUGUGUAGUGUGAGGACACUGUGAUACAAGGCACAAUUUCUCAGAUUUCUUCUGUCAACACCACUCCCAUCCAUAGCUCCCACCUUUUCUCUCUCAAUCUCAUGUUUCUCUCUUUCUCUCGCAGCUCCGCCGCCACCACUACAUCAGUCUUCAAGAACUCAAGAAAAAAUAUGGAUAUCAGUUAUAUUUUUUGUGUUUUUUAAAGAAGUAUAUGAAAUAAAUAUAGUCAACUAAUGUUUUUAACGUUUUGAUGGACCGAAUGGUAGUAUCAUUAACGGAUCAUAAACUGAGUGGUACCACUUGUAAGUAAAAACCAGUGUUGUAAAAAGCGGGAAUCGGAUUUAAUCGGUGAAGUCACGGAACAAAGAUUAAUCGGAGAUUAAUCGGACUAAUCGGUGAUUAAUCGGAUAUUUAAUCAGUUCGGCGAGCUACGGAACAGGGAUUAAUCGGUCGUGAUUAAUCACCGACUUUUAGAACAGAGGUAAAAACACGAAAUGGUAUUAUUCAUAAAAGCCAAUACCACGAUGGUACCAUUAAUAAUUUCCCUAUUUUUAAUUACCGAGUCCAAAUAUUUAAACGUGUGUGCCCAAAAUUAAAGCCGCAUAUAAAAAAACGGAGGGAGCAUGUACUAACCGUUUCCAUAACAGUUUACAAGUAUAAGUUAUACUCCCUCUCAAUUUUUUUAUUUUUUUAUAUGACGUUUUGAUCUUGGGCACACAUUAUUAAGUGUUUUGACCGGAUAGUUAAAAAUAUUAUUAUUUAAAUUUUCUUUUCUGAAUAAAAAUAUAUAACCAAAAAUUUUAUUCACAAAAAUUUUUAGUGAUUUUUUCGUGAAUACCUAAGGCCAAUUUUUCAAAUAUUUUGUAAAAAUACCAAUUUUUUGAAAAUAUUUGCAAAGAUAAUGUAUUCAACCACAUGCAACCAUACUUAUAACCAGAUGUAACCAUAAUUGCAACCUCUGCGGGACCAAUUAACUGAAUUUGUAUUUGGUUGCACUAGUUAGUAUUUUCUUAAAGUUAGUAUUUUUGUAAAUAUUUUUAAAAAAAAGUAAAAUCGCAAAAAAAAAAAUCGAAAAAAUGGUUUGAUAAAUUUCUAAAUAUUUAAUCACAGAACAAUAACUUUUACAAUCCGAUCAACUCAUUUAAAAAUGUGUGUCAAAAGUAAAAAUGUCAUAUAUAUAUAUAUCAUAUAAAUGUCAUAUAAAUUUAAAACAAAGGGAUNCAUAUAAAUGUCAUAUAAAUUUAAAACAAAGGGAUAUAUAUUUUUUAAUAAAAUAUACUCCCUCUAUCCCAAAUAAGUGUCAGUGACAUUUUGCAAAAAUAGCUUGGGACAAUAGAUUUUUUUGCCACUCAACUUAAUGUGUUUUUAGAAAUUCGCCACCCAACUAAUUUUUUUUUCCUUUUACUCACUAAUGUUAGGUUUGGAUUUUUUUUAGCCACCAACUUAGGUUCGGAUUUGAUUACUAGUAUUAUGAUAAUUUUAUUUAUCACUAAACUUACUGCGUCUUUAGGAAUUAACCACUGAACUAUAAUUUUUUUAUUUUACUCACUAAUGUUAGGUUCAUUUUUUUUGUCACUGAAGUUAGGUUCGGAUUUGAUUAUUAGCAUUAUAUUAAUUAUGUGUAACAUUAUUAAAAUAUAGUGGUCUAUAAUAUUUUGAUGAUUUGGUAUAUGUCUGUAUCUUUAUAUAUAGUACUUUUUAUGUCUCCAAUGUCGUUUAACUUGAGUGGUAAGAAUUUUACACGCAUUUUAUGGCUUUUAAAAGAUGUAGUUUCAUAAAUAAUUUUAUUUUUUUCUUCCGAAUAAAAAUUCAGCGUUUUACACACAAAAAAAUAACAAAAAAAAGUUAUGAAGCUAUGUUUUAUAAGAGUCUUAAAAUACGUGCUAAGCAGUAGAAAAAACUGUAAACUAAUGAGAGGGACAUGUAGUAAUAAUAAUAAAAUGAUGCAUUAUAGAGGACAAUCAUCGAAAAUUAAGUUAACCUCUCUAUUUAUUUAUCUUGAAAAUUGUAGUAAAAUAAAGUUAUUAAAAUUUAUGAAGAUAAAUUUGAGAGAGAUCUUGGACUGAGCUAGUCAAUUGAAACUUUAAUAGCGAAAGAUGAUGCAUCAUAUCAAUCAAUUACACUUUAUCUUCUUAUCAUCAGGGAGGGUGAAUUGUUUGAAGUCAUUGAUUUCAUAUUCAUGAUUUAUUGAAUUUUAGAAUUCUAAUUACGAUUUUUCCUGGUUUUAAUUUUUCAUCGGCUCAUUUUAUAUUAUUUUUGUUAUAUAUAAGGAUAUAAACAUACGACACAUCAUCAAAAUAUUACAUACUAUCACUAUGUAUAAAUGAUGCGACAAAAAUUAUCAUAAUGCUAGUAAUUAAAUCCGAACCUGAGUAGUGGCUAAAAAAAAAUCCAAACCUAAUAUUAAUGGUAAAAGGAAAAAAAAAAUAGUUAGGUGGCAAGUUUCUAAAAACACUAUAAAUUGAGUGGCAAAAAAAAUCUAUUUUCCAAACAUAGCUUGGGGUAAUAACAAAACCUUAAUCAACGCAAGCACAGCAGACCGCAGGCAUAAGGCUUAUAAAUAGAAGUGCAGUAUUGUGUUGAUGGUCAAGUUGAGUGGAAAUAUGGUACACUUUGUAAAGCCUUGUUAUCCUCUUCUCUUUGUUUUCUUUCUCUCAUUACUUCAAUCCAUUCUAACAACACUACCUGAAUCCAGACGAGAGGGAGAAGCUCUUGUGAAAUGGAAGAAUAGCCUAGCCCCGUCUUCUUUUCUCGACUCUUGGUCACUCACUGAUCUCGAUAAUCUUUGUAACUGGACUGGCAUUACUUGUAACUCUGCAGGUUCAGUCUCGGAGAUUAACCUUUGUGAGAAACAACUUGAUGGAAUGCUGUCCGAGUUUGGUUUCACUUCAUUUCCAGAUCUCAACUAUCUCACCCUCGCAGACAACUUCUUCUCGGGUCCGAUACCAUCAGCCAUUGAGAAUCUAACACAGCUUCAAUAUCUUGAUUUAAGCAUGAAUAGUCUCAAUGGUCCCAUUCCUUUCCAGGUUAGCCAUAUUCAGAGCUUGCUCAUCUUAAACCUGUCACACAAUGCAUUGCAAUCUCCAAAUUGGUCCCAUUGCUCUCCCAUGCCUGUCUUGCGCAUCCUCGACCUUAGUUUUAAUAAUCUUGUGUCGAAAUUCCCAGAAUUUAUAUCCAAUUCUCAUAGCCUGACUCACCUUAACCUUUCAGAUAACAAGUUUACUGGUGAUCUUGUGCGUGAAUUUACCAAUCUACAAAAUCUUGAAACCCUCUACCUUCAAGAUAAUUCUUUUGAGGGGCCGUUUCCGCCUGAUAUAGUCCAGCUUUCCAAAUUAAAACGUCUCGCCCUGUUAGGUAACAAAUUUUCAGGUUCAAUUCCCAAUGACAUAAGGUUGCUUUGUGUUCUUGAAUACCUAUAUUUAGGCAACAAUUCCUUUGAAGGACCACUUCCACCAAAUAUAUUCACGCUUUCAAAAUUAAAAUUACUUGUUCUUUGGGGUAAUAAGUUUUCAGGUUCUAUUUCCAAUGAUAUAGGUUUGCUUUCUGAGCUUGAAACCCUCGUUCUUGACUCUAAUUAUUUUGAGGGGCCACUUCCGCCAAAUAUAUUCAAGCUCUCUAAAUUAAAGGUUUUUUCCCUUGUGUACAAUAACUUUUCAGGUUCUGUUUCCAAUGAUAUAGGUUUGCUUUCUGAGCUUGAAUAUCUCCGUAUUGGCUGCAAUUCUUUCGAGGGACCGUUGCCAACAAAUAUAUUCAAGCUUUCCAAAUUAAGUAAACUUGACCUAUCAAAUAAUAGUAAUUUUUUUGAAGGAAGUAUUCUUAUUGGAUUGGGACUCUUGACUAACCUCAGCUACUUAGAUCUAGAUUCCAAUAAUCUCAGUGGCUAUAUUCCAUCUGAGAUUGGAAACCUGAAGCUACUAGUAUUUCUCGAUCUUAGUUCUAAUCAAUUGACUGGAUCGCUUUCAAAGAUCUUUUCUAAUCUCACAAAUCUUAUAUAUCUUCAUGUAUAUGAUAAUAGUCUUAGUGGAAAUAUUCAGAGUGACUUGUGGAAAAACUCUGUAUCCUUGCGUUUCGUUGAUCUUGCAAAUAAUUAUUUGUCUGGAAACAUCCCUAAGGAAUAUAACGAUCAUCCAACUUUGGAAUACAUUAAUUUAAGUUGGAACCAUUUUACAGGUAUAUUUUCUCUAUAUAUCUUUUCCUUUUCUNCUCAUAUGUAACUAAGCUUGAUUAUUGCAAUUUUACCUAAGUUUCAACAAUCUUGACAGGUGAGCUUCCAACAACAAUUUGCAAUGUCACUUCCCUCUCGGUUCUUGUUUUGUCAAAGAAUGGAUUAAGUGGUCCACUUCCAAAUUGUUUCGGAAAUCUUGCUGAUAGAUUGCUUUCCAUUAAUCUUGCUAAUAAUCAGUUCCGAGGAACAAUACCAACUACUUUCUCCAGCAGUUGUCAGCUGACAUAUCUAAACAUGGAUGAUAAUGAGUUUGAAGGAAUGUUGCCUCAAUCUUUGGCGAAAUGUAAGCACUUGAAAAUUCUUGAUAUUGGCAAUAACAAAAUAGGUGGUAUAUUUCCGUCAUGGCUUUAUGUACUUGGAGAGCUAGAAGUCCUUGUCUUGCGAUCAAAUAAACUCUAUGGUACAAUAAGUGGAAGGAGCAUAGAAGAUCCGUUCCCCAAGUUGCGGAUUGUGGAUCUGUCCAACAAUCAAUUCACCGGCCAGUUGCCAAUUCAAUACUUUAAGAAUAUGAAAUCAACUGAUAAUUUGUAUCGUUAUCGGAAUUCCACAGGACCAUUAUCUUUCUCUUAUGAAGCAGCAGUCUCAUUAACUGUGAAGGGAACAGAGUACGAGGUAGCAAAGAACCUUCAUAUUUACACAGCCAUUGACCUGUCAUGCAACAAAUUUCAGGGAGAAAUUCCAAAGGUUACUGGAGAGCUUAGAUGGCUUGCAUUGCUGAAUUUAUCUCAUAAUAGUCUGACAGGACCUAUCCCAUCCUUGCUGAAAAAUAUGAAAGAACUCCAAUCUUUAGAUUUGUCCUCAAAUCAACUGACAGGGGCUAUUCCACCUCAGUUAACUGCAUUGACAUUUCUGGAGGUCUUCAACCUCUCGGGAAACCAUCUUAGUGGAGAGAUUCCUCAGAAAGGACAGUUCAGCACAUUUAACAAUGAUUCUUAUCUAGGAAACUCCGCGUUAUGUGGAUCACCUUUGACAAAGAAAUGUGCAAACACAGCAUCACCUCCACAAGAAGUCGGAAAUGGUGAUGAAGAUGAUGCUGGUGAUGAAUGGACAUGGGAAGCAAUCGUGAUGGGAUAUGGAUGUGGACUGAUAUGUGGAUUGUCAUCUGCGUACAUUGUUCUCAAACUAGGAAAGCCUUGGUGGUUUGUGAGAUAUAUCGAAGUGCUGCAACUGAAGUUGAUGAAAAGAUAUGCUUGAAAAAUGGUACUGGCCGAUCAAGACGAACUUGAAAGUUGUUGUCCUUGUGGACAUUUCUGAACCAGUAGUGUACUAGCUGCAUAAGUAUUUGGUAUUAUGUAAUAAUCCGUUUGGUCAGGACUCAUAAUGAUUUCUCUUGCUUCAGGGGUAUUAAUAUUAACCUUGCUAGUUAAUUCAAAUUAAAACAAAUAUAAAAUCAAAAAAUUUGCAUCAAACACCUGUUAUACCAACAUCCAUUAAUUUGCUUUCAUCUCUUACGUAACAAUUUAACAGCGAUUCCACACUGUUUUAGGCAUGGAGAUUACACAAAGAAGGCAAGUCCAUGGACUAAUAUACGAACAAUUCAUAUUGGUCUUCCAUCUGUUCAACCGUCUCCCGAAGAUAGGCCAAAAAUGUCAUCUGUGGUUCUUAUCUUUGUCAGUAAAGGAGAAUCUCUGAUGCCUAUACAACCUGGUUUUCUUACCGAAAGGAAUGUAGGUGAAACCAGGGGCAUAAAAUGAAUCGGGACUAAAAUCUGCUAAAAUGAUAAUUAUUUACUCAUCAUUCGAGAUUAGUCGGGCUCGAAUGAAGAUUUAUAUGGAUUUUAAGAACAAACUAUGACUAAAUAUGAAAAAAUCAUUAAUUUUUCCGACUCAAUAUUUUUAGCCUCCCCCGGCCCUGGGUGAAACCAUAAGCUUCUCUGGUGCACAUCCAAAUCAUUCAGCUGGUUCUACAUUCAGCUCACCCACAGGAACAUCAUUCUGCAGGUACUCUCUUAUCUGUACUUUCUUAUAUUGUAUGCCAGAAAAUUUAAUAUCGACAAACUGCACAAUACACCUCGAUCUCAUAUUAUUGACAGGUGAGCUCCUCUCAUAAUGCUCACAGGCGAACUCCUGCAUAUAUACUUUGUGAUGUCAUUGAUGAUCGAUAGGCUUGAAAAAAAAUUAUGACAAAGAUUCAUAAAAUAUCUACUUCCAUCCUAAUUCAGUAUUCAAUAUUAUUCAUUCCGUAUCAUCAUCCAAUCAAUUCUAAUAGUUCUUCUUUAAAUCAGUAUAAAUAUUGUUAAAUAUAUUGAUGAUGGUUGUCUUUCCGCGAACCAAUCAUAAAAUUACCUCUGUAUAAAUCCAUCGGAAAUAAGACAGUUAAUAUCCCAAUCGAAUACACCCCUGUCAGUUGUCAAACUCCUCGAAACGUAUUAAUCACUUUAGAAAAUUUGUUCCACUGGCGCUAGUCAGUCCCAGAGUUGGUGGUGGGUGCUUCUGGGCUUUCGAAAAGCACCCAUUUACUCCAUUGUUUAGAGAAGUAAAACCCCACCUUCCGCUCAUUUGAUUGAUCAGCUGAAUUAGGCAGAGUUUACAUGGUCAUGAUCAUAGUCUCCCAUUUCCCAGAUACGCGCAUUAUAGUGGAUUUAUCUUUAUCAGUAAUUUCUGUGGAGAUGCAUAAUCAUUAUAAACUCCAAUAUAAAAAUUUAAAGUUGGUAUGGGCAUUUGUGUUGAUAAUUUGCGCAAUGUUAACAGGAAUUGCUCCCAAGUCUUGGACGGACUCUUUCAAAGUCUUCUGAGGACCCAUCUGCACACUAAUUUGUCUCCCAACUAAAAAAUCAACAAUAUGUUACUCCCUCCGUUUUUCUUAAACGAGGUUAAAAUUUUUGACACAAGAUGGGUUGACAGUAUAAUAAAAAUUUUUGUGAAUAAAAUUUUUUUUAUUUAGAAAGAUAAUCUUGAAAAUAAUAUUAUUAACUAAGUUAAAUCACUUAAAAGUGUAUGUCCAAAAAUUAAAGCGGCAUAUAAAAAAAAGGGAGGGAGCAUGUACUAACUGUUUCCAUAACAGUUUACAAGUAUAAGUUAUACUCCCUCUCUAUUUUUUUAUAUGACGGUUUGAUUUUGGGCACACAUUUUUAAGUGUUUUGACCAGAUAAUUAAAAGGGGUUUUCUCAUAAAUACCUAAGUCUAAAAUUAUUUUUACGAAAAUAUUAUAUCUUUUUUUAAAUAUUUUGCAAAAAUACCAAACUUUGUAAAUAUUUACAAAAAUACGGUAUGCAACCCGUUGCAACCACAUGCAACCUUACUUGCAACCAUAUUUGCAACCCCUGCGGGGUCAAUUAACUGAAAUUGCAUCUGGUUGCGUUUAGUUGCAGACCGUAUUUUUGCAAAUAUUUUCUAAAAAGUUAGUAUAUUUGCAAUUUUUUUAAAAAUAUAAGAAAAUCGCAAAAAUUAUAACAAAGCUUCAAGAUUUUUAACAGGUGAGCUUCCACUAAAAAUUUGCAAAGUCACUUCCCUUUCGCGUCUCAUUAUGUCAGAUAUUGGUCAAGUGGUGCACUUCCACAGUGUUUGGGGAACCUUUCUUUGCUUGGUUUCAAUAAUCUUGCUAAUAAUCAAUUUCAAGGACCAAUACCAACGACUGUCCAAGACUUGUCUGUGCAUAUCUAAACAUCCAUAACAAUCACUUUGAAGGUUUGUUGCUCCAAUCUUUGGCAAACUGUAAACACUUACAAAUUCUUGAUAUUGGAAACAACAAAAUAGGUGGUACAUUUCCGUCAUGGCUAUUUACUGUUGGAGAGCUAGAUGUCCUAGUUAGGACGGUAUUUCGACUAGAGCAAGCCGAGUUUUGAGCGGAGCCCAAUUCGAGCCAAGUUUAAUCGAGUCGAGCCGAGUCAGUUCGUUUGGCUAAUCGAGCCUAAAACUCUGUCCGAACUCGACUCGUUUAAUUUCACGAGUUGAGUCAAGCCAGCUCAUUUAGCUAAACGAGUUGGUUUUAACGAGUUAAACGAGUGAGCUCGUAUAAUUUUAACUUAAUCGAGCCUGGAUCUCUAUCCGAACUAUUGGCUCGUGUAAUUUCGCGAGUCGAAUCGAGCCGGCUCGUUUUAUUAAACAAACCGAAAUUUUUGCCCAAAUUUUGCUCGUUUAACAAGCCGAUCUGAACCUAGUUAAAUGAGUUCGAGCUAGUCGAGCUCGCAGCUUGCGAGCUCGCCGGACAGCUCUAGUACUAGUCUUGCGAUCAAAUAGGUUUCACGGUAUAGAAAGUGGAAGGAACACAAGGCAUCUGUACUUUCUUGUACUGUAUGCCACUUUGACAGUAAAAUUUAUACUCCCUCCGUCCGAAUGAAUUGUAUACAGUUUACUUUUUGGGACGUCCCAUCAAUUGUAUACAUUCCUAAAGUAGUAAACUUUUAUAAUAUAAAACAUCAUUAAACCAACUACUUUCUUCCCCUAUCUCCAUUCUAUAAUAAUAUAAACACUAUUACACCCACUACUUUCCUCCACUAUCUCAAAUUUAUUAUUAAAUAUAAAUGGGUCCCACCACUAUACUCACUUUUCAUCCAACUUUACUCAUUUCUAAUAAAAUUUCUUGGUCUCCGUGUCCCAGCCAUUUGUAUACAAAUGACUGGGACGGAGGGAGUAUCAACAAACUGCACGAUUAAAUCCUCGUACAAUUGACAGGUGAACUCCUGCAUAUGUUCUGAACUAUUACGUACUAUAUUAUGCAAGCUGUUUGCAACUUUCAUCAAAAUUUUCAAACAUUUCUUAAUAUGUUUUUUCAAAAAAUUCUCGGGCCCUCUUAAGGCCUAUUAUUAUUGCAACUCUCACGUUAUGGACCACUAUGUAUUUUACAAGCACGACGAAUCAUGUGGUCAUUAUGGACUCCCCAAGCCUUCGAGGACUCACUCCAGGUCUUAGGAGGACCACUGCCUAGCUCACCCUUUCGGAGUGAUGUAAAUUAUUUUCUAGACACUAAAAAUAAGUAUUCAGAUUAAUCAUUACAAAAUUAAGGAUAUAAAAUCAGAAUAAAUCCUAAACUUUGAUGAUACAAAAAAAUUAUAAUUGUAAAUUAUACAAUCAAAUUAAAAUCGAAUUAACUUCCCUCACACUUAAAAUUUAUAGCGAUCAAAUCAAAAUCGAAUUAACUUUCCUAUUACUAAAAUAUAAUUACAAUAUUAUUAGAUAAAGAGAAUAUAUAAUAAUCAAGAGAAAAUAGAUUUUUUUUUGCCACUCAACUUAUCGUGUUUUAAGAAACUUACCACCCAACUAAAUUUUUUUUCCUUUUGCUCACUAAUGUUAGGUUUGGAUUUGUUUUUAGCCACCAACUAAGGUUCGGAUUUGAUUACCAGCAUUAUGAUAAUUUUUUUUGUCACUAAACUUAUUGCGUCUUUAGAAACUAACCACUCAACUAAAUUUUUUUUUAUUUUACUCACUAAUGUUAGGUUCAGUUUUUUUUUGUCACUGAAGUUAGGUUCGGAUUUGAUUAUUAGCAUUACAUUAAUUCUGUGUAGCAUUUUUAAAAUAUGGUAGUACUCUGUGAUAUUUAGAUGAUUUGAUAUAUGUCUGUAUUUUUAUAUAUAGUAUAUUUUAUGUCUCCAAGAUCAUUUACCUUGGGUCAUAAGAAUUUUACACGCAUUAUAUGACUUUUAAAAGAUGUAGUGUCAUAAAUAAUUUUAUUUUUUUUUCCGAAUUAAAAUUCAGCAUUUGAAUUUUACACACACAAAAAUCGCAAGAAUAAGUUAUGAAAUUAUGCUUUAUAAGAGUCUUAAAAUACGUGCUAAACGGUAGAAAAAACGGUGAAAUAAUGAGAGGUACAUAGGAGUAAUAAUAACAUAAAAUGAUGCACAAGUUAGUAUAUUGGACUAAUAUUCACGCAUUUAUAUACGAGAAUAUAUGGUCCACAAGUUAGUGCACAAUGUCCAAGAAUCUUUAUCAAAGUAACACGGCAAGCAUGCAGCAUAUAAAUAAGAGUGGGCAGUAUGGUAUUGCAUUCAUAACCCACUUGAGGAGAAAUAUGGCACACUUCCUAAAGCCUUCUCACCUUCUUCUCUUUGUUUUCUCUCUCUCGUUACUUCAAUCCAUUCUACCAACAAGACCAGAGGGAGAAGCUCUUGUGAAAUGGAAGAAUAGCCUAGCCCCUUCUUCUUUUCUCGAUUCUUGGUCACUCACCAAUCUCGAUGAUCUUUGUAACUGGACUGGCAUUACUUGUAACUCUGCAGGUUCAGUCUCUGAGAUUAACCUUUAUGAGAAACAACUUGAUGGAAUGCUGUCCGAGUUUGGCUUCACUUCAUUUCCGAAUCUCAACAAUCUCACCCUCGCAUACAACUUCUUCUCGGGUCCAAUUCCACCAGCCAUUGAGAAUUUAACACAGCUUCAAUAUCUUGAUUUAAGCAUCAAUAGUCUCGAUGGUCCCAUUCCGUUCCAGGUUAGCCAUCUUCAGAGGUUGCUCGUCUUAAACCUGUCACAGAAUGCAUUGCAAGCUCCAAAUUGGUCCAAAUUCUCCCCCAUGCCCUUUUUGUGCAUCCUCAACCUCAGUAGCAAUCCUCUUGCGUCGACAUUCCCAAAUUUCAUAUCCAAUUCUCAUGGCCUGACUCACCUCAGCCUUGAUCAAAACGAGUUUACAGGUGAUUUAGCGCGUGAAUCAAUAUUUGCCAAUCUGCAUAAUCUUGAAGUCCUCAGUCUUGUUGGCAAUUCUUUUGAGGGGGCCAUUUCCGCCAAAUAUAUUCAAGCUUUCCAAAUUAAAACAUCUUAGCCUGUCAGAUAACAAACUUUCAGGUUCAAUUCCCAAUGACAUAAGGUUGCUUUGUGAUCUUGAAUACCUAUAUUUAGGCAACAAUUCCUUUGAAGGACCGCUUCCACCAAAUAUAUUCAAGCUUUCAAAAUUAAAACAUCUUAUUCUUUGGGGUAAUAAGUUUUCAGGUUCUGUUUCCAACGAUAUAGGUUUGCUUUCUGAGCUUGAAAGCCUCUAUCUUGACUCCAAUUUUUUUGAGGGGCCGCUUCCGCCAAAUUUAUUCAAGCUCUCCAAACUAAAGAUUCUUUUCCUUUAUGAGAAUAACUUUUCAGGUUUUAUUUCUAAGGAUAUAGGUUUGCUUUUUGAACUUGAAACCCUCUAUCUUGACUCUAAUUUUUUUGAGGGGCCGCUUCCCCCACAUGUAUUUAGGCUCUCCAAAUUAAGAGAUCUGGGUCUCUCAGACAAUAGAAAUUUAUUUGAAGGAAGUAUUCCUAUUGGACUGGGACUCUUGACUAACCUCAGAUACUUGCGUCUAUCUUCCAAUAAUCUCGGUGGCUAUAUUCCAUCUGACAUUGGAAACCUGAAGCAACUAGAACUUCUUGAUCUCGGUUCUAAUCAAUUGACUGGACCGCUUUCAAAGAUCGUUUCUAAUCUCACAAAUCUUAUAUAUCUUGAUGUGAGUUAUAAUAGUCUUAGUGGAAAUAUUCAGAGUGACUGGUGGAAAAACUCUGUAUCCUUACGUUACAUUGAUUUUGAAAAUAAUUAUUUGUCUGGGAACAUUCCUAAGGAAUAUAACGAUCAUCCAACUUUGGAAUACAUCAAUUUAGGUGGGAACCAUUUUACAGGUAUAUUUUCUCUAUAUAUCUUUUCCUUUUGUCAUAUGUAAAUAAGCUAGUAAUCUGGUUAUUGUAGUUUUACCAAAGUUUCAACAAUCUUGACAGGUGAGCUUCCAACAACAAUUUGCAAUGCCACUUCCCUUUCGGUUCUUGUUUUGUCAAAUAAUGGAUUAAGUGGUGCACUUCCAAAAUGUUUCGGGAAUCUUGCUGAUGGAUUGCUUUACAUUAAUCUUGCUAAUAAUCAGUUUCGAGGAACAAUACCAACUACUUUCUCCAGGAGUUGUCGGUUGACAUAUCUAAACAUGGAUAAUAAUGAGUUUGAAGGAUUGUUGCCCCCAUCUUUGGCGAACUGUAAGCACUUGAAAAUUCUUGAUAUAGGCAAUAAUAAAAUAGGUGGUACAUUUCCGUCAUGGCUUUAUGCACUUGGAGAGCUAGAAGUUCUUGUCUUGCGAUCAAAUAAACUCUAUGGUACGAUAAGUGGAAGGAGCAUAGAAGAUCCCUUCCCAAAGUUGCGGAUUGUGGAUCUGUCCCACAAUCAAUUGACAGGCUAUUUGCCAAUUCAAUACUUUAAGAAUAUGAAAUCAACUGAUGAUUUGUAUAGUUUCCGGAAUUCCACAGGAACCGCAUCUAUCUCUUAUGAAGCAUCGGUCUCAUUAACCGUGAAGGGAACAGAGUAUGAAGUAGCAAAUAACCUUCAUAUUUACACAGCCAUUGAUCUAUCGUGCAACAAAUUUCAGGGACAAAUUCCAAAGGUUACUGGAGAGCUUAAAUGGCUGGCAUUGCUCAACUUAUCUCAUAAUAGUCUAACAGGACCUAUCCCGUCAUUGCUGAGAAAUAUGAAAGAACUCCAGUCUUUAGAUUUGUCUUCAAAUCAACUAACAGGGGCUAUUCCACCUCAGUUAACUGCACUGACAUUUCUAGAGGUCUUGAACUUCUCGGGAAACCAUCUUAGUGGAGAGAUUCCUCAGAAAGGACAGUUCAGCACAUUCAACAAUGAUUCCUAUCUAGGAAACUCUGCGUUAUGUGGAUCACCUUUGACGAAGAAAUGUGUAAACACUGUAUCACCUCCUCAGGAAGUCGAAAAUGGUGAUGAAGAUGAUGCUGGUGAUGAAUUGACAUGGGAAGCAAUCGUGAUGGGAUAUGGAUGUGGACUGAUAUGUGGAUUGUCAUCUGCGUACAUUGUUCUCAAACUAGGAAAGCCUUGGUGGUUUGUGAGAUAUAUCGAAGUACUGCAACUGAAGUUGAUGAAAAGAUAUGCAUGAAGAAAGGUACUGGUAGAUCAAGAUGAACUUGAAAGUUGUUGUCCUGGUAGACAUUUCUGAACCAGUAGUAUACUAGCUGUGUAAGUAUUUGGUAUUAUGUAAUAAUCCGUUUGGUCGGGACUCAAAAUGAUUUCUCUUGCUUCAGGGGUAUUAAUAUUAACCUUGCUAUCUUGAUCAAUGUUAAUGCAAAUUAAAAAGAAUAUAAAAGCAAAAAAUUUGCAUCAAACACCUGUUGUACCACAGGCUUCCGACUCAAUAUUUGUUAGCCUCCCGUGCCCUGUGUGAAACCAUAAGCUUCUCUGGUGAAUAUCCAAAUCAUUCAGCUGGUUCUACUUUCAGCUCACCGCAGGAACAUCAUUCUGCAGGUACUCUCUUAUCUGUACUUUCUUAUAUUGUAUGCCAGAAAAUUUAAUAUCGACAAACUGCACAAUACACCUCGAUCUCAUAUUAUUGACAGGUGAGCUCCUCUCAUAAUGCUCACAGGCGAACUCCUGCAUAUACUUUGUGAUGUCAUUGAUGAUCGAUAGACUUGAAAAAAAAUUAUGACAAAGAUUCAUAAAAUAUCUACUUCCAUCCUAAUUCAGUAUUCAAUAUUAUGCAUUCCGUAUCAUCAUCCAAUCAAUUCUAAUAGUUCUUCUUUAAAUCAGGACAAAUAUUGUUAAAUACAUGGAUGAUGGUUGUCUUUCCGCGAACCAAUCAUGAAAUUACCUCUGUUUAAAUCCGUCGAAAAUAAGAAAAUUAAUAUCCCAAUCGAAUACACCCCGUGAGUUGUCAAACUCCUCGAAACAUAUUAAUCACUUUAGAAAAUUUCAACAAUCUUGACAGGUGAGCUUCCAACAACAAUUUGCAAUGUCACCUCCCUUUCGGUUCUUGUUUUGUCAAAUAAUAAAUUAAGUGGUGCACUUCCAAACUGUUUCGGGAAUCUUGCUGAUGGAUUGCUUUACAUUAAUCUUGCUAAUAAUCAGUUUCAAGGAACAAUACCAACUACUUUCUCCAGGAGUUGUCCGUUGACAUAUCUAAACAUGGAUAAUAAUGAGUUUGAAGGAUUGAUGCCCCCAUCUUUGGCGAACUGUAAGCACUUGAAAAUUCUUGAUAUAGGCAAUAAUAAAAUAGGUGGUACAUUUCCGUCAUGGAUUUAUGCACUUGGAGAGCUAGAAGUUCUUGUCUUGCGAUCAAAUAAACUCUAUGGUACAAUAAGUGGAAGGAGCAUAGAAGAUCCCUUCCCCAAGUUGCGGAUUGUGGAUCUGUCCAACAAUCAAUUCACAGGCCAUUUGCCAAUUCAAUACUUUAAGAAUAUGAAAUCAAAUGAUAAUUUGUAUCGUUAUCUGAAUUCCACAGGAGAAAUAUAUAUCUCUUAUGAAGCAGCAGUCUCAUUAACUGCGAAGGGAACAGAGUAUGAAGUAGCAAAUAACCUUCAUAUUUACACAGCCAUUGAUCUGUCGUGCAACAAAUUUCAGGGAGAAAUUCCAAAGGUUACCGGAGAGCUUAGAUAGCUUGCAUUGCUCAAUUUAUCGCAUAAUAGUCUAACGGGACCUAUCCCAUCAUUGCUGAGAAAUAUGAAAGAACUCCAAUCUUUAGAUUUGUCCUCAAAUCAACUGACAGGGGCCAUUCCACCUCAGUUAACUGCAUUGACAUUUCUAAAGGUCUUAAAUCUCUCGAAAAACCAUCUCAGUGGAGAGAUUCCUCAGGAAGGACAGUUCAGCACAUUCAACAAUGAUUCUUAUCUAGGAAACUCCGCGUUAUGUGGAUUACGUCUGACAAAGAAAUGUGCAAACACAGCAUCACCACCACAAGAAGUCGGAAAUGGUGAUGAAGAUGAUGCUGGUGAUGAAUUGACAUGGGAAGCAAUUGUGAUGGGAUAUGGAUGUGGACUGAUAUGUGGAUUAUCAUCUGCGUACCUUGUUUUCAAACUAGGAAAGCCUUGGUGGUUUGUGAGAUAUAUCGAAGUACUGCAACUGAAGUUGAUGAAAAGAUAUGCAUGAAGAAUGGUACUGGCCGAUCAAGACGAACUUGAAAGUUGGUCCUUGUGGACAUUUCAGCUGAACCAGUAGGUACUAUUCUCUUUGUGACUGCAUAAGUAUUUUGUAUUGUGUAAUGUUCUGUUUGGUCUUAAAUCAUAAUGAUUUUUCUUGCUUCAGGGGUAUUAAUAUAAAACUUGGUAUUGUGUACUAGCUGUAAUAUUCCGUUUAAUCAAUGUUAAUACCUGUAAUUUUAUGCUCCUGACUGCAUCAUGCAGCUCUCAUAUUAUCUUCAUAUGUGUAUUUAUUUGGAUAUUGAAGUUGCAUGGACAUAUGGAUAUGUGUUAACGGGGAUUGCUCCCAAGUCUUGGACGGACUCUUUCCAAGUCUUCCGAGAUCCUAUUGGUUCAAAUUAGUCCAAUUUGAACUGCCAUCAAAUGCAACUCUGUAGAUUCUGUCUCUGAGAUUAACCUUUCAGGACAUCAGCUCAAUGGUACACUUGCUGAAUUCAGUUUCGUUUAAUUUCCGAAUCUACAAAUUAAGCUACAAUAACUUCACUUGUCCAAUACCCCCAGACAUUGGAAAUUUAACAGAGCUGCAACACCUUGAUUUUAGCUCUAAUAAACUCACUGCUGCAAUUCCGGACCAGGUAAGCCAUCUUCAAACAUUGCGGACCUUAAACCUGUAGGAUAAUCAACUUGGAAGCUCCAAACUGGUCCGCUUUUUCCCCUAUGCCUUCUCUGACAAACCUCUGUCUCAAUAAUAAUAAUCUUUCGUCGAAAUUCCAAGACUUCAUAUUAAAUUGUGGUAACCUGACUUACUUUGAUCUUUCAUUAAAUAUGUUAACAGGUAAUUUGGUUCCUUCAUCAAUUUUUAGAAAUUUGUAUAAUCUUGAAUUCCUUUAUCUUUCUAGCAAUUAUUUUGAGGGGCCUUUCCCGCCANNNNNNNNNNNNNNNNNNNNNNNNNNNNNNNNNNNNNNNNNNNNNNNNNNNNNNNNNNNNNNNNNNNNNNNNNNNNNNNNNNNNNNNNNNNNNNNNNNNNNNNNNNNNNNNNNNNNNNNNNNNNNNNNNNNNNNNNNNNNNNNNNNNNNNNNNNNNNNNNNNNNNNNNNUUUCCCUAUCAUAUAAUAGAUUUUCAGGUUCUAUUUCCAUAUGAUAUAGGAAUGCUUCGUGUUUUGGAAUCCCUUUUUUUAGUAGUAGUUCUUUUAAUGGCCCACCUCCACCAAAUUUAUUUAAAUUUUCUAAAUUAAAAGUUUUUUCCCUAUCAUUAAUAACUUUUCGGGUUCUAUUCGAAAUGAAACAGGGAUGCUUCAUGAUUUAGAGUCCCUCUAUCUUAAUGAACAUUCUUUUAAGGGGCCGUUUCCACCAAAUAUAUUCAACCUUUCCAAAUUAAAAGUUCUUAAUUACCUCUCAAAUAAUUCCUUUUCAGGUUCAGUUCCUAGUGAUAUAAGUGUGCUUCGUGAUCUUGAGAUACUUAAUUUGUCCUCUAAUUCUUUUGAAGGAAUUAUCCCAUUGGAGCUUGGGUUCUUGAAUAACGUGAGCUAUUAUUAUAUCUUGAUUCCACUCAAUUGACUGGACCGCUUUUGAAGAACAUUUAUAAUCUCAGUAAUUUUUUGUGUUGGCUUGAAUGGAUCAUUCCAUUCCCUCCAAAACUCAUUCCGUUCAUGUCAACCAAACAGAGCAUCAAUUACUAGUUACUGGGAAAUGCAUUAGCCUAAAUGUUCCUGGUUCAUUGUUACCGGUAUUUCUUAACUGCUGUGAUUGCAAAUUCAGUUGCAGAUUGUUCAUAUAUAUCUAGAGAGACCUGACAUAACUUUAGCCUCUGAUAUACAGCUUCCUUUCACAGUUGUGCCUAUUCACCUAGACGCGUUUUUAACUGCAUAAUGUUGGGUCAACUUCCGACCAUUUAUUUUCUCAUUUGAAAUUAGUGUAUUAAAGUUCGACUUUAAGAAAAUAUAUAGUUUUGUUAAACAAAAAUUCCAAAAGGUUUGGUACGUUUUGAGCUGGGACUUUGAAAUUGUUUGUCGUUAAAGAUGAAGAUUCACUUUUUAAGUUAUAUUAAUCUGUAGUGGUAGACUGGUAGUUUUUCUUUAUUGCUACUUUCCUUGUGCGUUCUUUAUAUUGAUUUAUUAUUUAAUUCGUAAAGUGUUGCGAACUACAUUCCUGCAAAAGUAAAAUCAGUGGAAUUUGUUUGAUAGCAUGAUGAAUAUUUAAAGGGGUUAAUUAUCAAAUUGGUCACUGAAGUGACUUUAAUGUAUCAAGUUGGUCACUGAACUCAAAACGGUAUUAAGAUAGUCACUGAAGUGGACAUAAAUAUCAAACAGGUACCUUGAAAUAUAAGUUCAAGCAGUAAAGAUAUUAUUUAUAAAAUUUUACACAUUAUUUUUAAAUGUUACCACAACCAACUAAAAGGUUAUGACUUCUAGUAUUUAAAUUAAUAUAUUUAUUUUAUCAAGUUUAUUUAUUAUUUAUAUUUUAUUAUAUAGUUAUUUUCUUUGUUUUAAUUAAAAAUAAAUAAUAAAUAAACUUGAUAAUAUCUAAAUAUAUUAUCAUAAAUAUUAGAAUUCAUAACCUUUUACUUGGUCUAGGUAACAUUCAAAAAUAAUGUGUAAAACUUUAUAAAUAAUAUUAUCUUUAUAUUCUUUCCUUUUCUAUGUACCUAUGCUAAUUAUCUGAUUAUUAAAAUUAUAACAAAGCUUCAAGAUUUUUAACAGGUGAGCUUCCACUAAAAAUUUGCAAAGUCACUUCCCUUUCGCGUCUCAUUAUGUCAGAUAUUGGAAACAACAAAUAGGUGGUACAUUUCCGUCAUGGCUAUUUACUGUUGGAGAGCUAGAUGUCCUAGUUAGGGCGGUAAUUCGACUAAAGCAAACCGAGUUUUGAGCGGAGUCAAAUUCGAGCCAAGUUUAAUCGAGUCGAGCCGAGUCGGCUCAUUUAGCUAAUCGAGCCUAAAACUCUGGUCGAACUCGACUCGUUUAAUUUCGCGAGUCAAGUCGACCCAGCUCGUUUAGUUAAAUGAGCUGGUUUUAACGAGUCAAGCGAGUGAGCUCGUAUAAUUUUAACUUAAUCGAGUCUAAAUCUCUACCCGAACUAUUGGCUCGUGUAAUUUCACGAGUAGAAUCGAGCUGGCUCGUUUUAUUAAAGAAGCCGAAAUUUUUGCCCGAAUUUGGCUUGUUUAACAAGCCGAUCUUUCAUCAAAAUUUUCAAACAUUUCUGAAUAUGUAUUUUCAGAGAAUUUCUCCGGCACUCUUAAGGCCUAUAAUUAUUGCAACUCUCACGUUAUGGACCACUAUGUAUUUUACGAGCACGACGAAUCAUGUGGUCAUUAUGGACUCCCCAAGCCUUCGAGGACUCAUUCCAGGUCUUAGGAGGACCACUGCCUAGCUCACCCUCUCGGAGUGAUGUAAAUUAUUUUCCAGACACUAAAAAUAAGUAUUCAGAUUAAUCAUUACAAAAUUAAGGAUAUAAAAUCAGAAUAAAUCCUAAACUUUGAUGAUACAAAAAAAUUAUAAUUGUAAAUUAUACAAUCAAAUUAAAAUCGAAUUAACUUCUCUCACACUUAAAAUUUAUAGCGAUCAAAUCAAAAUCGAAUUAACUUUCCUAUUACUAAAAUUUAAUUACAAUAUUAUUAGAUAAAGAGAAUAUAUAAUAAUCAAGGGAAAAUAGAUUUUUUUUUGCCACUCAACUUAUUGUGUUUUAAGAAAUUUACCACCCAACUAAAUUUUUUUUCCUUUUGCUCACUAAUAUUAGGUUUGGAUUUGUUUUUAGCCACCAACUAAGGUUCGGAUUUGAUUACUAGCAUUAUGAUAAUUUUUUGUCACUAAACUUAUUGCGUCUUUAGAAACUAACCACUCAACUAAUUUUUUUUUUAUUUUACUCACUAAUGUUAGGUUCAGUUUUUUUUUUGUCACUGAAGUUAGGUUCGGAUUUGAUUAUUAGCAUUACAUUAAUUCUGUGUAGCAUUUUUAAAAUAUGGUAGUAGUCUGUGAUAUUUAGAUGAUUUGAUAUAUGUCUGUAUUUAUAUAUAUAGUAUUUUUUAUGUCCCCAAGGUCGUUUACCUUGGGUCAUAAGAAUUUUACACACAUUUUAUGACUUUUAAAAGAUGUAGUUUCAUAAAUAAUUUUAUUUUUUUCUUCCGAAUUAAAAUUCAGCGUUUGAAUUUUACACACAAAAAAAUCGCAAAAAUAAGUUAUGAAACUAUGUUUUAUAAGAGUCUUAAAAUACGUGUUAAACGGUAGAAAAAACUGUAAACUAAUGAAAGGUACAUAGGGAGUAAUAAUAACAUAAAAUGAUGCACAAUCAUCGAAUUAAGUUUUCCUCUCUCUCUAUAUAUUUAUUUUGAAAAUUAUAAUAAGAUAAAGUUAUUAAAAUUUAUGAUAUAAAUUUAAAAGAGAUCUUAGACUGAGUGGCAAAAAUUUAGUUGGAUGGUAAGUUUCUAAAAAUACAAUAAAUUGAGCGGGAACAAAAUCUAUUUUCCCAAUAAUCAAAGUGAUGAAAAAUUAAAGUCAUCUAAUAAGUCCAGAAAAAAUAUGACCAUUAGUAUUUUGGAAUAAUAUUCACGCAUUUAUAUACGAGAAUAUAUGGUCCACAAGUUAGUGCACAAUGUCCAAGAAUCUUUAUCAAAGUAACACGGCAAGCAUGCAGCAUAUAAAUAAGAGUGGGCAGUAUGGUAUUGCAUUCAUAACCCACUUGAGGAGAAAUAUGGCACACUUCCUAAAGCCUUCUCACCUUCUUCUCUUUGUUUUCUCUCUCUCGUUACUUCAAUCCAUUCUACCAACAAGACCAGAGGGAGAAGCUCUUGUGAAAUGGAAGAAUAGCCUAGCCCCUUCUUCUUUUCUCGAUUCUUGGUCACUCACCAAUCUCGAUGAUCUUUGUAACUGGACUGGCAUUACUUGUAACUCUGCAGGUUCAGUCUCUGAGAUUAACCUUUAUGAGAAACAACUUGAUGGAAUGCUGUCCGAGUUUGGCUUCACUUCAUUUCCGAAUCUCAACAAUCUCACCCUCGCAUACAACUUCUUCUCGGGUCCAAUUCCACCAGCCAUUGAGAAUUUAACACAGCUUCAAUAUCUUGAUUUAAGCAUCAAUAGUCUCGAUGGUCCCAUUCCGUUCCAGGUUAGCCAUCUUCAGAGGUUGCUCGUCUUAAACCUGUCACAGAAUGCAUUGCAAGCUCCAAAUUGGUCCAAAUUCUCCCCCAUGCCCUUUUUGUGCAUCCUCAACCUCAGUAGCAAUCCUCUUGCGUCGACAUUCCCAAAUUUCAUAUCCAAUUCUCAUGGCCUGACUCACCUCAGCCUUGAUCAAAACGAGUUUACAGGUGAUUUAGCGCGUGAAUCAAUAUUUGCCAAUCUGCAUAAUCUUGAAGUCCUCAGUCUUGUUGGCAAUUCUUUUGAGGGGGCCAUUUCCGCCAAAUAUAUUCAAGCUUUCCAAAUUAAAACGUCUUACCCUGUCAAGUAACAAAUUUUUAGGAUCAAUUCCCAAUGACAUAAGGUUGCUUUGUGAUCUUGAAUUCCUAUAUUUAGGAAACAAUUCUUUUGAAGGACCGCCUCCACCAAAUAUAUUCAAGCUUUCAAAAUUAAAACAUCUUGUUCUCUGGAGUAAUAAGUUUUCAGGUUCUGUUUCCAAUGAUAUAGGUUUGCUUUCUGCGCUUGAACUUCUGAAUCUUCACUCUAAUUUUUUUGAGGGGCCGCUUCCGCCAAAUGUAUUCAAGCUCUCUAAACUAAGGUUUCUUAACCUCUGGGGUAACAACUUUUCAGGUUCUGUUUCCAAUGAUAUAGGUUUGCUUCCUGAGCUAGAAAUCCUCAAUCUUCACUCUAAUUUUUUUGAGGGGCCGCUUCCGCCAAAUAUAUUCAAGCUCUCUAAACUAAGGUUUCUUAACCUCUGGGGUAACAACUUUUCAGGUUCUGUUUCCAAUGAUAUAGGUUUGCUUCCUGAGCUAGAAAUCCUCAAUCUUCACUCUAAUUUUUUUGAGGGGCCGCUUCCGCCAAAUGUAUUCAAGCUCUCUAAACUAAGGUUUCUUAACCUUUGGGGUAAUAACUUUUCAGGUUCUGUUUCCAAUGAUAUAGGUUUGCUUCCUGAGCUAGAAUUCCUCAAUCUUCACUCUAAUUUUUUUGAGGGGCCGCUUCCGCCAAAUGUAUUCAAGCUCUCUAAACUAAAGUUUCUUCAUCUUCGAGGUAAUAAGUUUUCAGGUUCUGUUUCCAAUGAUAUAGGUUUGCUUCCUGAGCUUGAAAUCCUCAAUCUUCGCUCUAAUUUUUUUGAGGGGCCGCUUCCGCCAAAUGUAUUCAAGCUCUCCAAACUAAGGUUUCUUUCCCUUAAGGAAAAUAAAUUUUCAGGUUCUGUUUCCAAUGAUAUAGGUUUCCUUUCUGAGCUUGAAUACCUAUAUCUUGACUAUAAUUUAUUUGAAGGAAGUAUUCCUAUUGGACUGGGACUCUUGACUAACCUCAGCUACUUAGAUCUAAGUUCCAAUAAUCUCAGUGGCUAUAUUCCAUCUGACAUUGGAAACCUGAAGCUACUAGUAUUUCUUGAUCUCAGUUCUAACCAAUUGACUGGACCGCUUUUAAAGAUCGUUUCUAAUCUCACAAAUCUUAUGAAUCUUGAUGUAAGUGAUAAUAGUCUUAGUGGAAAUAUUCAGAGUGACUUGUGGAAGAACUCUAUAUCCUUACGUUACAUUAAUUUUGCAAAUAAUUAUUUGUCUGGGAACAUUCCUAAGGAAUACAACGAUCAUCCAACUUUGGAAUACAUCAAUUUAAGUGGGAACCAUUUUACAGGUAUAUUUUUCUCUAUAUAUCUUUUCCUUUUCUCAUAUGUAACUAAGCUGGUAAUCUGAUUAUUGCAGUUUUACCAAAGUUUCAACAAUCUUGACAGGUGAGCUUCCAACAACAAUUUGCAAUGUCACUUCCCUUGCGGUUCUUGUUUUGUCAAAUAAUGGAUUAAGUGGAGCACUUCCAAAUUGUUUCGGGAAACUUGCUGAUAGAUUGCUUUCCAUUAAUCUUGCUAAUAAUCAGUUUCGAGGAACAAUACCAACUACUUUCUCCAGGAGUUGUCAGGUGAAAUAUCUAAACAUGGAUAAUAAUGAGUUUGAAAGAUUCUUGCCCCCGUCUUUGGCGAACUGUAAGCACUUGAAAAUUCUUGAUAUUGGCAAUAAUAAAAUAGGUGGUACAUUUCCGUCAUGGCUUUAUGUACUUGGAGAGAUAGAAGUCCUUGUCUUGCGAUCAAAUAAACUCUAUGGUACAAUAAGUGGAAGGAGCGUAAAAGAUCCCUUCCCCAAGUUGCGGAUUGUGGAUCUGUCCAACAAUCAAUUCACUGGUCAUUUGCCAAUUCAAUACUUUAAGAAUAUGAAAUCAACUGAUAAUUUGUAUCGUUAUCAGAAUUCCAAAGGAUAUCUAUCUUUCCAUCAUGAUGCAGCAGUCUCCUUAACUGUGAAGGGAACGGAGUAUGAGGUAGCAAAGAACCUUCAUAUUUACACAGCCAUUGAUCUGUCGUGCAACAAAUUUCAGGGACAAAUUCCAAACGUCACUGGAGAGCUUAGAUGGCUUGCAUUGCUCAAUUUAUCGCAUAAUAGUCUAACAGGACCUAUCCCAUCAUUGCUGAGAAAUAUGAAAGAACUCCAAUCUUUAGAUUUGUCUUCAAAUCAACUGACAGGGGCUAUUCCACCUCAGCUAACUGCAUUGACAUUUCUAGAGGUCUUGAACCUCUCGAAAAACCAUCUUAGUGGAGAGAUUCCUCAGAAAGGACAGUUCAGCACAUUUAACAAUGAUUCUUAUCUAGGAAACUCCGCGUUAUGUGGAUCACCUUUGACGAAGAAAUGUGCAAACACAGCAUCACCUCCACAAGAAGUUGUAAAUGGUGAUGAAGAUGAUGCUGGUGAUGAAAUGACAUGGGAAGCAAUCGUGAUGGGAUAUGGAUGUGGACUGAUAUGUGGAUUGUCAUCUGCGUACAUUGUUCUCAAACUAGGAAAGCCUUGGUGGUUUGUGAGAUAUAUCGAAGUACUGCAACUGAAGUUGAUGAAAAGAUAUGCAUGAAGAAUGGUACUGGCCGAUCAAGACGAACUUGAAAGUUGUUGUCCUUGUGGACAUUUCUGAACCAGUAGUGUACUAGCUACAUAAGUAUUUAGUAUUAUGUAAUAAUCCGUUUGGUCGGGACUCAUAAUGAUUUCUCUUGCUUCAGGGGUAUUAAUAUUAAACUUGCUAUCUUGAUGAAUGUUAAUGUAAAUUAAAAAGAAUAUAAAAUCAAAAAAUUUAAAUCAAACACCUGUUGUACCAAGAUCCAUUAAUUUGCUUUAGUCUCUUACAUAACAAUUUAAUAGCACACUUCCACACUGUUCACACGUGUAAUGUAUAAAAAUUCCAGUCUUCUUCGGAGGCCUACAGCUUCAACAACCUCUCAAAGAUGUAGCAGUUGCUUGACAGUGAUAGAUAUAUAUUAGAUAAACACUAUGCAAUAACCAAAGUGACAGAAAAAUCAAAGUCCGCUAAUAAAUUCAUAAAAAAUAUAAUAAUCAACAACAAGAAUCAUAGUCUUACAAGUUCAUAUAAAAUAUAGGAUCAUUAGUAUUCCACAUGUAUAUUUUCUUCUCUUUCUUUUCGAGUUUUCCUCUCCAGCACCAAAUCCAAAUUAAUAUACAAUGCCACACAUUCCAGUCUCAGCUUCAGCUCCCAGGCUAGCAUUGAUUUAGCCAAGCACGACAGUGGCCGCUCUUGGUCCUGCCUUCAAAUGUCUAACAAUAACAGUUGGAUACGUCGACAAAAAUAUUGUUCCUCAUCAUACUGAGGAGUUAUUGAAUUCGACAGUUUUACACAAAGAAGACAAUUCCAUGGACUAAUCUAUUAGUAACACGUAAGCUAUAAACACGUAGUCCACAUCUAUGCUACGAACAAUUCAUAUUGGUCUUCUAUCUGUGCAACAGUCUCCCGAAGAUAGGCCAAAAAUGUCAUCUGUGGUUCUUAUCUUUGUUAGCAAAGGAGAAUCUCCGAUGCCUAUACAACCUGAUUUUCUUACAGAAAGAAAUGCAAGUGAAACUAGGGUCGGAUACCAUGUUAAAUGAUCAAUUCUCCUAAAACUAGGUUCAGGAUGAUCAUGAUAUAUUCUAACAUCAAGAUUAGCAGGACUAAAAUGAAGAUUUAAAUGGAUUUUAAAAACAAGCUCCUACUGAAUAAAAAGAAUCAUUAAUUUUUCUGACUCAACAUAUGUUAGCCUCCCCUGGCCCUGGGUGAAACCAUAAGCUUCUCUGGUGCACAUCCAAAUCAUUCAGCUGGUUCUACUUUCAGCUCAGCACAGGAACAUCAUUCUGCAGGUACUCUUGUAUCUGUAGUUUCUUAUUAAUUUAUUAACAAAAUUUAGCUAUUAAAUAUUUUGAUAAAAUAUCUAUUUAUUAAAAUAUUUUUUUAUUUAAUUGGUCUGAUAAAAAUAUUAUUGAUAUAUAAAUUUUACCUUUUUUCUGAAACAAAUUAUAAUUUUUGCUUCAAGCUUUUGUAUGAUAAGUUGAGAAAUAUUAGUUUUCUUUAUCACCGUGAGAGUAGAUCCUCGUUCCACAAAAAUUUGUAACUGAAAAAUAAAAUAGAGCCCUAAAACUUUUCGAUAAAUAUGGACUAAACAAUUUUGAUGCUCAAGUCUCAAUAGGAUUUAUAAACGGUCAUGAUGAGUUUGAUUAUCAAUGACACCAAAAAAAUAUUAGAAUUAUAUUUAAGUUAUAAAUUUGUCAAUAAAUUGUGUGAUAAUCAUACUUUCCAAGUCUUCUUCAGAGGCCUCCUGCCUCAACAACCUUUCAAAGAUGUAGUAGUUGUUGCUCGAGAGGGACAAAUAUAUUAGGUAAAGACUAUGCAAUAAUCAACGUGACAGAAAAACCAAAGUCCUCUAAUAAAUUAAUAAAAAAUAUUAUAAUCAAUAUCAAGAAUCAUAUUAUCAUAGUCUUCUAAGUUCAUAUAAAAUAUAGAAUCAUUAGUAUAUAAAUAGAAGAGUGCAGAGUAAAGCCUUUCAUAAUCCAGUUGAGGAGAAAUAUGGCAUACUUUGUAAAGCCUUAUCACCUUCUUCUCUUUGUUUUCUUUCUCUCAUCACUUGAAUCCAUUCUUGCAACAACACGAGAAGGAGAAGCUCUUGUGAAAUGGAAGAAUAGCCUAGCCCCUUCUUCUUUUCUUGAUUCUUGGUCACUCACUCAUCUCGAUAAUCUUUGUAACUGGACUGGCAUUACUUGUAACUCUGCAGGUUCAGUCUCUGACAUUAACCUUUUCAACAAACAACUCACUGGAAAGCUUUUUGAGUUUGGUUUCACUUCAUUUCCAAAUCUCAACAAUCUCACCCUUGCAGAUAACUUCUUCUCUGGUCCAAUACCAUCAGCCAUUGGGAAUUUAACACAACUUCGGUAUCUUGAUUUGAGCAAUAAUUAUCUCAAUGGUUCCAUUCCGUACCAGGUUAGCCAUCUUUCAAGAUUACACAUCUUAAACCUGUCAGAGAAUGAACUGCAAGCUCCAAAUUGGUCCGAUUUCUCCCCCAUGCCUUGUUUGACCAUCCUCGACCUUUAUCAAAAUAAUCUUAUGUCGGAAUUUCCAGAAUUUAUAUCUAACUCGCGUAACCUGACAUACCUUGACCUUUCAUAUAACAAGUUCACAGGCGAUCUUGUGCGCGAAUCAGUAUUAACCAAUCUAGGUGAUCUUGAAACCCUCUAUCUUAAUGAAAAUUCUUUUAGGGGGCCAUUUCCACCAGACAUAUUCAAACUUUCCAAGUUGAGAGUUCUUGCCCUGUUCAAUAAUUUUUUUGAGGGGCCGCUUCCGUCAAAUAUAUUCAAGCUCUCUAAACUAAGAUUCCUUUUACUUUGGAGUAAUAAUUUUUCAGGUACUCUUUCGAAUGAAAUAGGUUUGCUUUCUGAGCUUGAAGACCUAGAUCUUCACUCCAAUUUUUUUGUGGGGCCGCUUCCGCCAAAUAUAUUCAAGCUGUCUAAACUAAGAACCCUUUUCCUCUGGGGUAAUAACUUCUCAGGUUCUAUUUCCAACGACAUAGGUUUGCUUUCUGAGCUUGAACACCUAUAUCUCGACUCCAAUUCUUUUGAGGGACCUUUUCCAACAAAUAUUUUCAAGCUUUCCAAAUUAAUACAACUUGGUCUCGCAAACAAUACAAAUUUAUUUGAAGGAAGUAUUCCUCCAGGACUGGGGCUCUUGACUAACCUAGAGGACUUGUCUCUUGCUUACAAUAAUCUUGGUGGCUAUAUUCCGUCUUCCUUUGGAAACCUAACACUACUAGUAUAUCUUAAUCUCGCUCGUAAUCAAUUGGUUGGAACACUAUCAAAGACCAUUUCUAAUCUCACAAAUCUGUGGUUUCUUGAUGUACAUCAUAAUAGUCUCUCUGGGAAUAUUCAGAGUGACUUCUGGAAAAACUCUACAUCACUGCUUUACAUUAAUUUGGCAGACAAUAAUUUUUCUGGGAACAUUCCUAAGGAAUAUAAUGUUCUUCCAAUCCUGGAUCACAUCAAUUUUAGGGGGAACAACUUUACAGGUAUUUUUAAUUCCAUAUUUUUUCCUUCUGUUGUAUUUAAUUAUGCUAACAACUACUGCCUCUGUUUUCAAAUACAUAUCGUUUGACUUUUUGGCACAAAACUCUAUAAUAAUUCUAACUAUAAGGUCAAUGAACUUAGAAAUAUAUGUCAAAAAGUCAAACGUCAUAUAUUUGAAAUUAGAGGGAGUAUGGCUUAAUGACCUUUUAGCCCUUAAAGUUUGGGUAGAAGUUCCGAUGCGGCGUCGAAGUUUAAAAACGUACCUUUCGACCCUCAAAGUAUCUUUGUCGUACCUUUUAACCCUUAUGGCGUAUACCGGUAUAUAACGGGUGGGCAAAGUUGACAUUUCACACGUGAGGGUUAAAUGGGGCAUUAAACAUUAAGGGUUAAAAGGAACAUUUAAUAUAUUUUAAUGUAUUAUUUAGGGAUUAAAAGGAACGAGAUGUAUACUUUAAGGGUUAAAAGGUACGCCCAAACUUCACCCCGAAUAUGAAUUGUCAAGUUUAUCCCCCGAUUUGUAUCGGUAUUUUUAAAAAGGGCUAAAAAGUACGACAAAGAUACUUUGAGGGUCGAAAUGUACGUUUUUAAACUUUGAGGCCGCAUCGGAACUUCCACCCAUUCUUCGAGGGCUAAAAGGUCAUUAAGCCGAGUAUAUAUUACAGUUUUACCAAAGUUUCAACAAUCAUGACAGGUGAGCUUCCACCAACAAUUUGCGAUGCAACUUCCCUUUCGAUUCUUGAUCUGUCAAAUAAUGGAUUAAGUGGUGCACUUCCACAUUGUUUGGGGAAUCUUGCUGAUAAAUUGAUUUCGAUUAAUCUUGCUAAUAAUCAGUUUCGAGGACCAAUACCAACAAAUUUCUCCAAGAGUUGUCGUCUGACGUAUCUUAACAUCUAUAACAAUCACUUUAAAGGAUUGGUUCCCCAGUCUUUGGCAAACUGUAAGCACUUGCAAAUUCUUGAUUUUGGAAAAAAUGAAAUAGGUGGAACAUUUCCGUCAUGGCUUUUUACUCUUGGAGAGCUAGAAGUCCUGGUCCUGCGAUCAAACAGAUUUUUCGGGAGAAUAACUAGAAGGAGCAUACCACACCCCUUUCCCAAGUUGCGGAUUUUGGAUCUAUCCAACAAUCAGUUCACCGGCUAUCUGCCAAUUUCAUACUUCAAGAAUAUGAAACCAAAUGAUAAUAAUUAUGAUUAUUUCAACAACACAAACGAAGCCUAUUACGUUUAUCAAGUUUCUAUCACAUUAAAUGUGAAAGGAAGCGAGCAUGAAGUGACAAAUAUUCUUUAUAUUUACACGGCCAUUGAUCUGUCGUGCAACAAAUUUGAAGGAAAAGUUCCAGACAUUACCGGAGAGCUUAGAUGGCUUGCAUUGCUAAAUUUAUCUCAUAAUAGUCUUUCGGGGCCUAUUCCAUCACAACUGGGAAAUAUGAAAGAGCUCCAGUCUCUAGAUUUGUCGUCAAAUCAAUUGACAGGUGUUAUUCCGGAUCAACUUACUAGUAUGACAUUUCUUGCUAGUUUGAACCUGUCAGAAAACCAUCUUUCUGGGAAAAUCCCUCGGAAAGGACAGUUCAGCACUUUUGGCGAAGAAUCUUACUUAGGUAACUCGGCCUUGUGUGGAGUUCCUUUGACAAAGAAAUGUAUAGACGAAGUGCCCCCUUCACAAGUUGGAAAUGGCGAUGAUGAAAAUGUUGAUGAAGAUGAUACCGUUGAUGAAUUCAAUUGGAAAGUGAUCCUGAUGGGAUAUGCAUGUGGAUCAAUAGGCGGAUUGUCUGCAGGAUACAUUGUCUUCACAGUUGGAAAGCCUUGGUGGUUUUUGAGGUACAUUGAGACACUGCAGCAGAAGUUGAUGUGAUGCGCAACUAGAAACAACCUUAUCUUAGAAUGAAUCUGAUCAAUGUUAGCAUAUACUGAACUUUUUUUUUUGUAAAUAUGAUUUCAAGUUCUCAUACUAAUACAAGAACCACUUGUUAAAUCUUGACCAUGCUAAGAGGAUGCUGAAUGCUGAUUUAACACUUUGCGAUGCAAAGCAGGGGCGCAUUAGUAUUUUAUAUGUGUUGAUAAUUUGCGCAAUGUUAACAGGGAUAGGUCUUCUUCUCUGCCAGAUCUUCGACAGACUCUUUCAAGGUCUUCUGAGGACCCAUCGGCUCGAAUUAGUCCAUCGUGAAUUAUGAUCUGAGAGCUAUCUGCACACUAUUUCCAGGUCUUCUGUCUCGUUAACUAUGAAAGGAAGAAAUCAUGAAGUGAAUAAAAUUCUUCAUAUUUACACAAUUGAUCUAUCAUGCAACAAAUUUUGAGGAGAAAUUUCAGAGGUUUCCGAAGAGCUUAAAUGGCUUGCAUUGCUCAAUCUAUCUCAUAAUGAUCUUACUAGACAUCUCCCCGUUGCUCGCCAUUAGAAAACAGGGAUUAUUCACUCGUCCGCCGCACCGCGAACUCAUUCUUAGGUGCUCGGAGGUUUUUGAGGAUUCUUGUUGAUUAUUAAUUUUGUGAUUUUGUUGAAUACUCUAUCACUUAAUAAUGUAAUAAUUGUGUUAUUAAAUAAUUAUAUUUUAAAUUGUUAAGGAUAUUGAACUAUUUGUUUGAUUAUUUGGUUUAAAUAUAAAUGUAACUCUUGAAAUACAUUUAUUAUAUAUAUAUUUAACAUGUUAAUAUUUACUGAAUCCCUCGCAUCCGAAUCCCGAUAUUUUUAAAUUUACGGAUUCUCGUAUUCAUGUACCGUGCACUACCAUACCUUCAACCACACUCAUACUUUCUAGCUGCUCGGAAAUAUGAAUCAAUCUUUAGAUUUGUCUUCAAAUCGAUUGACGGAGGCUAUUCCACACCAGUUAGGCAGUUAACUAGAUUGACAUUUCUAGAGGUCUUGAACUUCUCAGAGAAUAAUCUUACCGGGAAAAUACCGCAAAAAGGAAAAAUCAGCACUUUCGAGAAUAUAUGAGUCAGUGUGGUUCACCUGUCUAGACCAAAAAUGUCAUCUGAGAUUCUUAUGUUUUUUAGCUAUAUAUGAGUGGAAGAAAAUUGUCGAGUCGAGGUUAAUCGAAUAAGGCGAGCCGGCUCAUUUUAAUUUAAUUGAGACAAAACUUCUACGGAGUUCGACUCCUUUAAUUAAACGGCUAUGAAAUCUCAUUAAAGUCAGCCUUGUAUAUAAACUCAAGCCAGGUCGAGUUUUAUUGAACAAAUUUCAGCUCAAACCAGUCGCGAGCAGCCCAGCUCAAGUUCGAGGCCUGCUCAUCUGUCUUCGAGUCUUGGACGAGAUUUGAAUCAUCAACUCCUUCCAAAAAGAGUAUUACACUGACAAAAAUGCAGUAACAUGUUUAAUUUAAAAGUAUAUCAUCUGUUCCCGCAGUUUAAUUUUACCCAUAUUUUUGAGAUUCAUAUAAAUUAUAAUUCCAUAAUAUUUUUUCAAUCAUAUUGGUUUUGAAUAAAAAUAUAAAUAUCAAACUUUUAUUUUUAAAAAAAUUAUAAAAUUAUAUUUUAUAAGAGUCUCAAAUACGUGGGAAAGUGGGAGUAUUAAUUUCGCCCACUAAGUCACUGACAGGUUUGUUAAUUUGUUUCCAUUUGAAGGUGUACACUGCAUAUUUUCACCAGGGAUGGCAACAAGUCGAAUCAGUUCAGAUAUAUCAGAUAUCUCAAUCCAAAUCCAAAUUAUUUUUAAAAUCCAAAUCCAAUCGAGUUUCACAUAUCAAAUUCAAAUCCAAAUUCACGGGUUUCAGAUCGGGUUCAGGUUUGUUUGGGUUUAUCCAAAACCCGAAUCCAGAAAUGUAAGUAGUAUUGUAAAAAUAUUAUUUUUUAUUUUUUCACCCUUGAAUUUCAUUAUAUUUAAAACUAAACUACACACAUUCACACUUUAUCUAUCCAUAUUAUAAACACAAUUUAGUAUAUUUAAAAUUGAAAAAAAGUAUAUUAGUAUACUACAUACAUAUAUUUGGAUAUUUGGAAAUUUUUUCGGGUUUUGUGUUUGGAUCGAAUUUAGAUUUCGGGUCCGGUUUUGAUACGGAAUACUUAAUAUCUAAAUCCAAAUUCAAACUGGUUCGGGUCUAAAAAUUAAAUUCAAAUCCAAAUCCAAAAUAUCAUGUUCGUUAAAAUUCAUUCGGGUCGAGGUUGAGUAUCCAUUCGGAUCAGAUUUUUCUCUAACCAAUAAAUUUUGUAAAUGGUCUGCACAAACGCAGUUACCGGCCCAUUUCCGUAUGAAGCCCAUGAACAAUUAUUUGUUCUGUAUAUUUUUCAAUCAAACCAAACCCAAACGCUAACAGCAGAAUUAAUUAAAUUCCUUUCACAUGUGAUUUUGUAAUGGGCCUACAUUACAAAAAUACUGUAGGACUAUCCCACUAUCCCUGACCCUACAUGUUUUCUCAAUAAUUUUGAUAAAUAUAUUAAACAGAUAUUGAACUGUUACAAAAAUAUAACGUCUGUUUUUCAAAUAAGUAACGUACGGUUUCCGAGAGAUAAAGUUUGACUUAUAUUGACAAGAUAACGCUUGAAUUUAAUAUCUUUUUAAAAAAAACUAAUAUAAAAUCUAAAUUAAAUCUUCUUCUUAAAUGAGAAUCCAGAAAAAUCUCAAAAAUUCACAACUACAUCAAUAAAAUAUAAUAUCCAACAUUAAAUAAAAAUCUUUCAAUAUCCAUUUUUUGUGUAAUUUUCAACCAAUCUGCUCUAAUUAUUUCGUCACCUUUUAAAAUUUAAAAUUUUUAAAUACUCAAAACAAUUACCCUAACCGCCAACCACCUUAGAAUUAUAAAAUCUUAAAAUUAAAUGCUAAUAAGAUUAUCAGUGUUACUCACCUAAACCAAAACGGUUACAAAAUCUAACGGCAAUAUUAUAAACUUUUAAAAAUUAAAUUUUUAAUUAAUUUGGCAAGUGGUAUUCAUAUAGAACAAAACAGUUACAAAAUCAAACUGCAAAUUAUAAAAUCUUGAAAUUAUAUUUAAUACUGUAAGAUUUAGCAUGUGGGUCCCACACAAUCAGAAAAUAAUAUGAACACGAAAUCUUGCUCUAUUAAAUACACACACCUGUACAUACAUAUAUAAACACCCACCGCCUCUUCAACUUUCCAACAUCAAAACCCUCGUAAUUCAAUUGGGUUUCUGCUGUUAUUCUCCCCUCUCUCCUCUCUCUCGCCGAGAUUUUUAUAUGCAUACAUGCGUGGGUAUAUGUAUAUGUACACCCCCUUGGCAAAAACACAGACUAAACACUAAAAGAACCCACAGAAUCAUACCCAUGUUAUGGAUAUUAUCUGGGGUUUGUUGAAAUUGUUGUAGAAGGCCUAAAGAUUUGAUUUUGGAGUAGCCCAUUUGGUUCUUGAUUGAAUUUGGUUGUGUUUUGAGUGUGAAAAGGCAAGAUUUUAUGAUUCUUGAUGGAUGAAAGUGCUAUGUUUGGCUUGAAUGGAGAUAAUGANACAAAAUCUUGAAACGCUGUUUCUUGAUGGUAAUUCUUUUGAGGGGACGUUUCCACCGAAUAUAUUCAGGCUUUCUAAAUUAAAACACCUUUCCCUAUCUGCUAAUAAGUUUUCAGGUUCUGUGCCGGAUGACAAGUUGGUGUCGAAAGUGAGAAUGUUGCGGUAGGGGGUGAUUCGGAUGAGCUUGUUGUUGUUGGGGAGACAGGGCAGGUAUAAUGCUGCAUUUGUUGUUUUUGUCGAUAUUAUGUGUUGCUUUUGUGUUUUUUGUUAUGUUUUCAUAUGUUUAGUCCGUUAUUUUUUGGAGAAUUAAGUAGUCUGAUGAAUGUUGAUUAAUCCAAUAUAUAAGCUGGGCGUUUUUGUUUAAUGUGCUUAUUAUGAUUAUAUUAUUUUGUUUGAUAAUUGAAUUGUGUUUAGAUUGUUAAUCCAAAGCCAAGGUCAAAAGACGUAAGGUAACAUUGAUGUUAAUUGAUAAAACUAACCUCAGAAAGUAGAUUGUUUGAGGCAAUAGAGAGUGUGAGCCUCUAUCAUGACAAUUUAAGAAGUUUAUAGUUGAGUCGUUGACUGCAUUACUAUCAAAUGCAUAGGGGUAUGGAAAUGAAAACGGUUAAUAACAUAUGGGCAUUUAACCUAAUAAUUUGACAACUCGACACUCGGACUUGUAUAUGUAAGUUGUAGUAGAUGCAUACGGUGUUUUAGUAGUUUAUUUGUGUACAAAUUAUUUCAUUGGGUAUUAUUUGAAGUGAAUAGUAUAUUGGAUUCAUGCAUGUUCAGACUUUAAUAUCAACAUCUUUCAGAUUUUUCUGGAUAAUGGUUAAUAAAUUCUUUGUUUAAUAAUGACCGCUUCACUUAAUGUCAUUUCUCUUCUUUCUUUUUUUAAUUAUCGGAGUGGAUAUUUAUUUAAUUUUUUCUGAUUUAUGUUGCAACUUCCAAUAUAAUUUGUUUGGGUGCUAUACUUUGAUGGAUUAUAGGUCGCAUGUCGAGACUAUCCUCACCCACGAGAUCUUUGUGCUAAACUUCCCUUUACAUCUACUCCUCAUGAANUGCUAAACCAGGUAAUAAUAUUUUUUCUCAGAAUUAAUUAUUACACCUCUUUUCAGUGCCGAACGUUCUGCGUAUCUUAUUUGACCAUUGUCUGUUGCAGUGUCACUGUUAUGUUUGUGAUGCACCGGCUCCAUGUCUCAAAUGGGGAACUGGCAUAUCUGUCAGUGACCAUUGUCAUGCCACUGGGAAGGUGGAAUUCUGGAAUCAACAAAGCCUAAAUUUUUUGAAAAGGCUUUAAAAAAUUUGGAAUUUUUUAAAAAAAUGAAAAAUGUAAAAAUUAAAAAAAUCUAAAAAUAUCUGGAAAUUCAAAAAAUAUACCUAAAUUUUUGAAAUUAAAAAAUUUUAGAAUUUUUCCAAAUUUUCAGAUUUUUUCAAAGUUUUAAAUUUAUUUUCAAAAUUUUUAGAUUUUUUCGAUGUUUUUUCAUAUUUUUUAAAGUAUUUUAAAAAAAUUCAACUUUAUUAAAAAAUCGAUAUUUAUAUUUUUCUCAAAGUUUUUUUUAUUUUUUUUAAAGGAUUCUGUUAAAGGCAGCUGAUAUUUAACGUCGCAGUGACCUAUUUGCAAACUUUUAUUAGUUCAGUGAGUUGACUGCAACUUAAAUCGAGUUCUGUGAUCCGUUUGCAAACUUUUUAAGUUCAGUGACUUAACUGCAAGUUGGCCAUGAGUUCAAUGAUCUUUUCGCCUAUUAACCCGGACUAAAUCUACUAAAAUGAUAAUUAUGGACUCACAAUGUAUAUUUUUAAUUUAUAUGUUUAGUUAAAAAUUGGUUAAUUUGACUUUCGAAAAUCAAAAUGAACAUGUAAAAGGAGAUCGUGGUAAUAAGCCCCUCAACGUGUGUAAAUGUUAAGUAAAAGGGAUAUGUUUAUUUUUAUUUUAAAAAAGAAUUAAAAAUAUUAUUUUACAAAUUAAAUUAUAAAAUACUCUCUAUAUUCCAAAUUAGUGAGUUCGUUAAUUUUAGGCACACUAAUUUAGAUGAUUUAACUGCAUAGCUAUAUAAUUUAUUUUUAAUAUUUUUAAAAAACAAUUAAAAAUAAUUUCACGAAUAACAGAUGAUCAUUAUCUUUUAAAUCACAUGCUGAAAAUCGGAUGUUGCCCUUAUCAUUAUCACAUUUUUAAGUAGUAAUGUCUCGAAAAUUAAAUAUUAGAUCCAAUAUGAUUUCAAAUAUCACUUUAUAAUAUUCUUUUUUGUCAUAAUAUCACUUAAUAAUGUUAAAUGAGUGACGUUUAUAUUUUUUUUAAAGUGUUACACAAUGAGAAACUCUAAAAAAUAUAACGGUAGAUAAUGUAGUAUCAUAUCAAAACAUUACUUUAUCUAACCAGAACAUAAUAUUCCAAGGACAAUUUAACUUUUUUUAUAAUAUUCAGAACCUUCUUUUUUUUUUUUGAAUAAAAGACAAAUUUCAUUAAUACGAAAUGUCAUACAGAAAAAUCUCCAACAAUACAUCUCGAGGAGACAUAAACACUUUUUGACAAUUUAAAGAACAGGAUAAUUUAGCUACUAGAUGAGCUACUCCAUUCGCUUGUCGUUUAACAAAUGAAACUGAAUAACAUGGCUUCGAAUUUAAAAUAAGCUUGCAGGCAUUCAAGAUGUGACCAACUUCUAAAAGAUUUUCCUGAGAGUCAUGCAAGGCUUUAAUGGCCAGGAGAGAGUCUGAUUCAAUUUCCACCACCUCAUGAUUUAAUGAGCACAACCACGGGAGACCUUCAAAAGAGAAAAGGCCCCCAGUAACCUUUUUUUAGUGUCAAAUGCCCUAGUUGUCAUUAUAAUAAAAAAUGGCCCUCAUUAUCACUCUAUAACACUACUUAAACUCACGUUCUGUUUUUCCAUCAUAAACGGCACACGCAACAGUGUUUCCAGGUUUAAUACUUUUUAAAAAAAGUCUAACGUAACAUGAAGUUACGUUCACUGAUCUGAGUUUUUUUUUCAUAUUACUCACAUCUUGCUUAUUUCCAUAUAGAAAGAAAUUCACUCACUAGUCAACGUUAUAACAAAUUAUAAUAAUAUUUAACCAGUGCACCCCAAAGGGUAGCGGCUGCGGUUUCCUACGUUAAAAAGAAUAUUUAAGCGUUCAUACAUGGGGUUUAGAAAAAUUUGUUUAUAAUUGUAAAUUAAUUUUCUGAACGUUAGGGUUUAGGAUUGAGGGUGUAGGGCCGGUAGGCCCUACUCCCUCGAGCCUAAAACCUAAUUAAUGCGAGGCUGAAGGGCCGAAGGCCCUGAAGCCGAGAAAUCGGCAGAAUAAAUAAAUUUACAAUCGUUAACAUUUAGGGUUUAGAUUUGGGUUGCAGAAUGAUUAAUUCAUACUGUAAAUUAAUUGGCCGAACGUUAGGGUUUAGGAUUGAGGGUGUAGGGCCGGUAGGCCCUACUCCCUCGAGCCUAAACCCUAAUUAAUGCGAGGCUGAAGGGCCGAAGGCGAGAAACCGGCGGAAUAAAAAAAUUUACAAUCGUUAACAUUUAGGGUUUAGGUUUGGGUUGCCAUAAUGAUUAAUUCGUACUGUAAAUUAAUUGGCUAAACGCUAGGUUUUAGGAUUGAGGGUGUAGGGCCGGUAGACCCUCCUCCCUCGAGCCUAAACCCUAAUUAAUGCGAGGCUGAAGGGCCGAAGGCGAGAAACCGGCGGAAUAAAUAAAUUUACAAUCGUUAACAUUUAGGUUUAGGUUUGGGUUGCCAUAAUGAUUAAUUCGUACUGUAAAUUAAUUGGCCAAACGCUAGGUUUUAGGAUUGAGGGUGUAGGGCCGGUAGACCCUACUCCCUCGAGCCUAAACCAUAAUUAAUGCGAGGCUGAAGGACCUUCAAGCCCUAAACGCUCGAGCCUAAACCCUAAUUAACUCGAGGCUCUAGGGCCGUGAGACCCUAAAGCCGAGGAACCGGAAUUAAAAUAUAAAACAAAAUUUUAAAUGGCGUUUAAAGUGGCGACAGAAUUGUAAGUUGGGUGUUAAGCUAGCAAACGACAUUAAGUUACGUUUUAGAUUUUUAGGUUAUUAAAAAAUAAAAAAAAAAAUCAAGAACGUCACAUGAAGGCACGUUUUACUUCUGAUAUCAAGAACGUCACAUGAAGGCACGUUUUACUUCUGAUAAACACACCAGCACGUGACUAAAGUCUCGUUUUCAUAUAUAACAGCAAUUGAAGUGACGUUUUGCUUUUUUUAGUUUAAAAUAAUAACCCCAUAACGUGACCAGGAGUCACGUUUUAGUAUAAAUCCUAAACGCUGCUUCAGAACAUGUUUUGGAGUGACACCCGGGGCCAUUUUACGGGAUUGUGACUUUAAGGUCCAUAUUGUUACUGAUGGUGACUCACAGGGCCAACACCCCCUUCAAAAAUAGCGCUUGCUUCGGCUUCAAGGACAGUAGCCACCAUGGCUUUACAUAUUGUUUUACCCAUCACAAAAACUCCCUCGCUGUCACGCAGAACCAAACCCAACGAGACCGAGGCCUCACCGAAACGCACACCUGCAUCAACAUUUAGUUUGAGAACUCCAUCCGUCAGCUUUUUCCACUUCACUCGAGAAGAAGAUGCGGAACUAGAAGUACUACCAACCUGAACAACACGCUUAGCUUUAGCCUCCUUCCAGUCAGAAAUAAUCUUAGCGCUCCAAUCCAUAGCUAUAGCAGCUGUAACAACCUUGUGAUCCCAAACCUUCUUGUUUCGAAAAAACCAAAUUCCCCAAAGAACUCGAGCAAUAUUAAAAGUUUCAUGAUCAGGACCUGAUUCAAACCUAGCAAGUAACCAAGAGGGGGCAAACUCCACCAGAGACAAAUCAAAGACCAUACCUGAGUAUUGCCAACAUAACAUUGCAAACUGGCAGGUGAAAAAUAUGUGAAUAAGGUCUUCGUCACCAGAGUUACACAUGGGACAGUCAAGAGAAAGAUUUACUCCCUUAGAUUGUAAUCGACUUUUCACAGGCACAUUAUUCCUGCAAAAACGCCAUAAAAACACUUUGAUCUUAAGAGGAACCUCCAACUGCCAGAGUUUCUUCCACCCACUAGAUUGUGUAACAGUGCCAGUGCCAAUAUUUUGGGCAUGUCAAAACUGGUAACCUGUUUUCACAGAAUUUUGGCUGUUAGUAGUCUUUGACCAAGCUAGACGAUCCACGGUCGACCUACAGGGAACAUAAGUUUUUAAAAAUUAUGUAAUUCAUUCAAUUCCGUAUCAGACAAUACAUCUUAUCAUCGGUGAUAAUGAAAAUAGUGUAGAUGUUUGACCUAGUCCCUGUUUGACAACCAAUAUAAUAAGAAAUAAAUUCUUAUUUUUCUAAAAAAUAUAUUUUUGUAUAUAAAUGUUAAAGAGAUAUUUCUUAUUUGUUGUUUGAAAAAAGUAAAGACUUAUUUCAGAAUAAAAAAAAAUUAUUGUACAUUCUCUUUAUUUCUGAAAAUAAGUUUGGUCAAAUCAUCCAUAAUUCACGUAAUUCAAAAGCCCAUUAAUUUUUUUUUUCUUGCUAAUUGAUCAGCACACGCACACGUUUCCAACUUCCCGCAAAGGGUACAGGAGUACCACCGGAGUACCAUCACACCGACGCUUUGUUGGGCCCAAUAAUUGGCUGAAGUUGAACGGGGCUUUCUGCCUCCGCUGGACCCCAGUUGGGAGGACUCUUUCCAAGUCUUUCGGAGCCUCUUUCCCAUUGACUCCAACUUUCCAGGGUGUAUACAAAUUUUUUGAAAGAGGGUGUAUACAAAUUAUUCACGGCCAUCAAAUCAACCAGCGUAGCUGGUGAACAAAUAUUAUUGUUUAUUAUAAUUUUAUUUAAUUUAAAUGUGAUUAUAAGAACAUAAGAGGACGUUUGAAAGUGUGGGUCUUAUUUCAAACAGUAGAUUUAAAAAAAUAUGAUUUCAAUUGUUAUUUAAAAUUCUUAAAUUUAUAUUAUAUUAAAAUGUUCUUAUUCUAAUUAAUGAGUCACUAUUCGUAUUCUCAAGCAUGUUAGUUUGUUAAAAUUUAAAAUUUCAAAUGAAAUUAGGCUAAAAGACCAUAAUAUCAAAGCAAAAUCUCAUUAUCCAAUAUAUUGGUGGGCAAAAAUAUUAAACCUGGCUAUUCAUUAAUAUUGGUUCUUUAUUCAAAUUAUGUCAAAUUUAUAUAAAAUUUCGAAAAUUAUUUAUGAAUAAGAGUCGGCAUUCAUAUAUUUAUUAAGGAUACAAGUGAGAAAAUGUUAUUAAAUUAAUAUUUUUUUAAUAUACGUAAGUUUUUUAAAAUAAAUUUGUAGCGUGGGACGGGAGUAUUAGACUGAUUCUGGCUUGGAGUGAAUCAGCCCAUAAAGUUUACAGGGUAGAUGACCAUUCUUAAAUCUUAAAGAAUCUUACGGUGACAGCUAACUGAACGACUCGGUUUCAGAAGUGCUGAAAAGUUUCGACGUAAACUACAAUUUGCCUAGCAUGUAAUUUCCAUGCAUUUUCUCGUUACUAGUGACAGAUAACUUUUUUGAUAUUUAUAUAUUUUUAAUUAUAAUAAAGAUACUAGUGAUUAUGGUUAGCUUUUGGAGUACUUUCGGAGUACUUGGAAAUUUUCUUUUCGAGAAAGACGAGAGUACCUAUUUCAAUUUUUUACCAAAAAUUAUAAUUGAAAACAACGGACUUUUAUACUUAUCAUAACAAUUUUUAACAUCUUGUUUAGAAAUAACCUGUUGUUGUAUUAUGCAAAAGUAAUAUCACUAGUUUCUAUAUUCGUAUUCUAAUGAUAAUAAAAACAUCUCUAAUUCAUUAAAACUCUUACAUAGAAAAUGAUAAAAAAAAAAAAGAAGAUAUAAAAUAAUUUAUUAAAAAUAUAUCAAAGNGAAGAUAUAAAAUAAUUUAUUAAAAAUAUAUCAAAGUUUUUGCACUCGGUUAUAAUUAUUGUGUAAUUUCUUUUUUCAAUUCCAAGAUAUUGUUAUAAGAAAAUUUUACAUCAUAUAUAUAUUACAAAAAAAAUUAAUGUAUUCUAUAUAUAUAUAUAUAUAUAUAUAUAUAUAUAUAUAUAUAUAUAUAUAUAUAUAUAUAUACAAUAAANNNNNNNNNNNNNNNNNNNNNNNNNNNNNNNNNNNNNNNNNNNNNNNNNNNNNNNNNNNNNNNNNNNNNNNNNNNNNNNNNNNNNNNNNNNNNNNNNNNNNNNNNNNNNNNNNNNNNNNNNNNNNNNNNNNNNNNNNNNNNNNNNNNNNNNNNNNNNNNNNNNNNNNNNNNNNNNNNNNNNNNNNNNNNNNNNNNNNNNNNNNNNNNNNNNNNNNNNNNNNNNNNNNNNNNNNNNNNNNNNNNNNNNNNNNNNNNNNNNNNNNNNNNNNNNNNNNNNNNNNNNNNNNNNNNNNNNNNNNNNNNNNNNNNNNNNNNNNNNNNNNNNNNNNNNNNNNNNNNNNNNNNNNNNNNNNNNNNNNNNNNNNNNNNNNNNNNNNNNNNNNNNNNNNNNNNNNNNNNNNNNNNNNNNNNNNNNNNNNNNNNNNNNNNNNNNNNNNNNNNNNNNNNNNNNNNNNNNNNNNNNNNNNNNNNNNNNNNNNNNNNNNNNNNNNNNNNNNNNNNNNNNNNNNNNNNNNNNNNNNNNNNNNNNNNNNNNNNNNNNNNNNNNNNNNNNNNNNNNNNNNNNNNNNNNNNNNNNNNNNNNNNNNNNNNNNNNNNNNNNNNNNNNNNNNNNNNNNNNNNNNNNNNNNNNNNNNNNNNNNNNNNNNNNNNNNNNNNNNNNNNNNNNNNNNNNNNNNNNNNNNNNNNNNNNNNNNNNNNNNNNNNNNNNNNNNNNNNNNNNNNNNNNNNNNNNNNNNNNNNNNNNNNNNNNNNNNNNNNNNNNNNNNNNNNNNNNNNNNNNNNNNNNNNNNNNNNNNNNNNNNNNNNNNNNNNNNNNNNNNNNNNNNNNNNNNNNNNNNNNNNNNNNNNNNNNNNNNNNNNNNNNNNNNNNNNNNNNNNNNNNNNNNNNNNNNNNNNNNNNNNNNNNNNNNNNNNNNNNNNNNNNNNNNNNNNNNNNNNNNNNNNNNNNNNNNNNNNNNNNNNNNNNNNNNNNNNNNNNNNNNNNNNNNNNNNNNNNNNNNNNNNNNNNNNNNNNNNNNNNNNNNNNNNNNNNNNNNNNNNNNNNNNNNNNNNNNNNNNNNNNNNNNNNNNNNNNNNNNNNNNNNNNNNNNNNNNNNNNNNNNNNNNNNNNNNNNNNNNNNNNNNNNNNNNNNNNNNNNNNNNNNNNNNNNNNNNNNNNNNNNNNNNNNNNNNNNNNNNNNNNNNNNNNNNNNNNNNNNNNNNNNNNNNNNNNNNNNNNNNNNNNNNNNNNNNNNNNNNNNNNNNNNNNNNNNNNNNNNNNNNNNNNNNNNNNNNNNNNNNNNNNNNNNNNNNNNNNNNNNNNNNNNNNNNNNNNNNNNNNNNNNNNNNNNNNNNNNNNNNNNNNNNNNNNNNNNNNNNNNNNNNNNNNNNNNNNNNNNNNNNNNNNNNNNNNNNNNNNNNNNNNNNNNNNNNNNNNNNNNNNNNNNNNNNNNNNNNNNNNNNNNNNNNNNNNNNNNNNNNNNNNNNNNNNNNNNNNNNNNNNNNNNNNNNNNNNNNNNNNNNNNNNNNNNNNNNNNNNNNNNNNNNNNNNNNNNNNNNNNNNNNNNNNNNNNNNNNNNNNNNNNNNNNNNNNNNNNNNNNNNNNNNNNNNNNNNNNNNNNNNNNNNNNNNNNNNNNNNNNNNNNNNNNNNNNNNNNNNNNNNNNNNNNNNNNNNNNNNNNNNNNNNNNNNNNNNNNNNNNNNNNNNNNNNNNNNNNNNNNNNNNNNNNNNNNNNNNNNNNNNNNNNNNNNNNNNNNNNNNNNNNNNNNNNNNNNNNNNNNNNNNNNNNNNNNNNNNNNNNNNNNNNNNNNNNNNNNNNNNNNNNNNNNNNNNNNNNNNNNNNNNNNNNNNNNNNNNNNNNNNNNNNNNNNNNNNNNNNNNNNNNNNNNNNNNNNNNNNNNNNNNNNNNNNNNNNNNNNNNNNNNNNNNNNNNNNNNNNNNNNNNNNNNNNNNNNNNNNNNNNNNNNNNNNNNNNNNNNNNNNNNNNNNNNNNNNNNNNNNNNNNNNNNNNNNNNNNNNNNNNNNNNNNNNNNNNNNNNNNNNNNNNNNNNNNNNNNNNNNNNNNNNNNNNNNNNNNNNNNNNNNNNNNNNNNNNNNNNNNNNNNNNNNNNNNNNNNNNNNNNNNNNNNNNNNNNNNNNNNNNNNNNNNNNNNNNNNNNNNNNNNNNNNNNNNNNNNNNNNNNNNNNNNNNNNNNNNNNNNNNNNNNNNNNNNNNNNNNNNNNNNNNNNNNNNNNNNNNNNNNNNNNNNNNNNNNNNNNNNNNNNNNNNNNNNNNNNNNNNNNNNNNNNNNNNNNNNNNNNNNNNNNNNNNNNNNNNNNNNNNNNNNNNNNNNNNNNNNNNNNNNNNNNNNNNNNNNNNNNNNNNNNNNNNNNNNNNNNNNNNNNNNNNNNNNNNNNNNNNNNNNNNNNNNNNNNNNNNNNNNNNNNNNNNNNNNNNNNNNNNNNNNNNNNNNNNNNNNNNNNNNNNNNNNNNNNNNNNNNNNNNNNNNNNNNNNNNNNNNNNNNNNNNNNNNNNNNNNNNNNNNNNNNNNNNNNNNNNNNNNNNNNNNNNNNNNNNNNNNNNNNNNNNNNNNNNNNNNNNNNNNNNNNNNNNNNNNNNNNNNNNNNNNNNNNNNNNNNNNNNNNNNNNNNNNNNNNNNNNNNNNNNNNNNNNNNNNNNNNNNNNNNNNNNNNNNNNNNNNNNNNNNNNNNNNNNNNNNNNNNNNNNNNNNNNNNNNNNNNNNNNNNNNNNNNNNNNNNNNNNNNNNNNNNNNNNNNNNNNNNNNNNNNNNNNNNNNNNNNNNNNNNNNNAAUCAUCUGACAGGGCCUAUCCCCCAAAAAGGACAGUUCAGCACAUUCAACAAGGAUUCUUACCUAGGUAACUUUGCCUUGUGUGGAUUACCUUUAACUAAUAACUGUACACACACUGUGUCACCACCACAAGAAGGCGGAACUGGUGACAAUGAUGCCUAUGAUGAACCCGAUUGGGAAGUGAUCCUCAUGGGAUAUGGAUGUGGACUAAUAUGCGGAUUGUCCACUGGGUACGUUGUCUUCACAUUCAGAAAGCCUCAGUGGUUUAUGAGAUACACUGAAAGCGUGCAACAGAAGUUGAUGAGAUGAUGCAUGUUGAGUACCGUUCAAUCAUGAAGCACAACUGGAAACAAUGUUAUCUUAGGAAAACAUGUGUUCUGAACCAGUAGUGUUUGCACAAAAUUUGUGGUGCUAUGUAAUACUUAUAUAAUUGUACGUAUGAUUAUUGAUUAGUCGUUGAGAAAAUGCAUUUUAUUUCAGUGUCAAUGAUAAUCUACAUGUUUUGGAUACUUCCAGCUUCUCAUACUAAUAUAGGAACCACUUGAAAAAUUUUGCGAUGCAAAGCAGGGACUCAUGAGUAUUUUCAUAUGUGUAUUAGUUUUGAAGAUAAAAGUUGUAUGGACAAUUGUGUUGAUAAUUUGCGCAAUGAUAACUGGGAUAGGUCAUCUUCUCUCCCAAGUCUUGGAUGGACUCUUUCCAAGUCUUCUGAGAACCCAUCAGCUCAGAUUAGUCCAUACAAUGUCAAGGGUCCUAUGAUAUGGUCUACUAACAGCCCAGUGUCGGUAAUAAAUCCAAUUGCAUAUAACCUAUUCAAAAUCAAUCCCCUAUAAACAAUCAUCUCUAAAAACUAUUCACAUAAAAUAAAAUUUUAAAAAUAUAAAAUAUCUAGUUGUUUUCAAUAUAUAAUUUUCCACAGUAGAUAACAAAAUAUCUUUAUCAAAUUAUAUUAUUUAUGGGUUCAAUAUUUAAGCUAUAAUUCCAAUAACACGGCAAGCAUGCAUGCAGCAUAUAAAUAGAAGUGUGCAGUAUGUAUGGUAUUCAUAACCCAGUUGAGGAGAAACAUGGCACACUUUGUAAAGCCUUCUCACCUUCUUCUCUUUGUUUUCUUUCUCUCAUCACUUGAGUCCAUUCUUGCAACAAGACGAGAGGGAGAGGGAGAAGCUCUUGUGAAAUGGAAGAAUAGCCUAGCCCCUUCUUCUUUUCUCGACUCUUGGUCACUCACCAAUCUCGAUAAUCUUUGUAACUGGACUGGCAUUACUUGUAACUCUGCAGGUUCAGUCACUGAGAUUAACCUUUUCGGAAAAAAACUUGAUGGAAGGCUGUCCGAGUUUGGUUUCACUUCAUUUCCAAAUCUCAACAAUCUCACCCUUGCAGAUAACUUCUUCUUGGGUCCAAUACCACCAGCCAUUGAGAAUUUAACACAGCUUCAGUAUCUUGAUUUAAGCUUUAAUUAUCUCGAUGGUCCCAUUCCGUUCCAGGUUAGCCAUCUUCAAAGGUUGCUUGUCUUAAACGUGUCACAGAAUGCAUUGCAUUCUCCAAAUUGGUCCAAUUUCUCAAACAGAUGAAAUUAUGCAACUGAAAUUGAUGUAGUCUUAAAGAAUUCUCAGGCACUUAAACAUGUUUCAAAGAAUUCUCAGGCACUUAAACAUUUGGACGGGUUCUUUGGAAGCCAAGAUGCCCAGGUUAUCAUGGCCAUGCACAAAAUGCAGUAUAAAAAAAAAAUGAAUACCUUAAGAGAGAUUGCUCUGGGUCUCCCCAAGCCUUCUAGACUCAUUCCAAGUCUUCUGAGGACCACUGCCUCGCGCUUUCAAAGAUGUGAUGGUAGCUCGGGAGUGAUAUAAAUUAUUUUCGGGACACUAAUAAUAAAUAAUCAGAUCAAAUUAAUCAUCAAUAAUAAAUUGAGGAUACGAAAUCAAAAUUAAUCCUAAAUUUUGAUAAUAUAUAAAAAUUACUUUACGUACACUGUUUGCACGCAUUUUGAGCUCGUAUAAAGUAUAGUUUCAUAACUUUUUUUAAAAAAUUUCUUUUUUGAUAAAAGUUUAAACGUCAAACUUUUAUUCAGAGAAAAAAAAUUAAAAAAUAUAUCACGGAACUAUACUUUAAAUUAGUAUGGAAAAACGUGCCAAAAUUAACGUAAAGAAAUGAGGGGAACAAAGAUAGUAUAAUUAUAUUAUAAAUUAAAAUUGAAAUAACUUACGUGGCACUGAAAUUGAUAAAGGCAAUAUGGUUAAAUUGAUGAAAAGUCAAAGUCCUCUAAUAAAUCCAUAAAGAAUAUAAUAAUCAAAACGACGAAAAUUAUAAAUGAAAAAUCAAAAUCAUCCUAAUAAGUACACAAAAAGAAUAUGAUCGUUAGUGUAUUGGAAUAGUGUGCACACACUUAUAUAUCAAAAUUUGUGGUCCAAAAGCUAUGGCACAAUAUUCUAAAUACACCACAUUAAGUAAUAGUUCAAAAAUAUUCAAUAUAUAAUUGUUUUCAUUCAUAAUUUUGUUAUUAUUUUAAAAAAUAAUUUGGUUGCUGUUAACCUAUAUUUCAAUUAUAUAAUUAUAUUAUUUUUUAUUUUAUGUAUCUAGAAACAAUAUUUUUGUAAUAUUUAUUACAUUAAUUAUAUUAAAAGAUAUAAUUUGUUAAAAACUUGAAUAAAAUUAAGAGGAUAACUUUAUGUCUCUCCAAGUUCACAGCACGGGUGAGCAUUGGGUUCGGAUAUCCAUAUACCGAAUGGAUAUAUCAAAUCAAAACUAAUCAUGAAUUAUGAUAAUAAUUAAAUAAAUUAUAAUUAAGCUAUAUGAAUCAACUCCAAAUGACAACAACAGCACCAAACCUUAGUUACUUUAAUAUUGGUAAAUAAAUAUAAUAUAAUAAUCAAAUUGAUGAAAAAUCACAUCAUCUAAUAAAUUCACAAAAAAUAUAUGAUCAUUAGUAUAUUAUAUUAGUAUCCACACACUUAUAUUUCAAAAUCUAUCCUCCAAAAUUAUCAUCUCUGUAAGCUAGCCACAUAAAAUAAAAAAUUUAAAGAUAUUAGAUAUUUAGUUAUUUUCAUUAUAUAAUUUUUCCACACGAAAUAACAAAAUAUCUUUAUCAAAUUAUUAUUUAUGAGUUAAAUAUUCAAGUUAUAAAUCCAGUAUUCAGCGUAUAAAUAGAAGUGUGCAGUAUGAUAUCAGAUUCACAUAACCCAGUUGAUGAGGAGAAACAUGGCAUACUCUGCAAAGCCUUCUCACCUUCUUCUCUUUGUUUUCUUUCUCUCAUCACUUGAAUCCAUUCUUGCAACAACACGAGAGGGAGAAGCUCUUGUGAAAUGGAAGAAUAGCCUAGCCCCUUCUUCUUUUCUCGAUUCUUGGUCCCUCACCAAUCUCGAAAAUCUUUGUAACUGGACUGGCAUUACUUGUAACUCUGCAGGUUCAGUCUCUGAGAUUAACCUCUGUGAGAAACAACUUGAUGGAAUGCUGUCCGACUUCGGUUUCACUUCAUUUCCAAAUCUCAAGAAUCUCACCCUCGCAUACAACUUCUUCUCGGGUCCAAUACCACCAGCCAUUCAGAACUUAACAAGGCUUCAAUGCCUUGAUUUAAGCUUUAAUUAUCUCAAUGGUCCUAUUCCGUUCCAGGUGAGCCAUCUUCAGAGCUUGCUCAUCUUGAACCUGUCACAGAAUGCAUUGCAAACUCCAAAUUGGUCCCAUUUCUCUCCCAUGCCUUUCUUGCGCAUCCUCAACCUCAGUUACAAUCCUCUUGCGUCGAAAUUCCCAGAUUUUAUAUCCAGUUCUCAUAGCCUGACUCACCUUAGCCUUAAUUAUAACGAGUUUACUGGUGAUUUAGUACGUGAAUCAGUAUUUGCCGAUCUGCAUAAUCUUGAAAAGCUCAGUCUUGUUGGCAAUUCUUUCGAGGGGCCAUUUCCGCCGGAUAUAUUCAGGCUUUCCAAAUUAAAACAUCUUAGCAUGUCAGAUAACAAACUUUCAGGUUCAAUUCCCAAUGACAUAAGGUUGCUUUGUGAUCUUGAAUACCUAUAUUUAGCCAACAAUUCCUUUGAAGGACCGCUUCCACCAAAUAUAUUCAAGUUUUCAAAAUUAAAACAUCUUGUUCUUUGGGGUAAUAAGUUUUCUGGUUCUGUUUCCAAUGAUAUAGGUUUGCUUUCUGAGCUUGAAACUCUCGAUCUUAGCUCUAAUUUUUUUGAGGGGCCGCUUCCGCCAAAUGUAUUCAAGCUCUCCAAACUAAAAGUUCUCACCCUGUCAAUUAACAAAUUUUUAGGUUCAAUUCCCAAUGACAUAAGGUUACUUUGUGAUCUUGAAUACCUAUAUUUAGGCAACAAUUCCUUUGAAGGACCGCUUCCACCAGGUAUAUUCAAGCUUUCAAAAUUAAAACAUCUUUUUCUUUGGGGUAAUAAGUUUUCAGGUUCUGUUUUCAAUGAUAUAUGUUUGCUUUCUGAGCUUGAAACCCUCGAUCUUAACUCUAAUUUUUUUGAGGGGCCGCUUCCGCCAAAUGUAUUCAAGCUCUCCAAACUAAAGAUUCUUUCCCUUUAUGUGAACAACUUUUCAGGUUUUAUUUCUAAGGAUAUAGGUUGGCUUUUUGAACUUGAAACCCUCUAUCUUGGCUCUAAUUUUUUUGAGGGGCCGCUUCCCCCACAUGUAUUUAGGCUCUCCAAAUUAAGAGAUUUGGACCUCUCAGACAAUAGAAAUUUAUUUGAAGGAAGUAUUCCUAUUGGACUGGGACUCUUGACUAACCUCAGGUACUUAGAUCUACAUUUCAGUAAUCUCAGUGGCUAUAUUCCAUCUGACAUUGGAAACCUGAAGCUACUAGUACUUCUUGAUCUCAGUUCUAAUAAAUUGACUGGACCGCUUUCAAAGAUCAUUUCUAAUCUCACAAAUCUUAUAUUUCUUGAUGUAAGUGAUAAUAGUCUUAGUGGAAAUAUUCAGAGUGACUUGUGGAAAUAUAACGAUCAUCCAACUUUGGAAUACAUCGAUUUAAGUGGGAACCAUUUUACGGGUAUAGUUUUUCUCUAUAGAUCUUUUCUUUUUCUCAUAUGUAACUAAGCUAGUAAUCUGAUUAUUGCAGUUUCACCAAAGUUUCAACAAUCUUGACAGGUGAGCUUCCAACAACAAUUUGCAAUGUCACUUCCCUUUUGGUUCUUGAUUUGUCAAAUAAUGAAUUAAGUGGUGCACUUCCAAACUGUUUCGGGAAUCUUGCUGAUAGAUUGCUUUUCAUUAAUCUUGCUAAUAAUCAGUUUCGAGGAACAAUACCAACUACUUUCUCCAGGAGUUGUCAGCUGACAUAUCUAAACAUGGAUAAUAAUGAGUUUGAAGGAUUGUUGCGCCCAUCUUUGGCGAACUGUAAGCACUUGAAAAUUCUUGAUAUUGGCAAUAAUAAAAUAGGUGGUACAUUUCCGUCAUGGCUUUAUGCACUUGGAGAGCUAGAAGUCCUUGUCUUGCGAUCAAAUAAACUCUAUGGUACAAUAAGUGGGAGGAGCAUAGAAAAUCCCUUCCCCAAGUUGCGGAUUGUGGAUCUGUCCAACAAUCAAUUCACUGGCCAUUUGCCAAUUCAAUACUUUAAGAAUAUGAAAUCAACUGAUAAUUUGUAUAGUUAUCAGAAUGACACAGGAGUUUUUUCUUUCCAUUAUGAAGCAUCUGUAUCAUUAACUGUGAAGGGAACAGAGUAUGAAGUGAAAAAUAUCCUUCAUAUUUACACAACCAUUGAUCUGUCCUGCAACAAGUUUCAAGGAGAAAUUCCUGACGUUAUUGGAGAGCUUAGAUGGCUUGCAUUGCUGAACUUAUCUCAUAAUAGUCUAACAGGACAUAUCCCAUCAUUGCUGAGAAAUAUGAAAGGACUCCAAUCUUUAGAUUUGUCUUCAAAUCAACUGACAGGGGCUAUUCCACCUCAGUUAACUGCAUUGACAUUUCUAGAGGUCUUGAACCUCUCGGGAAACCAUCUUAGUGGAGAGAUUCCUCAGAAAGGACAGUUCAGCACAUUCAACAAUGAUUCUUAUCUAGGAAACUCCGCGUUAUGUGGAUCACCUUUGACAAAGAAAUGUGUAAACACAGCAUCACCUCCACAGGAAGUCGGAAAUGGUGAUGAAGAUGAUGCUGGCGAUGAAUGGACAUGGGAAGCAAUCGUGAUGGGAUAUGGAUGUGGACUGAUAUGUGGAUUGUCGUCUGCGUACAUUGUUCUCAGACUAGGAAGGCCUUGGUGGUUUGUGAGAUAUAUCGAAGUACUGCAACUGAAGUUGAUGAAAAGAUAUGCAUGAAGAAAGGUACUGGUAGAUCAAGAUGAACUUGAAAGUUAUUUUCGUGGAUGACAUUUGUGAACCAGUACUGUACUAGCUGCUUAAGUAUUUGGUAUUAUGUAAUAAUCCGUUUGGUCGGGACUCAUAAUGAUAUUUCUUGCUUCAGGGGUAUUAAUAUAAACCUUGGUAUUGUGUACUAGCUGUCUGUUUGGUCGUGACUCAUAAUCUUUCAUGUAUUAACAUAAGGUUUUAAUACAUCCCGUACCAGGUUAGCCAUCUUCAGAUAUUACACAUCUUACUGCUGUCGCAUAAUGAAUUGCAAUCUCCAAAUUGGUCCAACUUCUCUUCCAUGCCCUUUUUGCGCAUCCUCGGCCUUGGCAGCAAUAAUCUGGUGUCAAAAUUCCCAGAAUUUAUAUCUGACUCUCAUAGCCUCACUUUCCUUGACCUUUCUUUUAACAAGUUUACAGGUGAUCUUGUGCUUGAAUCAAUUUUUACCGAUCUACAUAAUCUUGAAAACCUCCAUCUUGCUGGAAAUUCCUUUGAGGGGCCGAUUCCACCUAGAGUAUUUAAGCUUUCCAAUUUAAAAGUUCUUGAACUCACGGGUAAUAACUUUUCUCGUUCUAUUUCCAACGAUAUAGGUUUGCUUUCUGAACUUGAGACCCUCUAUCUUGACUUCAAUUUUUUUGAUGGACCAAUUCCCCCAAAUAUAUUCAACCUUUCCCAAUUAAAAAUUCUUGAACUAACAGAAAAUAACUUUUCUGGUCCUGUUUCCAAUGAUAUAAGUUUGCUUUCUGAGCUUGAAAACCUCAAUCUUGCCUUAAAUUCUUCUGAUGGGCCUUUUCCAUCAAAGAUAUUCAACCUAACCAAAUUGAGACAUCUAAAUCUCUAUGGCAAUAAGAAUUUAUUUAAAGGAAGUAUCCCACUGGAUAUCAGAAACCUGAAGCUCCUGGAAUCUAUUAAUCUCGGUUCUAAUCAAUUGGUUGGACCACUUUCAAUGCUCAUUUCUAAUCUCACUAAUCUUAAGAUGGUUGGGCUAAGCGAUAAUAGGUUUUUUGGCAAAAUUCCUAGUGACUUCUUGAAAAACUUGCCAUCCUUACACGUCAUUGAUCUUUCAAAUAAUAAUUUGUCCGGAAAUAUUCCCAGGGAGUAUAACGUGCAUCCAAUUUUAGAAUACAUCAAUUUAAGUGGAAACCAUCUUACAGGUUUACUUCUCCCUCAAUAUAUUUUAUUUUCCUUUUGUAUGUUACAUUGAUUACACUUUUACCGAAGCUCAAACAAUUUUAACAGGUGAGAUCCCAGCAACAAUUUGCAAUGCUACAAACCUUUAUAUUCUGGUUCUGUCAGAUAAUGGAUUAAGUGGUGCCCUUCCGCAUUGUUUGGGAAAUCUUGCAGAUAAAAUGCAUUGCAUUGAUCUCGCUAAUAAUCAGUUCCGAGGACCAAUACCAACAACCUUCUCAGAGAGUUGCCAGUUAAGAUAUCUAAACAUGUAUGACAAUCAGUUAGAAGGACUUUUGCCCCGAUCUUUGUCAAACUGUAAGCACUUGAAAAUUCUUGACAUCGGGAACAACAAAAUGGGCGGUACAUUUCCUUCAUGGCUAUUCACUCUCAGAGAGCUAGAAGUCCUAGUCUUGCAAUCAAAUAAACUGUAUGGUCCAGUAAGUGGAAGGAGCACACAUCACAUCCAUUCCCCAAGUUGCGGAUUCUAGAUCUCUCCAACAACCAAUUCACGGGCUAUUUGCCAAUUCAAUACUCUUUAAGAAUAUGAAACCAGCUGCUGAUAACAUUUGUCUUAGGAUGACACAUGUUCUAAACUAUGACAAUAGUAUGCAAUCUCGUUUAAUACUUUCAUAUUAUGAACUAGUUCUGUUGAAUAAAUAAAUAUUAUUAAUUAAUCAAUCAUGUGCGCUCGAGUUUCCCUGGCCAGAUGCCCAGAUUAUUAGAGCAUCUCCAGCAGAGUCUUAACCGGUUCUCUAAAUAUAUAAUAAAAUAUGUAUCUUUUAAGGGAUUACUACAUUUUAGUGAAUGAGAACUCCAACAACAUUCCCUAUUUACAUUCUCUAUUAUUAUUAUAAUAUUAUAUUCAACUUGUAAUAAGAGAGAGAAAGUUUGGAAAGAGUAAAAGUGAGAAAAAAUAAGUGAAUAUUUUAUUCUUCAGAAUAAUAUAAGGAAAGAAAAUGCCAAAACAAUUAACUAUAAUCUACGCAAUAAUUUUUUAUAUUGAUUAGACGUUAUCUUUAUCAAUAUUUAGUCAGAUAUUCGGAUAUAUAUCAUUCCCUUUGUUUUUAUACCAUCUUUUUUUUGACUUUCGGGCCAAAUCACUACGUGGGUUGACUGGAUAGUAGAAAUUAAUAUUUUUGUCUGUUUUUUAAAAUAAAAAUCUGUAUUUUUAUUUUGAUUUCGAAGAAUAUAAUCCAUAAGGUAAAUAAUUUUUAANNNNNNNNNNNNNNNNNNNNNNNNNNNNNNNNNNNNNNNNNNNNNNNNNNNNNNNNNNNNNNNNNNNNNNNNNNNNNNNNNNNNNNNNNNNNNNNNNNNNNNNNNNNNNNNNNNNNNNNNNNNNNNNNNNNNNNNNNNNNNNNNNNNNNNNNNNNNNNNNNNNNNNNNNNNNNNNNNNNNNNNNNNNNNNNNNNNNNNNNNNNNNNNNNNNNNNNNNNNNNNNNNNNNNNNNNNNNNNNNNNNNNNNNNNNNNNNNNNNNNNNNNNNNNNNNNNNNNNNNNNNNNNNNNNNNNNNNNNNNNNNNNNNNNNNNNNNNNNNNNNNNNNNNNNNNNNNNNNNNNNNNNNNNNNNNNNNNNNNNNNNNNNNNNNNNNNNNNNNNNNNNNNNNNNNNNNNNNNNNNNNNNNNNNNNNNNNNNNNNNNNNNNNNNNNNNNNNNNNNNNNNNNNNNNNNNNNNNNNNNNNNNNNNNNNNNNNNNNNNNNNNNNNNNNNNNNNNNNNNNNNNNNNNNNNNNNNNNNNNNNNNNNNNNNNNNNNNNNNNNNNNNNNNNNNNNNNNNNNNNNNNNNNNNNNNNNNNNNNNNNNNNNNNNNNNNNNNNNNNNNNNNNNNNNNNNNNNNNNNNNNNNNNNNNNNNNNNNNNNNNNNNNNNNNNNNNNNNNNNNNNNNNNNNNNNNNNNNNNNNNNNNNNNNNNNNNNNNNNNNNNNNNNNNNNNNNNNNNNNNNNNNNNNNNNNNNNNNNNNNNNNNNNNNNNNNNNNNNNNNNNNNNNNNNNNNNNNNNNNNNNNNNNNNNNNNNNNNNNNNNNNNNNNNNNNNNNNNNNNNNNNNNNNNNNNNNNNNNNNNNNNNNNNNNNNNNNNNNNNNNNNNNNNNNNNNNNNNNNNNNNNNNNNNNNNNNNNNNNNNNNNNNNNNNNNNNNNNNNNNNNNNNNNNNNNNNNNNNNNNNNNNNNNNNNNNNNNNNNNNNNNNNNNNNNNNNNNNNNNNNNNNNNNNNNNNNNNNNNNNNNNNNNNNNNNNNNNNNNNNNNNNNNNNNNNNNNNNNNNNNNNNNNNNNNNNNNNNNNNNNNNNNNNNNNNNNNNNNNNNNNNNNNNNNNNNNNNNNNNNNNNNNNNNNNNNNNNNNNNNNNNNNNNNNNNNNNNNNNNNNNNNNNNNNNNNNNNNNNNNNNNNNNNNNNNNNNNNNNNNNNNNNNNNNNNNNNNNNNNNNNNNNNNNNNNNNNNNNNNNNNNNNNNNNNNNNNNNNNNNNNNNNNNNNNNNNNNNNNNNNNNNNNNNNNNNNNNNNNNNNNNNNNNNNNNNNNNNNNNNNNNNNNNNNNNNNNNNNNNNNNNNNNNNNNNNNNNNNNNNNNNNNNNNNNNNNNNNNNNNNNNNNNNNNNNNNNNNNNNNNNNNNNNNNNNNNNNNNNNNNNNNNNNNNNNNNNNNNNNNNNNNNNNNNNNNNNNNNNNNNNNNNNNNNNNNNNNNNNNNNNNNNNNNNNNNNNNNNNNNNNNNNNNNNNNNNNNNNNNNNNNNNNNNNNNNNNNNNNNNNNNNNNNNNNNNNNNNNNNNNNNNNNNNNNNNNNNNNNNNNNNNNNNNNNNNNNNNNNNNNNNNNNNNNNNNNNNNNNNNNNNNNNNNNNNNNNNNNNNNNNNNNNNNNNNNNNNNNNNNNNNNNNNNNNNNNNNNNNNNNNNNNNNNNNNNNNNNNNNNNNNNNNNNNNNNNNNNNNNNNNNNNNNNNNNNNNNNNNNNNNNNNNNNNNNNNNNNNNNNNNNNNNNNNNNNNNNNNNNNNNNNNNNNNNNNNNNNNNNNNNNNNNNNNNNNNNNNNNNNNNNNNNNNNNNNNNNNNNNNNNNNNNNNNNNNNNNNNNNNNNNNNNNNNNNNNNNNNNNNNNNNNNNNNNNNNNNNNNNNNNNNNNNNNNNNNNNNNNNNNNNNNNNNNNNNNNNNNNNNNNNNNNNNNNNNNNNNNNNNNNNNNNNNNNNNNNNNNNNNNNNNNNNNNNNNNNNNNNNNNNNNNNNNNNNNNNNNNNNNNNNNNNNNNNNNNNNNNNNNNNNNNNNNNNNNNNNNNNNNNNNNNNNNNNNNNNNNNNNNNNNNNNNNNNNNNNNNNNNNNNNNNNNNNNNNNNNNNNNNNNNNNNNNNNNNNNNNNNNNNNNNNNNNNNNNNNNNNNNNNNNNNNNNNNNNNNNNNNNNNNNNNNNNNNNNNNNNAUAUACACUUCCAUUUCCACUUUCCAGUAUUAAGUUUAGAAUUAAGAUCUUAACAACAUAGCAAUCAUUUAAACCUCGAAGAAAAUUGUGCACAUUAACAAGACCAAAGAGAAAACAGAUAGCAUAAAAUUGUGUAACACGUAUAAUUUAAAUCCACUUCUCAGUAUACUCCACAUUCAAGGUGAUCUAACUGCUACAAUAUUCUAAUUUUCACAGCUACGACACUGAACAAUAUAAGAACCAGUUUACUGUAAGUUUACUGAACAUAUAUAUACGACAUUGAACAAUAUAAAAUAGCUAUCCUUUGUAAGACCAAAAACAAAGGACACUAGCUAGCUAAUUCAAUAUACAAAACCACUCCAAUCAGUUUAUGAUAAGCAACUACAAACAUACAAAUACAUAUAAACAUACAAAUACAUAUAAACAUACUAUCUCAUUUUCCAAAAACCACAACUACAAACUAUCUCAUUUUCCAAAAACACACACUGAAAUACAUAUAUACAUACACAUACAACCACAAGGAUACCCAAACUCAAGUAAUAAAUAAGAAAUUACCUCCUCCAACUCGAAGAGAGCUUGAAUAGACUUGAACAGAGCUUGAACAGACUCCGAGCUCGAACUCCCUACAAACUCGAACUGAAGUACGAGCACCCACUAAACCCACAAACUCCACACUCGAACUGAACUCUGAGAUCUGUUGAAAAAACGAAUUAAAGAAGCAAAUGAGUAUUGUAAUCGAACAAACAUCAGUUUAUUAGGUACAAAUCAACCUUUAUCGCACAAAUUUAAGGAUGAAAUCGGCCGAAUUGGAACCUAGGGUUCGCUCGCUGAGAAAGGGGGAAGAACGGGGAGAGAGAAUGUAUUUUGUACAAAUGAUUUAAUUUAGGUAGUUUUAUUAGUUUUAUGUCUUUUUCCUUUUAAUUUUAUGUUUAAAGACAGGUGUUGAUGUCUUGUUCAGACAACACAUCAACUAAGCAGCGGGGUUUUAAAGGCGGGGUUUUUUUGUUUGUGAAAAAUUUGGCUAAGUGGGGAAUAGAAGCGGGGAAGCGCGGCCAAUUUUUUAAAAACAUGUUUUAGACAUCGGUUCUACACUAAGAUGAUGUCUAGUUUUUUAAUAGACAUCGGUUUUUAAAAUUUCGAUGUAAAAAAGGGUUUUAACAUCGGUGGUUUUUUUAACCGAUGUCUAAUCUGUGAUGUCUGAUCCUGUUUUUCUAGUAGUGAUCACUGCAACAAAAUAUUAGUUACGACGGAACAAUGUCGCUGGACUUUAUUUGUUUACAUUUUUUUAAUAGUAGUUAAUUUUUAAACUUGCGACGGAAAACAUACGACAGUCUACUUCGCGAGAGAAAAUCAUUUUAUUUUAUUUUUUAGCGCCAGAAUUUUAAUACUAAACUACUAUAGGGCCGUUUGGGCUAGCUUAAAAAAAGUGAUUUUUUACUUACAGUAAAGAAGUGGAUUAAAAGUGAGAAGCAAAUAAGUCAAUAAAAUGUUUGGAAAAGAAGUAGAAGCUGUGAGAGAGAAGUUAGCAUUCUCAGCUUCUUAAAAGUGCUUCUGCUUAUUUACAUAAACGGGUAAAAAAAAAAAAGCAAAAGCCAGAAGCAGCUUCUACUUCUCGAAACAAACAGGGCCAAUAUAUAUGAAGGAAACUGAUCUCUAUUGUUUUCAGCUUGCUCAUCCAUGGUAAGUAAUCCGUCGAAAAAGUUAGUUUGUUGUCGUGGUGUCUUAUCAUGAGAGAAAAUGGUAAUAUCGCAAAAUAUUUGCAACUGAAAGAUAAAUUAUAGUUCUAGAAACCAUUUAGGUAACGAUGCGCGGAGUUAUUUUCACUCACUUAGAAUUAAUGAUAAAUAUUUGCAACUGAAAGAUACAUUAUAGUUCUAGAAAAGGAUCCACGGAAUUAUUUUCACUCACUUAGAAUUAAUCCUAAGUUAUUGUGAGUUUUUGAAUAUGGAUUAUCUCAAAUUUUAUUAAAACACAUAUCGAUUCAUAUAGACAAAUUUGCCUACCUAAUAUUAUAAUAUUUAUGGCGAAGUUGUAUGAACAAUUGUGUAGAUAAUUAUACUUUACAAAGCAUACUUCUGCUAGCUGAAUUUUGAUUAAAAAAUCGAAAGGGAUAGGUCUGGGUCUCUCCAAGUCUUUGAGGACUCAUUCCAAGUCUUCUGAUGAGGACAAAAUAUAUCGCUGGUAGUCUUUCAGUCCUUCCUAGAGUAUUUUAUGCUCUGCACUGCAUUUGUGUUGAUAAUUUGCGCAAUGUUGAUGAGGAUUGCUCCAAGUCUUGGCGGACUCUUUCCAAAUCUUCCGAGGACCUAUCGGUUCAAUUUAGCCCAUUAAAAAUUUUAUUAUCUCAAAGCUAUCUGCAAAAUAAUAUAUAAGGUAAAAAUGAAUAUAUACCAUUGUUUUGUGAUUAAGUUGUAUAGGCAAUAUGCAUUGCAAAAUCAGCAACAGGAUAUAUGAAUACUAAUUAAUUACCUGAUAUCAGUAUGAACAAAUACUUUCUAUGUAGUUGUAAUAUUAGUCUUCUUUAAAAGUUAUCAUGAGGGAAGGUAUAUAUUGUGAUGCGGGAGAAAUAUUGUCACUGAAAAUAAUUAUAAUUCUAAAAUUUCCAUUAUACACUUUUUUUAGUGUUUGUACGUGGUAAGUACUUCAGACGACAUUUCUCGCGUAUGCCUCCGAUUAAGAAUUUGAUGUUCAGCCUAGUCCUAAACUAAAAUUAUUAUAAAUGUGUACUUCAAAAUUAUAUAUAUUGCUGGUAGUCUUUCAGUUCUUCCUGGUGUAUGCAAUUGUUUCAUUCAAUACCAAUUAUUUUAUACUAUGCACUCUGAUAUCAUGUUGAGAACAAUCCAUCAAAAACUUUAAACCUUAAUUAAGGUGUUAGAGGAAAAUACCAAUUAGAUCUUAUGCUAUAUUUCAAUACUUCCAACACUCUGCGAUGCAAAGCAGGGACUCUUGAGUAUUUUCAUAUGUGUAUUAGUUUUGAAGAUAAAAGUUGUAUAGAGAAUUGUGUUGAUAAUUUGCGCAAUUGCGCAAUGAUAACUGGGAUAGGUCAUCUUCUCUCCCAAGUCUUGGAUGGAAUCUUUCCAAGUCUUCUGAGAACCCAUCAGCUCAGAUUAGUCCAUACAAUGUCAAGGGUCCUAUGAUAUGGUCUACUAACAGCCCAGUGUCGGUAAUAAAUCCAAUUGCAUAUAACCUAUUCAAAAUCAAUCCCCUAUAAACAAUCAUCUCUAAAAACUAUUCACAUAAAAUAAAAUUUUAAAAAUAUAAAAUAUCUAGUUGUUUUCAAUAUAUAAUUUUCCACAGUAGAUAACANNNNNNNNNNNNNNNNNNNNNNNNNNNNNNNNNNNNNNNNNNNNNNNNNNNNNNNNNNNNNNNNNNNNNNNNNNNNNNNNNNNNNNNNNNNNNNNNNNNNNNNNNNNNNNNNNNNNNNNNNNNNNNNNNNNNNNNNNNNNNNNNNNNNNNNNNNNNNNNNNNNNNNNNNNNNNNNNNNNNNNNNNNNNNNNNNNNNNNNNNNNNNNNNNNNNNNNNNNNNNNNNNNNNNNNNNNNNNNNNNNNNNNNNNNNNNNNNNNNNNNNNNNNNNNNNNNNNNNNNNNNNNNNNNNNNNNNNNNNNNNNNNNNNNNNNNNNNNNNNNNNNNNNNNNNNNNNNNNNNNNNNNNNNNNNNNNNNNNNNNNNNNNNNNNNNNNNNNNNNNNNNNNNNNNNNNNNNNNNNNNNNNNNNNNNNNNNNNNNNNNNNNNNNNNNNNNNNNNNNNNNNNNNNNNNNNNNNNNNNNNNNNNNNNNNNNNNNNNNNNNNNNNNNNNNNNNNNNNNNNNNNNNNNNNNNNNNNNNNNNNNNNNNNNNNNNNNNNNNNNNNNNNNNNNNNNNNNNNNNNNNNNNNNNNNNNNNNNNNNNNNNNNNNNNNNNNNNNNNNNNNNNNNNNNNNNNNNNNNNNNNNNNNNNNNNNNNNNNNNNNNNNNNNNNNNNNNNNNNNNNNNNNNNNNNNNNNNNNNNNNNNNNNNNNNNNNNNNNNNNNNNNNNNNNNNNNNNNNNNNNNNNNNNNNNNNNNNNNNNNNNNNNNNNNNNNNNNNNNNNNNNNNNNNNNNNNNNNNNNNNNNNNNNNNNNNNNNNNNNNNNNNNNNNNNNNNNNNNNNNNNNNNNNNNNNNNNNNNNNNNNNNNNNNNNNNNNNNNNNNNNNNNNNNNNNNNNNNNNNNNNNNNNNNNNNNNNNNNNNNNNNNNNNNNNNNNNNNNNNNNNNNNNNNNNNNNNNNNNNNNNNNNNNNNNNNNNNNNNNNNNNNUGUAUUAGUUUUGUAAGAUAAAAGUUGUAUGGACAAUUGUGUUGUAUAAUUUGCGCAAUGAUAACUGGGAUAGGUCAUCUUCUCUCCCAAGUCUUGGAUGGAAUCUUUCCAAGUCUUCUGAGAACCCAUCAGCUCAGAUUAGUCCAUACAAUGUCAAGGGUCCUAUGAUAUGGUCUACUAACAGCCCAGUGUCGGUAAUAAAUCCAAUUGCAUAUAACCUAUUCAAAAUCAAUCCCCUAUAAACAAUCAUCUCUAAAAACUAUUCACAUAAAAUAAAAUUUUAAAAAUAUAAAAUAUCUAGUUGUUUUCAAUAUAUAAUUUUCCACAGUAGAUAACAAAAUAUCUUUAUCAAAUUGUUAUUUAUGGGUUCAAUAUUUAAGCUAUAAUUCCAAUAACACGGCAAGCAUGCAGCGUAUAAAUAGAAGUGUGCAGUAUGUUAUCAGAUUCAUAACCCAGUUGAUCAGGAGAAACAUGGCAUACUCUGCAAAGCCUUCUCACCUUCUUCUCUUUGUUUUCUUUCUCUCAUCACUUGAAUCCAUUCUUGCAACAACACGAGAAGGAGAAGCUCUUGUGAAAUGGAAGAAUAGCCUAGCCCCUUCUUCUUUUCUCGAUUCUUGGUCCCUCACCAAUCUCGAAAAUCUUUGUAACUGGACUGGCAUUACUUGUAACUCUGCAGGUUCAGUCUCUGAGAUUAAUCUCUGUGAGAAACAACUUAAUGGAAUGCUGUCCGAGUUUGGUUUCACUUCAUUUCCAAAUCUCAACUAUCUCACACUCGCAGACAACUUCUUCUCCGGUCCAAUACCACCAGCCAUUGAGAAUUUAACACAGCUUCAAUAUCUUGAUUUGAGAAAUAAUUAUCUAGAUGGUCCCAUUCCGUUCCAGGUUAGCCAUCUUCAGAGCUUGCUCAUAUUAAACCUGUCACAGAAUGCAUUGCAAGCUACAAAUUGGUCCAAUUUCUCUCCCAUGCCUUUUUUGCGCAUCCUCAACCUCAGUAGCAAUCAUCUUGUAUCGAAAUUCCCAGAAUUUAUAUCCAAUUCUCAUAGCUUGGCUAUCCUUGACCUUUCACAUAACAACUUUACAGGUGAUCUUGUGCGUGAAUUUACCAAUCUACAAAAUCUUGAAACCCUCUGGCUUUAUUGUAAUUCUUUUGAGGGGCCAUUUCCGCCGGAUAUAUUCAGGCUCUCCAAAUUAAAACGUCUCUCCCUGUCAAGUAACAAAUUUUCAGGUUCAGUUCCCAAUGACAUAAGGUUGCUUUGUGAUCUUGAAUCCUUAAACUUAAGCAACAAUUCUUUUGAAGGACCGCUUCCACCAAAUUUAUUCAAGCUUUCGAAAUUAAAGAGUCUUUUUCUUUGGAGUAAUAAGUUUUCAGGUUCUAUUUCCAAUGAUAUAGGUUUGCUUUCUGAGCUUGAAUUUCUCAAUCUUUACGAUAAUUUUUUUGAGGGGCCGCUUCCAUGCAUCAAAUAUAUUCAAGCUCUCCAAAUUAAGGGUUCUUUACCUUAACGGUAAUAAACUUCUAGGUUCUCUUUCCAAUGAUAUAGGUUUGCUUUCUGAGCUUGAAACCCUCAAUCUUCGCUCUAAUUUUUUUGAGGCUCCGUUUCCGUCAAAUAUAUUCAAGCUUUCCAAAUUAACAAUUCUUGACCUCGCAUACAAUAGAAAUUUAUUUGAAGGAAGUUUUCCUAUUGGACUGGGACUCUUGACUAACCUCAGCUACUUAGAUCUAACUUCCACUAAUCUCAGUGGCUCAUCUGCCAUUGGAAACCUCAAGCUACUACUAUAUCUUGGUCUCAGUUAUAAUCAAUUGACUGGACCGCUUUCAAACAUUGUUUCUAAUCUAACAAAUCUUAUAUUUCUUGGUGUGGAUCAUAAUAGUCUUAGUGGAAAUAUUCCGAGUGACUGGUGGAAAGCCUCUGUAUCCUUACUUUACAUUGAUCUUGGAUAUAAUUAUUUGUCUGGGAACAUUCCUAAGGAAUAUAAAGAUCAUCCAACUUUGGAAUACAUCGAUUUAAGUGGGAACCAUUUUACAGGUAUUUUUUUCUCUAUAUAUCUUUUCCUUUUGUCACAUGUAACUAAGCUAGUAAUCUGAUUAUUGCAGUUUUACCUAAGUUUUAACAAUCUUGACAGGUGAGCUUCCAACAACAAUUUGCAAUGCUACCUCCCUUUCGGUUCUUGCUUUGUCAAAUAAUGGAUUAAGUGGUGCACUUCCAAACUGUAUUGCGAAUCUUGCUGAUGGAUUGCUUUACAUUAAUCUUGCUAAUAAUCAGUUUCGAGGAGCAAUACCAACUACUUCAUCCAAAAGUUGUCAGCUGACCUAUCUCAACAUGGAUAAUAAUGAGUUUGAAGGAUUGCUGCCCCCAUCUUUGGCGAACUGUAAGCACUUGAAGAUUCUUGAUAUUGGCAAUAAUAAAAUAGGUGGUACAUUUCCUUCAUGGCUUUAUGCACUUGGAGAGCUAGAAGUCCUUGUCUUGCGAUCAAAUAAACUCUAUGGUCCAAUAAGUGGGAGGAGCAUAGAAAAUCCCUUCCCCAAGUUGCGGAUUUUGGAUCUGUCCAACAAUCAAUUCUCAGGCCAUUUGCCAAUUCAAUACUUCAAGAAUAUGAAAUCAACUGAUAAAUUGUAUCGCUAUCAGAAUGCCACAACAUUAACGGGUUUCCAAUAUGAUGCAUCAGUCCCAUUAACUGUGAAGGGAACAGAGUAUGAAGUGAAAAAUAUCCUUCAUAUUUACACAGCCAUUGAUCUGUCCUGCAACAAGUUUCAAGGAGAAAUUCCUGACGUUAUUGGAGAGCUUAGAUGGCUUGCAUUGCUGAACUUAUCUCAUAAUAGUCUAACAGGACCUAUCCCAUCAUUGCUGAGAAAUAUGAAAGAACUCCAAUCUUUAGAUUUGUCGUCAAAUCAACUGACAGGGGCUAUUCCACCUCAGUUAACUGCACUGACAUUUCUAGAGGUCUUCAACCUCUCGGGAAACCAUCUUAGUGGAGAGAUUCCUCAGAAAGGACAGUUCAGCACAUUUAACAAUGAUUCUUAUCUAGGAAACUCCGCGUUAUGUGGAUCACCAUUGACGAAGAAAUGUGCAAACACAGCAUCACCUCCACAAGAAGUCGGAAAUGUUGAUGAAGAUGAUGCGGGUGAUGAAUUGACAUGGGAAGCAAUCUUGAUGGGAUAUGGAUGUGGACUGAUAUGUGGAUUGUCAUCUGCUUACAUUGUUCUCAAACUAGGAAAGCCUUGGUGGUUUGUGAGAUAUAUCGAAGUGCUGCAACUGAAGUUGAUGAAAAGAUAUGCAUGAAGAAUGGUACUGGCCGAUCAAGACGAACUUGAAAGUUGUUGGACAUUUCUGAACCAGUAGUGUACUAUUCUCUUUGUGGCUGCAUAAGUUUUUGGUAUUGUGUAAUAUUCUGUUUGGUCUUGAAUUUCAGGGGUAUUAAUAUAAACCUUGGUAUUGUGUAAUAUUCUGUUUGAUCAAUGUUUAUAUCAAUAAUUUUAUGCUCCUCACUGCAUCAUGCAGCUCUCAUAUUAUCUUCAUAUGUGUAUUAUUUGGAUAUCAAAGUUGCAGGGACAUAUGGAUAUGUGUUAACAGGGACUGCUCGGUCUUGGACGGACUCUUUCCAAGUCCUCUGGGGUCCUAUCGGUUCAAAUUAGUCUAUUAUCUGCAUACUAAUUUGUCCAACUCGGGCUUGAAUAGUAAAGAUAAAGAGUGCGAGUUGAGUUUCUCAAAGUAUGAGUACAAUAUCGUUUUUGAAUGAUAGUUAGGGGUGCGAUAUGCAAUUACCUCAAAAAUAUAUGAUCAUUAGUAUAUUAUAUUAGUAUCCACACACUUAUAUCUCAAAAUCUAUCCUCCAAAAUUAUCAUCUCUAUAGGCUAGCCACAUAAAAUAAAAAUUUAAAGAUAUUAGAUUUUUAGUUAUUUUCAUUAUAUAAUUUUUCCACGCAAAAUAACAAAAUAUCUUUAUCAACUUAUUAUUUAUGAGUUAAAUAUUCAAGUUAUAUAAUUCGGACAUGCUGGGUAUAAAUUGAAGUGUAACGCCUAAUUUCCGGGGUCUGGGAGUAGUUGGCGGGGUAUGAGAGAGCAGGCUAUUUAGAAGUCUUGGUCAUGAAAACUUCCAAGCUAAACUUCGACAACGGAAUCUUCUGAGGCUACUAUUCUAAAGCACGCAUAAUCAUUGUAUCCAUUUUCCGACAAAAAGUCUAUUUAAGCAAAUGAAAUACAAACAACUGAGUGGAAUGCUGACCGAAAGUCUUUUUGACUAAGCUUAUGAUUUAUUAGUACAUGAUUAAUAUGAUAAGCUAAGCUGAGAGCAUAAGAUAUCGUGUGUAUAAUUUUGUGUUUAUUAAUGACUUAUAAAUUAUUAAAAAUAUAAUAAGAAAAAUAAAAAUGAUUUAUAACUAAUUUAUGUUUUAUGAGUAAUUUUUAUUAGAAAAAAGUUUUAAAAAAUUAUUUCACUGGAAAAAAAACCUCCAACUAACUUUUGGCUCUAAGUCAGUUUUUGAUUUAUUUAUGACUUUAUGUCGGAUUCUGAUUUUUACACAAAAAUCUGGUUUUAAACCUCUGAGUUUGGUUUCACUUCAUAUACAAACCUCAACAAUUUCACCAUCAAACACAAUGACUUCUCCAAUCUCCGGUCCAGUACCACCAGCCAUUGAGAAUUUGGCACAACUUCAAUUCCAUACCAGGUUAGUCGUCUUCGGAGAUUACACGUCUUAGACCUGUCAAAUACAAAUUUCAAUCUCCAAACUGGUCCGAUUUAUCUUCUAUGCUUUUUGUUGAGUCCGGCUCAUCUAAAGCCUUAAGAUGUUAGAGGAAGCACCCAAUGAAUCUUAUAUAUGCUAUAUUUUAACAAUUCUGAGCACACUCAACCUUGGUAUUAAUAAUAUUGUGUCGAAAAUUCCAGAAUUUAUAUCUAAUUCUCAUAGCCUAACUUUCCUUGACCUUUCCAUAUAACAAAUUUACAGUUAAUCCUGUGCUUGAAUCAGUAUUUGCAACCAAAAUUAUGCAAUUAUAGUGCAGGUAGUCUUCCAGUUUACGCUCUACACUCCAGGAUAAGCUCGCAUAUAAUUGACAGCUAUAAUCCUUCCAACACUUUGUGAUGCAAAGCAGAGGGAUAGGUUGGCUUAAAAAUAUAUAAGGUCACUUAUGCAUCGCUCUUCACACACUUAGACCCUGUUUGUGUGGGCUUUAAGUCCCGGCUCAAGCUAUUUCGACUUAAUCACUUCCGAGACCAAUACCAACAAGUUAAGAUAUCUAAAUAUGUAUGACAAUCAGUUAGAAGGACUAUUGCCGGGCAACAACCUUCUCAAAGAGUUGCCAGUUAAGAUAUCUAAACAUGUAUGACAAUCAGUUAGAACUUUAGAAGGACUAUUGCCCCCAUCUUUGUCAAACUGUAAGCACUUAAAAAUUCUUGACAUCGGGAACAAUAAAAUGGGUGGUACAUUCCCUUCAUGGCUAUUUAAUCUCGGAGAGCUAGAAGUCCUAGUCUUGCGAUCAAAUAGACUGUACGGUCCUGUAAGUGGAAGGAGCACAUCACAUCCAUUCCCCAAGUUGCGGAUUCUAGAUCUCUCCAACAAACAAUUCGCGGGCUAUUUGCCAAUUCUAAACUUUAAGAAUAUGAAACCAGCUGCUGAUGAUAACGCGUAUAGUUAUAAAAAUAAGUCACAAGGACUAAUUAAUUACAUCUAUGAAGCAUCUAUCUCCUUAAAUGUGAAAGGAACAGAGUAUGAAGUGAAGAACAUUCUUCAUAUUUACACAGCCAUUGAUCUAUCGUGCAACAAAUUUCACGGAGAAGUUCCAAAGAGAGCUUAAAUGGCUUGCAUUGCUCAAUCUAUCUCAUAAUAGUCUUGCCGGACAUAUGUUCUGAAUUAUUAUUAUGCUUUCAUCAAUAUUUUCAAACAUUUCUCAAUAUGUAUUUUCAAAGAAUUCUCAAGCCCUGGAACAUUUGGACCGGUUCUUUGGAAGCCAAGAUACCCAGGUUAUCAUGGCCAUGCACAAAAAUGAAUAAAUUAUUCCAAGUCUUCCAUGACUCAUUCCAAGUCUUCGGAGGAGACCCUGAGCACAAAGAUGCUCAGGGUCUCCCCAAGCCUUCCAGGACUCAUUCCAAGUCUUCGGAGCACGGUCUCGCCUCGCCCUUUCAAAGAUGUGAUAGUAGCUCGAGAGUGAUAUAAAUUAUUUUCCCGACACUAAAAAUAAAUAAUCAGAUCAAAUUAAUCAAUAAUGUAUUAAGGAUGAAAUCCAAAUUAAUCCUAAAUUUUGAUAAUAUAUAAAAAUUAUAAUUAUAAAUUAUAUACCAAAUCAGAAUUGAAUUAAUUCCUUGGCACUAAAAUUGAUAAAGAAAGUAUAAUAAUUUAAAUUUAAUUGAUGAAAAGUCAAAGUCUUCUAAUAAAUCCAUAAAGAAUAUGAUAAUCAAAAUAAUGAAAAUUAUAAUUGAAAAAUCAAAAUCAUUAGUGUAUUGGAAUAGUGUUCACACACUUGUAUAUCAAAAUUUGUGGUCCAAAAACUAUAGCACAAUAUCCUAAAUACACCACAUUAAAUAUUAGUUCAAAAAUAUUUAGUAAAUAAUUGUUUUCAUUCAUCAUUUUGUUAUUUAAAAAACUAAUAAUUUGGGUUGAUGUUAACCUAUAUUUUAAUAUAUAAUUAUAUUAUUUUCGUCUUAUUUAUUUAACUAGAAACAAUAUUUUUAUCAUACAUCAAUUAUAUUAAAAGAUAUAAUUUUAUUAAAAAAAUUGAAUUAUUAUUUAUGAAUUCCAGCAUGAAGCGUAUAAAUAGAAGUGUGCAGUUGAUCAGAUUUAUAACCCAGUUGAUCAGGAGAAACAUGGCAUACUCUGCAAAGACUUCUCACCUUCUUCUCUUUGUUUUCUUUCUCUCAUCACUUGAAUCCAUUCUUUCAACAAGACGAGAGGGAGAAGCUCUUGUGAAGUGGAAGAAUAGCCUAGCCCCUUCUUCUUUUCUCGACUCUUGGUCACUCACCAAUCUCGAAAAUCUUUGUAACUGGACUGGCAUUACUUGUAACUCUGCAGGUUCAGUCUCUGAGAUUAACCUUUGUGAGAAACAACUUGAUGGAAUGCUGUCCGAGUUUGGUUUCACUUCAUUUCCAAAUCUAAACAGUCUCACCCUCGCAGACAACUUCUUCUCGGGUCCAAUACCACCAGCCAUUCAGAACUUAACAAGGCUUCAAUACCUUGAUUUAAGCUUGAAUUAUCUCAAUGGUACCAUGCCUUUCUUGCGCAUCCUCAACCUCAGUAGCAAUCCUCUUGCGUCGAAAUUCCCAGAUUUUAUAUCCAGUUCUCAAAGCCUGACUCACCUUGACCUUUCAUAUAACAUGUUUACCGGUGAUCUAGCAUGUGAACCAUUAUUUGCCAACCUGCAUAAUCUUGAAGUCCUCAGUCUCGUUGAAAAUUCUUUUGAGGGGCCAUUUCCACCGGAUAUAUUCAGGCUUUCCAAAUUAAAACAUCUUAGCCUGUCAGUUAACAAACUUUCAGGUUCAAUUCCCAAUGACAUAAGGUUGCUUUGUGAUCUUGAAUACCUAUAUUUAGCCAACAAUUCCUUUGAAGGACCACUUCCACCAAAUAUAUUCAAGCUUUCAAAAUUAAAACAUCUUGUUCUUUGGGGUAAUAAGUUUUCAGGUUCUGUUUCCAAUGAUAUAGGUUUGCUUUCGGCGCUUGAAGCCCUCGAUCUUUAUUCUAAUUUUUUUGAGGGGCCGCUUCCACCAAAUAUAUUCAAGCUCUCAAAACUAAGGAUUCUUUCCCUUGGGAACAAUAACUUUUCAGGUUCUGUCUCUAAUAAUAUAGGUUUGCUUCCUGAGCUUGAAACCCUAUGUCUUGACUCUAAUUUGUUUGAGGGGCCGCUUCCCCCACAUAUAUUCACGCUCUCUAAAUUAAGAUAUCUAGACCUCUCAAACAAUAGAAAUUUAUUUGAAAGAAGUAUUCCUAUUGGAUUGGGACUCUUGACUAACCUCAGGUACUUAGAUCUAUAUUCCAGUAAUCUCAGCGGCUAUAUUCCAUCUGACAUUGGAAACCUGAAGCUACUAGUAGGUCUUAAUCUCGGUUCUAAUAAAUUGACUGGACCAGUUUCAAAGAUCGUUUCUAAUCUCACAAAUCUUAUAUUUCUUAGUGUAAGAAAUAAUAGUCUUAGUGGAAAUAUUCAGAGUGACUUGUGGAACUUCCCUAAGGAAUAUAACAAUCAUCCAACUUUGGAAUACAUCGAUUUAAGUGGGAACCAUUUUACAGGUAUCUUUUCUCUAUAUAUCUUUUCCUUUUCUCAUAUGUAACUAAGCUAGUAAUCUGAUUAUUGCAGUUUUACCAAAGUUUCAACAAUCUUGACAGGUGAGCUUCCAACAACAAUUUGCAAUGUCACUUCCCUUUCGGUUCUUGAUUUGUCAAAUAAUGGAUUAAGUGGUGCACUUCCAAACUGUUUCGGGAAUCUUGCUGAUGGAUUGCUUUACCUUAAUCUUGCUAAUAAUCAGUUUCGAGGAACAAUACCAACUACUUUCUCCAGGAGUUGUCGGCUGAAAUAUCUAAACAUGGAUAAUAAUGAGUUUGAAGGAUUGAUGCCCCCAUCUUUGGCGAACUGUAAGAACUUGAGAAUUCUUGAUAUUGGCAACAAUAAAAUAGGUGGUACAUUUCCGUCAUGGCUUUAUGCACUUGGAGAGCUAGAAGUCCUUGUCUUGCGAUCAAAUAAACUCUAUGGUACAAUAAGUGGAAGGAGCAUAGAAGAUCCCUUCCCCAAGUUGCGGAUUGUGGAUCUGUCCAACAAUCAAUUCACAGGCCAUUUGCCAAUUCAAUACUUUAAGAAUAUGAAAUCAACUGAUAAUUUGUAUCGUUAUCAGAAUGACACAGGAGAUUUUAUUUUCCAUUAUGAAGCAUCUGUCUCAUUAACUGUGAAGGGAACAGAGUAUGAAGUGAAAAAUAUCCUUCAUAUUUACACAGCCAUUGAUCUGUCGUGCAACAAAUUUCAGGGAGAAAUUCCAAAGGUUACUGGAGAGCUUAGAUGGCUUGCAUUGCUCAACUUAUCUCAUAAUAGUCUUACUGGACCUCUCCCAUCACUGCUUGGAAAUAUGGAAGCACUCCAAUCUUUAGAUUUGUCUUCAAAUCAACUGACAGGGGCUAUUCCACCUCAGUUAACCGCAUUGACAUUUCUAGAAGUCUUAAACCUCUCGAGAAACCAUCUUAGUGGAGAGAUUCCUGAGAAAGGACAGUUCAGCACAUUCAACAAUGACUCUUAUCUAGAAAACUCUGCGUUAUGUGGAUCACCCUUGACGAAGAAAUGUGUAAACACUGCAUCACCCCCACAGGAAGUCGGAAAUGGUGAUGAAGAUGAUGCUGGUGAUGAGUUGACAUGGGAAGCAAUCGUGAUGGGAUAUGGAUGUGGACUGAUAUGUGGAUUGUCAUCUGCAUACAUUGUUCUCAAACUAGGAAGGCCUUGGUGGUUUGUGAGAUAUGUCGAAGUACUGCAACUGAAGUUGAUGAAAAGAUAUGCAUGAAGAAAGGUACUGGUCGAUCAAGACAAACUUGAAAGUUGUUGUCCUGGUAGACAUUUCUGAACCAGUAGUGUACUAGCUGCAUAAGUAUUUGGUAUUAUGUAAUAAUCCAUUUGGUCGGGACUCAUAAUGAUUUCUCUUGCUUCAGGGGUAUUAAUAUUAACCUUGCUAUCUUGAUCUGUGUUAAUGCAAAUGAAAAAGAAUGGAAAAACAAAAAAAUUGCAUCAAACCUGUUGUACCAAGAUCCAUUAAUCUGCUUUCAUCUCUUACGCAACAAUUUAACAGCACUUUCACACUGUUUGAAUGAUUAUCAUAAAUUCGAGUUUUCCUCGCCAGCACCAAAUCCAAAUAUACAAUCCCACACAUUCCAGUCUCAGCUUCAGCUCCCAGGCUAGCAUUGAUUUAGCCAAGCACGACAGUGGCCGCUUGUGUGCCUAACAAUGACAGUUGGGGAUUUGAUGGAACGUGCCUUGGUCCUGCCUUCAAAUGUCUAACAAUAACAGUUGGAUAUGUCGACAAAAAAAUUGUUCCUCACACUGAGGAAUAACUCUGACAGUUCUUUUCAUUGUGCCUUGGUCCAGUAAGUGGAAGGAGCACAUCACAUCCAUUCCCCAAGUUGCGGAUUCUAGAUCUCUCCAACAACCAAUUCACGGGCUAUUUGCCAAUUCAAUACUUUAAGAAUAUAUGAAACCAGCUGCUGAUAAAGCGUAUAGUUAUCAAAAUAAGUCACAAGGACUAAUUAAUUACAUAUAUGAAGCCUCUAUCUCCUUAAAUGUGAAAGGAACAGAGUAUGAAGUGAAAAACAUCUCUUUAUAUUAUAGCUCCUGAUGCGUGAUUUGUACAGUUACCACACUGCUUAAUUCUUCACCUCAAAGUUCCACCUUAUUACAAAAAUGCCACCGCUCUAUUAAGCGGCACCCACGUAAGCUCAUUGCCACCACGUGCUAUCUUCCUGCUGUCUUUUGUUUAUUUUAUUCACUAAACCGUACUUACCCGAAGCUUAUGUAACAAGCUUACAUUCUUUACAUUUUACUCAUUUCAAAAUUUAAAACCCAGCCUCCACGGCUCCCUUACAAAAGUAACCGGUUUGAACGUAAAGUUUUCAAAACUAACCAGCCUACGUUCAACUUUUCAAAACUAACCAGCCUAAAUCAAAAAAAGUCGGGCGACCCUUACCUGUUUUUUUCCCGAGCACCGGUCGCCCUCCUCAGGGGCGUCCCCCAUUGGAGUUCAUCAAGCACAGGUCGCCCUCCUCAGGGGCGUCCCCCCUUGAAGUUCUGUGACGUGGUCCGCCCAAUCACGGGCGACCACGUGUGACACUACCCCCUUAAAACCCCCUCCCAGCCACACAAACACACAAUUACACACACAUUUGCACACACUCAGUUUGAAAACAACACUGCAGCAGCCACAGCAAGGAGCCGAAAGGGGAGAUUUUGGUAAAGGAAGGAAGAAAAGUGGGAGAGGAUCGCCCGAGCUAGCAUCAAGGUCGCCCACCCUAGCAAAAAAUUUGAAGGUACUACCUUAUUCCUCCCCUAAAUAUUAGUAUAUAAAGCCUUGAUUUGUAAUUUAUUACUUGAUUAGUUUGUCUUGCAUGUUACAAAUAUCGAUUAUGUUCAUGAUUAUGGCUAAUUUAUAGACUAGUGUUAUAAUUACCGGCUUGAGAUUAGUGUUAUAAUUACCGGAUUGAGAUUUGGUACAUUAUGAUUUUUAAAUUUGUUAAAAAAUUUAAAGAUUUAUAAUAGAAAUUAAGGAUAAUUUAUAGAUUUGAUAUGUUGGAAUUUAAGAUUUUAUGCUUUUUAGAUUUUGUAGGUAGUAAUUAAAUUUAGUUGGAGAGAAAAAAUAUAAUAUAAUAUUCGAAUUAAAAAGAUAUUGAGAAUAUAAUAUUCGAAUUAAAAAAUAUUCGAAUUAAAAUAUAUUAAAAUAUAAUAUUCGAAUUAAAAAUAUAAUAUAAUAUUCGAAUUAAAAUAUAAUAUAAUAUAUAUUCGAAUUAAAAAAUAUUCGAAUUAAAAUAUAUUAAAAUAUAAUAUUCAAAUUAAAAAUAUAAUAUAAUAUUCGAAUUAAAAUAUAAUAUAAUAUAUAUUCGAAUUAAAAAAUAUUCGAAUUAAAAUAUAUUAAAAUAUAAUAUUCGAAUUAAAAAAUAAUAUAAAAUAUAUUGAGAAUUAAAAAAAUUAGAAAGCAAAUAAAAUAUUCGGAUAAAAAAGAUAUUAAUAGCUAAUAUUAAAAAAAAUCGAUUUAUAAUAAUAAAAAUUCGAAAAAAAGCAAAAUAAUCGAAUUAAAAUAAAAUUUUCGAACAUAUAUUAAUAAAAAUCUUAAUUAUAUUAAUAUAUAAUUCGAAUAUAUGAAAUUUCGAGAAUUAGAAUAUUUAUGAAAUUAAGAGAAUUAAAAUAAAUAGGAAAUUCGAACAAAAAUUAAUUUAAGGUACGCUCUCGAUUCUCUCUAAAUUAAUGUGUAUAUAUAUAUAAUGACUUGAUUUGGAUUAUUGUUGUUUUAUUAGCUUGAGUUGCAUGUUAUAAGAUCGGUUAGUUUAUUGAUUGUGGCUUGAGAUUUGUUAUAAUUGAAAUUAAGGCUAAUUUAUAGAUUUGAUAUGUUGGAAUUAAGGCUAAUUGAAAUUAAGGCUAAUUUAUAGAUUUGAUAUGUUGGAAUUAAGGCUAAUUGAAAUUAAGGCUAAUUUAUAGAUUUGAUAUGUUGGAAUUUAAGAUUUUGUGCAUGUUAGAUUUUGUAGGUAGUAAUUUAAUUUAGUUAGAAACAAAAGCUUUGAAUUCGAAUUACAAAUAUUAUGUUGGAAUGAGAUUUUGUAUAUAUACAAAAGCUUUGAAUUCGAAUUAUAAAUAUAUUUGAAAAUUGUUGGCGCAGAUGGAUCCUGCAGCUUAUCAUCCCGGGCCGGUUAACGGCACUUUGUUGACAUUGCAGGACACGCAUAGGUCCACUUUUGUGUGGAACAGUAGUACGGUAAUGACUUGAUGGACUGUUGUUUAUUAAAGUUAAUGUUUGCUUCACUAUAAACUGCUGACAAGUUCCUGUAUUUUAAAUUGCAGGACAUUCCUGAUCUUAGAGUCAGGACGAACUUCGGUGAGUACUGGAAUGUAGUUGACCAAACCAGGCCGCCUCAGACGAUAAUAGAUGCUAUUAAUGAUGCGGGCUUUGAGUGGGUGUUCAGGUUGGGUCAGGUCAAGCAUGACAGGGGCUUGAUCACUGCUUUUAUCGAGAGGUGGCGUCCAGAGACGCACACUUUUCAUCUACCUUUCGGGGAGGCCACCAUUACACUGGAGGAUGUCCAUCACAUUCUCGGGUUACGAACCACUGGCCGGCCAUUUAUUCUACAUGGCUUCACCACCACAGCUCGCGAGAGAUUGGCCAUGAUACGCGAUGUUCUUGGAGUGACUCCUAAGCCGGCUGAUGUGAGGAAGAACGGCUUGAGGAUCGGUUGGUUGAUUGAAAAAUUUGGCGACUGUGCCCGGUUGGACGAGGCAGCGGAGGAUUUUGAUGCACAGACUAUCUUUCACAUCAGGGCACACCUACUGUGUGUUAUUGGAUCGUUGUUUCCUGAUAGCAGCGGGAACUAUGUGAAUCUCAACCUCCUUUGGAUGCUACGUGACUUGCAGAGCGUGGAUGGUUAUAGCUGGGGGAGUGCUGUUCUUGCAUACCUUUAUAGGAAGAUGUGCGAUUCCACCCAUAAAGUCACAACCGGCUUCAUUGGCUACGCCACCACUACGCCAUAUAUGAUCUAUCGCAAUGGUAUGAACGCGAGUGUUGCAAAAUUAUGUUGCAAUAGAGACACUGAUCCAUAUCUACCGCAACGAUAACCAUUCAUGUCAAUUAUAUGUUGCAAUAGCAAACAUUAUGUGUUGCAGCUUGUAAUAUACUUGUAAAAGUGUUAGCUUAAAGUAUUAUAAUAUUAUUUUAACAUUAAAUAAUAAUUUAAAUUAUUUUAACAAUAUUUUAAAGUGAUAUGCAAAUUAAAUAAAUAAGAUACGCGAUGAUAUGCAAAUUUUAUUCAUAAUAAUUAAAAAAAUUAAAAUAGGAAUUUUAAAAGUAAUUAAUUUUUUUAAAAGCAAUGAAAAGUAAAAAUAAUUAAAUUCCCCUUGUUUUGAUAUCAGAACUGAUAUAUAAGUUUCAAAAAUAAAAAUAUAGAUAUACGAAUUAUAAGUAGUAAUAAAUACAUAUAAUGAAUUUUGUUCCUAAAAUAAUUACAUGAAUUUUAUUUGUUAAAAUAAUAAAGUAUAGGUGCAGACGUGCAGUACAUUAUUUGACUUUAUUGAACUGGGCAAAUAUCGAGCUCAAAGCGGGUAAAAAUUAGGCUUACAGCCGCCCAAAUUUUCAGCCAAGUUUGAAAUUUUCACACAUACACUAUACACGCUCGAGUCUCCUUGAAUACCCUCAACACUCACUACACUCUCUCCCUCGCUCAACUCUCUCUCCCUUCUCUACUCUCUCUCUCUUGUUAAUCUCUCUGAAGCUAAUCUCUCUCUGGCCACCAUUUUCACUCAAUCUCGCCAUCACUUUUAAUUAACUUGGAUUUGCAUUUAUAGUUGGAGCACAGUUGAUUUGUGGGUCGAGGUUCCAAUUCUUCAAUUAGGGUUUUGGCUUUUCAAUCAGGGUUUUGGUUCUUCAUUAAACUUCAAUUAGGGUUCAAUUACUUACAUAUAAUCUCUUAAACUUCAUCUGAUAUCUCUUUCUCUUUGAUUUCAGGUGUUCUUAGUUUGGGUUUGCACUCCAAGACUUUAUUAUAAGGUAUUUUUGAAUUUAGGGCUUCAUGUUAUGAGUUUAUUUGCAUUUAGUGUUCUUUGUUUUUAUGUUUAUUUGGUUUAUUAUCUUUAUCUAGUUUAUUUCCUUUGAUUUUUUGUUUUUUUUUUCAUUUGUUUUGUGAAAUUGCAAUACUCUGUUUUUGUGUUAAUUUUUUUGUUGCUUAAAAGUGUUCAACAACAAUAUUCUUCUUAAUUAUAAAAGAUCUAUCACGAGGAAGAGGUCCCUGUUUUGUAUAAUAUCUUGUAUGUCUUUUCUUUUCUGUAUAUUAUUAAGCUACCUUGGGGCAUCCUUUUUCUAGACCAGAUUUCGUGCGCAAUCUUUAGUAAAGAGCAAAUAUUCCGAUUCUUUUGCAUUUGUCUCAAUGUCAGUGCUUUGCAUAUAUGGAUAUAUUUUACAUGAAAAUGGUGCUUUUGUUGUUGGCCUGCUUAAUGUUCAAGACAUGUAGUCAACUCAGUUUAGUGUGACAAUAAGACUUUCUCAUUUCAUUAUGAUUCUCACAUAUUUUAUGCUCGUCACAGUACAACACAGUUUUGUAUUUGGUGUGAGUGAGCAGUAAAGAAUUCUAUGGAAGAUGCUAGUGACUACCGGUGGUAUAUAACCAGGUAAAAAUAAUGCUCAGUUGAUAAUCCUUAUAAGGGAGGCUCUUACUAUUUCUUCCUCUUUAACAUUGAGUUGUUUUAAUGUACAUACUAGCUGGUUGCUCAAGUGUUCUAUCAUUAUAAUGUAUACAUUGGAUACAAUAUUUGUUCAAUGAGGUAUCUAACUAGCUUGCUGAUGGCCGGGGACUAUAGAUUUAUUCAUUGCUAAUUGGUUAUAUUCGUUGUACCUGUUAUGCCUCAAUCAUAAUGGCAUAGUGACAAUAAAAGGAAAACGAAUUAUAAAUAUUUCACAUAGCAUGCUCUAGUUAUCUACAACUAUUGUUUUGGACUUCUGGUUUGGCAUUUAUAAUAAGUUGGCAUAUGUCUUUGAAUUCAUAUAGUUUGUAGCAUGACCUAAUUGGCACAAGUCAUCCUCUGCCAUGUCUUAUAUCUUUAGUUAGUAAGAAUUAAUAUUUCCCAUGUUUCAGCCACUAUACAAAUAUUGAUCAUGGACGAAGUUCUUACCCUGUUUAGUAUUAAUUUCAUUAUCUGCUGCAACUUUAUUGUGUUAUCUGUGCACUGCCCAACUAAGUACACAUAAUUUGAGUUUAAAAUAAAGCAUGCUUCUUUACUGGAGCUCAGCUUAGUAGUUGCAUUGUAUUGUUGCAGGAGAAGCUUAAGCCGUUAAUGGAUCAACUUAACAAAGUCAAAGACUUGACUGUUCCAGAAUUUGGAAAUUUCCGAACUUGAGAAGUGCGAGCAAAUGCAAGAAUAUGUUUAUAUAUAAUAGUGUAGUGUAGUGGGAUGUUUGGUUGGAUUCGUUUAAUACUUUGAUUUGGUUGGAUUUGUUAGGUAGUUUUGUUUGGUUGGAUUUGUUAUAAACUUUGAUUUGUAUGAAAGAAUAGUUUAAUGUUUCAGUGGAUAUAGUGAAAUAUUGCAAAGUUGUUAAUUUAGUCUUGCAUUAGCACAUAUAUGUUGUAGUAGCUAAUAUAUAUAUGUUUCAAUUUAUAACAAAAAAUGUUGCAAACAUGCAACUGAAAAACAGGUGUCCAAACAUAGGACCCACAUGUGUGACCCACGUGUGGGUCCCACUUUUUUUGAAAUCAGGAGGUCUAACGUAACAUAAUAUAUUUGUUGCUAUAGGGUAGUCAGAUGUUGCAAUAUCACGUCUAUUGUAACAUAAAAAGCCGUGUUGCAGUAGGUUACCCAAAUGUUGCAAUAGAAGCCUAGGGCAACAUGAAAAAAUGCAACUUAAAUUUUAUGUUGCAAUAGCCCUUUUUCGGGCUAUGGCAACAUAUUUUGGGGUUAUGGCAUCAUUUUUUUGAUGUUGUCNNNNNNNNNNNNNNNNNNNNNNNNNNNNNNNNNNNNNNNNNNNNNNNNNNNNNNNNNNNNNNNNNNNNNNNNNNNNNNNNNNNNNNNNNNNNNNNNNNNNNNNNNNNNNNNNNNNNNNNNNNNNNNNNNNNNNNNNNNNNNNNNNNNNNNNNNNNNNNNNNNNNNNNNNNNNNNNNNNNNNNNNNNNNNNNNNNNNNNNNNNNNNNNNNNNNNNNNNNNNNNNNNNNNNNNNNNNNNNNNNNNNNNNNNNNNNNNNNNNNNNNNNNNNNNNNNNNNNNNNNNNNNNNNNNNNNNNNNNNNNNNNNNNNNNNNNNNNNNNNNNNNNNNNNNNNNNNNNNNNNNNNNNNNNNNNNNNNNNNNNNNNNNNNNNNNNNNNNNNNNNNNNNNNNNNNNNNNNNNNNNNNNNNNNNNNNNNNNNNNNNNNNNNNNNNNNNNNNNNNNNNNNNNNNNNNNNNNNNNNNNNNNNNNNNNNNNNNNNNNNNNNNNNNNNNNNNNNNNNNNNNNNNNNNNNNNNNNNNNNNNNNNNNNNNNNNNNNNNNNNNNNNNNNNNNNNNNNNNNNNNNNNNNNNNNNNNNNNNNNNNNNNNNNNNNNNNNNNNNNNNNNNNNNNNNNNNNNNNNNNNNNNNNNNNNNNNNNNNNNNNNNNNNNNNNNNNNNNNNNNNNNNNNNNNNNNNNNNNNNNNNNNNNNNNNNNNNNNNNNNNNNNNNNNNNNNNNNNNNNNNNNNNGCUUAUCCUCGUAUGUAGUUUGUUUAUGGUUAUGUACCUGACCAUGUACUCGUACAUUUUUAUUUCUUGAUCUGAUUAUGUACUCUUAGUCUAGUAGAUCGGUUGUUACGUUAUUAUGCAGUUCUUGUGCAUUCUUAUGUCAUAAUGUUUUAUAAUGAUUCAAGCAUUGAAAUUCAUAUGGACAAUAAAGGAAACCUAACAUAACAUAAUAAACGACAGAACACUAAAACACAUACACAUGUUGAUCUUUCUCGAAACCAGUAAAACUGACUUUAUUUUGACUAAACUUUACAUAUAUCAAAUAACUGAAAAAAAUAAUAUAAAAUUUGAAUUACUUGAACAACAAAAGUUGAGACAUUACAUAUAAGAUACAAUACAUAUAGUAAUGGGGGUGAUCUUUUGGAGAAAAUACCUAACUCAAAGGGAUUUCUUCAAAUAAUUUGAGAUGGGUCAGAGCUUCAAGAAUCUGUGUACUCUGCUUUUACAAGUACAAAGUGGGAAAAAGUGAGACAUAAAUAAAAUGUAGUGAAGUAUUUGAGAUGGGAGAAAGUAAAACUAACUUAAUUUCAUAUUAAUAUUGUGAAGAUAUUAGCAUAGAAUGAUAAAUAUACAUUUCUACUACCCAUUUAUAAAAGAAAUAUUAUAAAAUAUAAAACUCUACGCUUUAAAUUUAAAUUGUUUUAAGUUGUUUUCUAUUAAAUUAUUUUCCCCACAGGGGAAAAUAAUAUUAAAUUGUUUUAAUAUUAUUGUUUUAUUAUUAUUUGAUUAUUAAAUUAACGAGUACAUAAUUUGUAAAGUUUAGUGCUAAGAUAUAUAUAUUAUUUAAUUUUAUUAAUUAUAUUAAUUUCACAAAACAAUUAAAAUUUGAUUUUAAAUAAAAUAUUAAAUAUAUAAUACAAUAAUAUUAAAUGGCGUAUAAUCAGUGUUACAGAAAUCGGGAAUCGGACCUAAUCGGUUGAGCUACCGAUUCAGGGAUUAAUCGGAAAUCGGAGAUUAAUCGGACUGAAAAUCGGAUUUAUUUUAAUAUUAAAAUAUUAUUUAUUAUUUAGUUAUUAUUAUAUUAGGUAUCUAGUAACUAAUAUAUUUACUAUAUUCAUAAACUCUAUAAUUAUUCAUAUUUAAAGUAAUAUAGUAUUUUAAUUCUAAUAAUUUAUCACAUAUACUUCUAUUAGAAAAUAUGUUAUAAGGAUUAAUCGGAUUUUAAAAAUCGAAUCGGUGGCCGACCUUGCAGGAGAUUAAUCGAGGAUUAAUCAGUUAAAUCGGGGAUUUUUAGAACAUUCGGCGUAUUAUAAUACAAUUAUAUCAAAAUUUAAAAAAAAAUCAGUACCUCAGUUUGGGUAUCGGUCAGCCACCUAGGACAAGUGAAUGAGUGAAACCGCUACAAAAAAUGUAGUAGUAUGGGUCGCCCCUGUCAAGGGCGAUCCUAACUGUAUUUUGUAACAGUAUGGGUCGCCCCUGACGAGGGCGACCUGAACGGGGAAAAACUUCAGCUUGGGUCGCCCGACUUUUUUUGAUUUAGGCUGGUUAGUUUUGAAAAGUUGAACGUAGGCUGGUUAGUUUUGAAAACUUUACGUUCGAACUGGUUACUUUUGUAAGGGAGCCCAGCCUCCACCAUUGCAGCUCUGAGCAGCCAUGAACCAGGUUAUACUCCAGUCUCCUUUUCUCCCCCGCGUGUGUAAGUCUGUACUGCAGCCCACAUUUUCAACACGCUUCUGUCCUAAGCUUCGCAAGAAAUAUCUUUUUUUUGAAAUUCAAAAAAUUUGCGCACCAUAUCAUCGUCCAGCCAAACCACCAUCGGCGAAUCAGCAAAUAUACAUAUCAGAUCUAAUAUACACCAAUCUGAGCUUUGAUGACUGAGGUUUGAUUUGUGUUUUAUUUAAUAAAAUGAUAAAAUGAUGUCUUCUUUCAUGAUCAUGCGAUUAAUCGAUUGUAACUUUAAGGGAGAUGGAACAAGCAAUUCACGACGUCUAUUUACCUCCGAAGACAUGAUUAGUGGUAUGGUUACAUAAAUUUAACUUCUCUAUUUUUCUACCAUGUGUGGCCUAAUUGUUUCAUCUCUUGCUUUGUAGGUUAUCAGUCCAAAAAGCGGAGGAAAAGGGGCUACACAAUUAAGAGAUGAAACAGUAUUGAGCAUGUGAGCUUUAAAACUUGAUGAUUAAAUUUUUCAUAUUAUAUUUGUUCUGUAUUUAGAAAUUUGUGGAGGAUGUGUUUGAUAAUAUGUCUGAGAGAAGAAGUUAAUAAAUUUAUCGUGUUGAGGAUGUGUUUGAUGAUAUGUCCGAGUGAAAAAAUUAAUAAAUUUAUUUUCAAAAUGUUGCGAACAAAUUGUAAUUUAUAUCUAGCAGCUUCAAAUAAUUUUUUUUAGAGCAAAAAGAAUCGCAAUUGCAUGUGAAGAGAUGCACCUCCCUGAUAUUAGACUUUUAGUGUAAUUGCAUGUGUAACUAAACCGCUUGACUAUAAUGUUGGUGUAGAGUACGGAGCUUUAAUUUAUGAUGUUCUCCUCAAUCUGUCCAAAUUAUAGCUGAUCGUGGGAAUCAACUUUAGGGUAAGCUCUGCUCUGAAACUCAUUUUCUUAUAUUGGAACUUGGUUAUUUCUUAAAUGAAACGACUUUGACGUUUUCACCGAGUAGUCAUAGAUGCGUGAGUUGUACAAUAGUAAAAGAAAAAUAAAUUACAUAAAGACUGUCUGAGGUAAAAUAGUAUACAAGCUGCAAUUUUAUAUUUGGUACAUUGACGUAAAAAGUUAUUGUUAUGUUCAGGGGGAGGUGCUGAGAAAUGACAUGAUUAUAUCAUACGAGCGGCGACAAACUACUGAAGUUGCAAAAGAAAUGAUCUUAAAGAAAGCAGAGAAAGUGGGGGAGUUUUUUCAAGAAAAGAAUUUAAAGAGGAGAUGAGAUGCCAGAGUAUUACGCGCUAUUGCCGAAACAGGAUUAAAAACUAUAUUGGGUAUCUCUUCUUGAUCUCUUGAUUAAUUCCACUAGGAAGCUUCAAUAUUAUAUAGGAAGUUUUCUUUUUAAGCUUAAUUUUGAAUUUGAAUCCUCAAACUAUAACUACUGUAUAUCUCUUUAUAUUAUAGCUCCUGACGCCGGGAACUUCCCCUUCUACAACCAGCCCAACUGUACAUAACAGUUGCUUGCUUAUGAAUUUCAAAUUUAUAUUAUAAUGUUUAUAUGUAAUAUUGAAUCAAAGUUGCUUGCUUGCUUAUGUAAUAUUGAAUAUCUACUGUUGGAUGAUUGUUAACUGCUGUGUUACCAAGUGUUUGAUUAAAUUCCUACAAGUUUUGUUUGAAUUUUGUUCUUUAUUUAUCAUUAGUAUGUUUCAUUUUUAUGUUUGACUCUAUGCUAAUCGCUGAUAAGAUUUCUAUGAUUAUAGGAGAUGAGUGUUCUUAUGGCAUGAAUGAUAUUGGAAAAGUGAAAUGUGUUGAUGCUUUGUGUAAAUAAAUCAUGAUCUGCCGUUAUAGUUUUCUGUUUGUUUUCAAUUUGUGUGUACCUAGGUGGUUGUUACUGAGCAUUGAUCAACUGUGUUAAUUAAUUUAUUAAAAUGGAGUUGAGUCUGAGAACUAAAGGGCAAUUAUAUACUUCUUUAGGCUUUCCUUAACAUGUUUUUAUUCAUUAAAAAAAAUCGAUGAGUUUUUAUAAAUAUAUAUACUCUGUUAUUUUCUCUGUACCUAAUUAAAAGGAUUUUAAUUCGAAUUAUAGGUGUUUGUCAUGUGAAUAUUAUCUAAAAGAUAAUGGGGCCGUUUGGGUUAGCUUAAAAGAAGUGACUUUUUGCUUAUAGUAAAGAAGUGGAGUAGAAGUGAGAAGUAAAUAAGUUAAUAAAGUGUUUGGAAAAGAAGCAGAAGCUGUGAGAGAGAAGCUAGCAUUCUCAGCUUCUUAAAAGUGCUUCAACUUCUUUACACAAACAGGUCAAGAGAAGCAGAAGCCAGAAGCAGCUUCUGCUUCUCUUGGCCAAACAGGCCCAAUAUCUUUAAGGUCUCUUGCAUUGGUCAUUUAAUGUGUUAAUUAAAAGUUUACAUUUAAAUUUUUUGAUCUAAUAAUUUUGGAUAGAUGGUUUGUGAGGUUAAUGAAUGAACUAAUAUGGAAUGAUAAAAUGUAGGAGGUCUGGAAAGAUGGGUUUCAAUGCAGGUUUAUUGCUACUUUCCUUCAGGUCUGCAUUGCUUUGGUCUGUCUUCAGGACUGAGACUGUGAUUGGUUUCGGAACAGACACAAGUAUAUAUAUGGACCAAUGCAAAGCACCUGAUUAUCAUACUUUAGGCUUUUGCUCUGCUUUCUAUGGUAAAAAAAAGUGACAUUACUUCGAAUCUGAUACAGUUUAUCCAAGAGCUUGCUUCAAUAUUAAGAAUGCAAUACGUGUUGCAGAUAAAAUUUUGACCAGCAACAUUGGGGCACCCAACCCAAAUCUAGCAACAUUGGCCGUGGAGCUUUAAAUAUCUCCGUAAGAUUCUUUUCCCUCGCAGGCAGGCAUCUUUUUCUGCGAAAAAUAUACAAGAAAAAAGGACUAAUUUGUUUAAUUGAAAAUAAAUUUCGGAUGAGUUGGAUUAAGAAUCAAAUGGAGAGUCCUGUUUUGGUUUCAUUUUGAUGGAGAGGUUGCUUAGGUCCUGUUUUGAUCGAAAGGUUGAAAAAAUAUUUGGUAUUUUUUGGUCUCAUUUUGGUUUGUUUCGUUCCUUCACAGGUGUGCAACAAGUGAUGAUAGUAUUUAAACAUGAUUAGCAAACUGCCCAGCAAUCCAUGCAUGGCAAGGGGAAUGCACAGCUUAAUGAUUUCAGUCUCCGUACCAUCCAAGUGCAACAAAAAUCAAUUAUCUUGUGAUGUCUAGGAUUCUACAAAAGUAAGAAGCCUUCAUUCAUCUUCAUUCAUCCCCUGUUACUAGAAAAGCAUUGGUAGCCUAUAAGCAGGUACACUAAGUAGCUCACCUAAUUUUUGCAUUUCAGUAUCAACGGAAAGUGGUGCAGGACUCCACUUUAUAAUUAAAUUAUGUGUCUAAAUUAUGCGUGUUGUAAUGUUUAGUGACCAUGUUCCAGACCCGACAUGUCCUUACUUGGCAGAUCAAGUUAUCCAAGAUUUGGGAAGGAGUUUCGCCUUUGAGAUCUCCAACAAGUAAGAAGAAAUAAUGUCAAGGAAUGAACUAAUGUAAAAUGAUAAGAAGAUGAAGGUAUAAAACAAUGAUUAUAAUGUAGGCUUCUUCGUAAUGUAAUGAACAAAAUAAUGGAGUAACUAUAACUAUUCUUGCUGCAAGCCUGUGUUUGUUUAAUGCUAUCUGGCAGUAGUUUAGCAUUGGUAUAUUCCUUAAGGUGGAUUUGGAUAGAGUGAGAGGAGACAUUACUUAUCUUUACCUAGCUACUGCUUUUCAUGAGAUUUGGGCAGAGCGUAACAUUAGAAUUCAUCAUCCUAAGAGUUUUAAAGUUGCAAACCGGCUUAUCAAGGACAUAAUAGCCUCUGUUACUAUUUUUACAUGCUCCUCUAUUGUUGUGUGAACUUGCUGAACUCCUUUUUUCUGUUGUUCUACUUACUAAAAUCUUUUUAAUUUUCUUUUGUUAGGUACACUAAGUGGUUCACUCAAUUUUGGCAUUUUAGUAUCAUUGGCAAGUGGUGUAGGACUCCAUGAUUCUGUGUUGUCCACAAGCAACGAAAAAAANNNNNNNNNNNNNNNNNNNNNNNNNNNNNNNNNNNNNNNNNNNNNNNNNNNNNNNNNNNNNNNNNNNNNNNNNNNNNNNNNNNNNNNNNNNNNNNNNNNNNNNNNNNNNNNNNNNNNNNNNNNNNNNNNNNNNNNNNNNNNNNNNNNNNNNNNNNNNNNNNNNNNNNNNNNNNNNNNNNNNNNNNNNNNNNNNNNNNNNNNNNNNNNNNNNNNNNNNNNNNNNNNNNNNNNNNNNNNNNNNNNNNNNNNNNNNNNNNNNNNNNNNNNNNNNNNNNNNNNNNNNNNNNNNNNNNNNNNNNNNNNNNNNNNNNNNNNNNNNNNNNNNNNNNNNNNNNNNNNNNNNNNNNNNNNNNNNNNNNNNNNNNNNNNNNNNNNNNNNNNNNNNNNNNNNNNNNNNNNNNNNNNNNNNNNNNNNNNNNNNNNNNNNNNNNNNNNNNNNNNNNNNNNNNNNNNNNNNNNNNNNNNNNNNNNNNNNNNNNNNNNNNNNNNNNNNNNNNNNNNNNNNNNNNNNNNNNNNNNNNNNNNNNNNNNNNNNNNNNNNNNNNNNNNNNNNNNNNNNNNNNNNNNNNNNNNNNNNNNNNNNNNNNNNNNNNNNNNNNNNNNNNNNNNNNNNNNNNNNNNNNNNNNNNNNNNNNNNNNNNNNNNNNNNNNNNNNNNNNNNNNNNNNNNNNNNNNNNNNNNNNNNNNNNNNNNNNNNNNNNNNNNNNNNNNNNNNNNNNNNNNNNNNNNNNNNNNNNNNNNNNNNNNNNNNNNNNNNNNNNNNNNNNNNNNNNNNNNNNNNNNNNNNNNNNNNNNNNNNNNNNNNNNNNNNNNNNNNNNNNNNNNNNNNNNNNNNNNNNNNNNNNNNNNNNNNNNNNNNNNNNNNNNNNUUUUACAUGCUCCUCUAUUGUUGUGUGAACUUGCUGAACUCCUUUUUUCUGUUGUUCUACUUACUAAAAUCUUUUUAAUUUUCUUUUGUUAGGUACACUAAGUGGUUCACUCAAUUUUGGCAUUUUAGUAUCAUUGGCAAGUGGUGUAGGACUCCAUGAUUCUGUGUUGUCCACAAGCAACGGAAAAAAAGCCUGCAGAAAUGUUUCGAAUACUUUGAACGAAAUAAAGGUACAUUAUUAGGCAAGUGAUUGUGGCGGCAGAGAUAGCAGUUUGAUUGCUACACAAUUAUGUGUUUCACAAGAUUUUGCUAUUUUAAAUUAUAGUAAAUUUGAUUAAAUCCCACUCGGAAAGUUUGAAAUUUCUUGAUGUUGCUUAGUUAAAAUUUGGAUAUGGACAAUUAUGAUAUUUGUGAAUUUGGGUUCUUUUUAUAGGUGAUUUUUGAACAUUGCUAGAAUGAUAUAUGAUCUCAGGCCUCACACUCUUAACAUCUUUACGAGGCUUACGAGGUUCGAGAUGAGUUGGUUACUUAACAUGAUUCGUUUAAUUUAAUUAUGUGUUUGUGUAGUUGGGUUGAUUUGUUGUUUGUUUCGUUUAAUUGUACAAUUAAGGAGAUGGUGUUUACAAUAAUAAUAUUGAAGAUAGUUUGUAACUAGAGUAUGUUGUUAAUAAUUUGGUUAUGAGAAAUUGAGGCCGACACAAGUUUAAUCUGGCUUUCUCGAGAUGAUCUGACCUCGAGAAGAAAGAUUAUCUCAAAGUAGUUUUGUAAGUUGCUUCUCUCUGUUUUUGGACAAUGUAAAUUCUUACAUUACAUCUGCCUCUUGCAGGUAACAUCUUUGCUUUUAGGCUCUUUAUAUCGCCGAUGUAAGUUUUGCUCCAUAAAUUUCAGUGUUUGGCUAGAUCUCCUACAACUGUACUUUUAAAGAAAAAUAGAAGAAAUCAAGAACUGAGUUUACUGUACUUUUGCAGUGAUAAUCAGAUAUGUACCGGUUUUGCUUCGCAUAGUCACACCUUUUCUUUGUACAAUUGCAGACCCACUUUUAGGGGUAUUAUGAUGAGGAACGAGUGUACAGAAGACUUCUCAGGUCUUCCAUAUCUAUAUGCCCUCCUGCACUGCUUGAUUUGUGCCUGGUAUGGCAUGUCGUUUAUGUCAGAUGAUAAUGUGCUUGAUAACUGUAACCUUAUACAGCUACAUUUACUUUAAAUGUCUUGAACACAGUGGUUGCAAAUAAUGGUUAAAUGAUUAAUAUUUACACUGAUCUACUGCUUUUACACUGAUCACUGCUUAUGAUGUUGAAAAACCAAAAUUUGGUGGAGAAAUUGGGAUCAAUGGAGGGAGCUUGCACUGACACACGAAAUCUGUCAAAGCCUAGAUUACAAAGUAAUACUUUACUUGACUGAUCGACGGUUCAACUCAGCAGGAUAUGGAGUAUGCUCGCAGUGUACAUAACAUCCAAUCUCCCAAGGUCUCAUCAUCUACUUUGGAGACAACCUCAAAAUGGGUGUAGUUGCACUUGCACCCAAAAAUGAAGCCAGUGCAAAAAUCAAAGAGAUGACCCAUUUGUUAAAAAUGUUGAGGCUGAAGAGUACAAGGGAACCAAGGUCAGAGAUGUCUCCUCCGCUAAGAGAUGAGGAAAUAUGGCAGUCGUUGGUAUUUGGGAAAUGCAUGUUAGCAAAUACAUGGAUUAUAAAUUGUAUGAGUGACAGGAUGAUAAUAUAGCGUCUCAUAGUCUAAUAUUGCCAAUGACAGGGCUAAUAGCAAUAGCACUUUCAAAAGUAGGUUUGCAGCUGUGAAAUUCACUCAAAGUUGUGAAAUUUGUGAAAUUUGCUUUUGCUCUAACAUGUAAUACCCCGGGUUCCAUUCUUUUGUUUACUUGAAUUUGAAUUGUAUUGUUAUCUUUGUUUUUUUAUUAUAAUUAUCCAAAAAUAGAUGUCCAUCUUGACUUUUGGUUGGUUAUUAGACAGAGGAAUUGAGCCCGGAAAUAAAAGUGUUACUAAUUAUCAUCCAUUAUUAAAGCAAUUAUUAUAUUAGACCAAUUUUAUUUUUGCACUAUUUGAAAUAUUCACUUUAUCUGAAUGAUGAAUGGUUCUUCUUUCAGUUAAUACAGUGUCAUUCACUGGUUAACAAAUGACCUCUUAAAUUAUUCAUGAAAUCAUUUAAAAAUAUAUAAAGUUUAAUUGACAAAUUUAUCUUUUUUAAUAAAAUUAUACUCAAAUUUUUGGUUGAAAUGUAUGUAGCUUUAAGAUUAUAAUCACUUUUAGCCGAAAGUACUUUAAUAUUAGUGUUCAUAAAAAUAAUUUUUGAAUAACUUAUUAAUGAUUAAUUAUUUUAUGUAACGGUUUAAUAAAAUUAUACAAAUAUAAUGAUUUCUAAUUUGAGAAUAGUUUUUUAUAGUUCAAAACAAAAUUUAUAAUAAAAAAAUUUAACGAGUUAUCAGUAAUUAAUAAUAUACAUUUACAAUUAAAUUAUCCAAAUUAAUUAUAAAAUAUUAAAAUUUAAAAUAUUUGACUAAAGUGCGAGGCGUCACCGCUCGGCGACGUCGAGGGGCACUUGAUAGAAUAUGACUUUUCAUAUAUUACAAAGUUUAGCUAUAUAAUUAUUUUGAUUAUAAGAUAUUAAAAUAUAAAAUAUUCGACUAAAGUGUGAGGCGUCGCCGCUCGACGACACCGAGGAGGACUUGAUAAAAUAUGACUUUUCAUAUAUUACAAAUGUUUAGCUAUAUAAUUAUUUUGAUUAUAAAAUAUUAAAAUAUAAAAUAUUCUACUAAAGUGUGAGGCGUCACCGGUCGGCGACGACGAGGAGCACUUGAUAGAAUAUGAUCUUUCAUAUAUUACAAAGUUUAGCUAUAUAAUUAUUUUGAUUAUAAGAUAUUAAAAUAUAAAAUAUUCGACUAAAGUGCGAGGCGUUGCCGCUCGGCGAGCCGAGGAGUACUUGAUAAAAUAUGACUUUUCAUAUAUUACAAAUGUUUGGCUAUAUAAUUAUUUUGAUUAUAAAAUAUUAGAAUAUAAAAUAUUCGACUAAAGUGCGAGACAUCGCCGGGGAGCACUUGAUAAAAUAUGACUUUUCAUAUAUUACAAAUGUAUUAUAUAAUUAUUUUGAUUAUAAAAUAUUAAAAUAUAAAAUAUUCGACUAAAGUGCGAGGUGUCGCCGAGGAGUACUUGAUAAAAUAUGACUUUUCAUAUAUUGAAAAUGUUUAGCUAUAUAAUUAUUUAAAUUAUAAAAUAUAAAAUAUUCGACUAAAGUGCGAGGCGUCGCCGAGCGGCGACGCCGAGAAGUACUUGAUAAAAUAUGACUUUCAUAUCUUUAAAAAUAUUAUGUAAUUUUCGAACGUAAAUGAAUUUUAAUUACGAAUUAACUUUUAUAAAUACUCAAGUUAUACAACGGUUUUUGUUGAAUUUGAUUUUUAUUUUACACUGAACUUUUAUUUUUAUAACUACAAAAUCACAAGUUAUAUUUAAUAUUUUUUUUAUAACUCAAUUGUUGUUUUCUUGCAUAUAAAAGUUUGUAAGUAUAAGUAAUGGAUAUAAUAACGUCAUAUUAAUUUUCAAAAUAUAAUCAAUAUUUUAAAUCUUAUUGACAAAAAAAGGACUAAAUUCUAUCUAUUAUUUUAAAAUAUUAUUUUAAAAUAUUAUUGUAUAUACAAAUACUCACAAAUACUCCAUGACGCUGACGAACAUCCAAUAAUCAUUAUCAGGUAGUGAAAGAUCUGAGGAACACAUUAAAAUUUGUACUUCAAUAAAACACAAUUGAAAGAUGAAUUUUAGCCAAAAUAAAUAUGCAUGAAUACAGGUUGGCAAAUUGGCGUAACAACCACUGAGCUACUCAAGUACAAGGACUCGAUGAAAGGCCUCUACUACUCCCAGAACCUGAAAAUGCUAUUUCUAUAAUUCCAUCACGUUAUUUAUCUUAUUUAAUGUACUGUUCUGUGAUAACGUAUGGGAACUCGCUAAUAUGGAAUGCUAGCUUUGCAUUUGGUCUCCUCGCCAUAUUCACAAAUCAUUAGGAUUCAUAUAGAAUUGGUGCGUGUUCAAAACAGAAUUUUUUCAAGCACAAGAUCAGCAAAAAUAAAUUUAUUAAUCUUCUGCAAUUUAAAAUGCCCAGCAAGGCGGGCAUAAAUACUAGUUCUUCAUAUUUACACAACCAUUGAUCUGUCUUGCAACAAAUUUCAAGGAGAAGUUCCAAAGGUUACAUGAGAGCUUAAAUGGCUUGCAUUGCUCAAUCUAUCUCAUAAUAGUCUCACCGGACAUAUCCCAUCACUCCUCGGAAAUAUGGAAGCACUCCUAUCUCUAGAUUUGUCUUCAAAUCAAUUGACAGGGGCUAUUCCACACCAAUUAACUAAAUUGACAUUUCUAAAGGUGUUGAACCUCUCGGGAAAUAAUCUUACUGGGGAAAUCCCGCAAAAAGGGCAAUUCAGCACUUUUGGAAAUGAGUCAUACUUGGGGAACCCGGCCUUGUGUGGACUUCCUUUGACGGAAAAAUGCAUGCAUGCAGUGUCACCAACUCAAGAAGUCGGAAAUGGUGAUACUGAUGAAGAUGACGAUGCUGAUGAUGAACUUAAUUGGGAAGCCAUCCUGAUGGGAUAUGGAUGUGGAUUGAUAUGCGGAUUGUCUUUGGGGUACAUUGUUUUCAAGAUAGGAAAGCCUUGGUGGUUUGUGAAAUACAUUAAAAUACUACAACUGAAAUUGAUGAAAACAUGCACAAAGCAUAGCAGACGAAAGACUUGAGGAGAUGUUGUCUUAGGAUGCAAUCUCGUUUAAUACUUUCAUCAUUAUUCUCCAAGAUGUCUGAACAUGUAUUUUCAAAGAAUUCUCAGUUCACCUUUAGCCUUAUAAAGUAAAAGACAUUUUAAAGGCACUCUCAACUUACACCUAUAUAUACACGUACGGUUCACUUCAGUACAAAGAUUAUUAGCCAUGCAAAACAUGCAGAACCACUAGUAAUGCAGAAAAACAAAAUAUCAGUUUUCUCCAAAUAUCACUACAACAAAACUGCCAUUUUACGACGGAAAUCUAAUAUUCUAAAGGUUUACGACCAAACUAUGUUGGUGGACUUUAUUUUAAUUUACAGUUUUAACAGUAGUUAAUUUUGGAUAUCUAAACUUGCGACAGAAAACAUACGACAGUCUACCUCGCGAGAGAAAAUCAUUUUAUUUUAUUUUUUAGCGCCAGAAUUUUAAUACUAAAAUAUUAUAUAUAUGAAGGAAACUGAUCUCUAAUGUUUUCAGCUUGCUCAUCCAUAUGUAAGUAAUCCGUCGAAAAAGUUAGUUUGUUGUGGUGGUGUCUUAUCAUGAGAGAAAAUGAUAAUAUCGCAAAAUAUUUGCAACUGAAAGAUAAAUUAUAAUUCUAGAAACCAUUUAGGUAACGAUGCACGAAGUUAUUUUCACUCACUUAGAAUUAAUGAUCAUAAAUAUUUGCAACGGAAAGAUACAUUAUAGUUCUAGAAAAGGAUCCACGAAGUUAUUUUCACUCACUUAGAAUUAAUUGUAAGUUAUUGUGAGUUUUUGAAUAUGGAUUAUCUCAAAUUUUAUGAAAACACAUAUUGAUUCAUAUAUACAAAUUUGCCUACCUAAUAUUAUAAUAUUUAUGGAGAAGUUGUAUGAACAAUUGUGUAGAUAAUUAUACUUUACAAAGCAUACUUCUGCUAGAUGAAUUUUGAUUAAACAAAAUCGAAAGGGAUAGGUCUGGGUCUCUCCAAGUCUUUGAGGACUCAUUCCAAGUCUUCUGACGAGGACAAAAUAUAUUGCUGGUAGUCUUUCAGUCCUUCCUAGAGUAUUUUAUGCUCUGGACUGCAUUAUGCAGCUCUCAUAUAACUUUGCGAUGCAAAACAGUGGCAAGUAAGUAUUUCCGUAUGUGUAUUUAUUUGUAUAUUAAAGUUGCGUAACAUUUGUGUUGAUAAUUUGCGUAAUGUUGAUGAGGAUUGCUCCCAAGUCUUGGACGGACUCUUUCCAAAUCUUCUGAGGACAUAUCGGUUCAAAUUAGUCCAUUAAAAAUUUUAUGAUAUGAAGCUAUCUGCAAAAUAAUAUAUAAGGUAAAAUGAACCAUUGUUUUGUGGUUAAGUUGUACAGGCAAUAUGCAGUGCAAAAUCAGGAACAGAAUAUAUGAAUACUAGUAAUAUGAUAUCGGUAUGAACGAAUAUUUUCUAUGUAGUUGUUAUUGUGAUGCGGAAAAAAUAUUGUAACCAAAAAUAAUUAUAAUUCUAAAAAUUUCCAUUAUACACUUUUUUAGUGUUCGUGGUACUUCAAAUGACAUUUCUCGCGUAUGCCUCCAAUUAAGAACUUGAUGUUCAGCAUAGUCCGAAACUAAAAUUAUUAUAAGUGUGUAAUUCAAAAUUAUAUUGCUGGUAGUCUUUCAGUUCUUCCUAGUGUAUGCAGUAGUUUCAUUCGAUACCGAUUAUUUUAUGCAUUGCCCGAGAACCAGUCUAUCUAAAACCCUAAGAUGUUAUAUUUUUAUACGUGUAUUAGUUUUGAAGAUUAAAGUUGUAUGGACAAUUGUGUUAAUAAUUUGCGCAAUUGCGCAAUGAUAACUGGGAUAGGUCAUCUUCUCUCCCAAGUCUUGGAUGGAAUCUUUCCAAGUCUUCUGAGAACCCAUCAGCUCAGAUUAGUCCAUACAAUGUCAAGGGUCCUAUGAUAUGGUCUACUAACAGCCCAGUGUCGGUAAUAAAUCCAAUUGCAUAUAACCUAUUCAAAAUCAAUCCCCUAUAAACAAUCAUCUCUAAAAACUAUUCACAUAAAAUAAAAUUUUAAAAAUAUAAAAUAUCUAGUUGUUUUCAAUAUAUAAUUUUCCACAGUAGAUAACACAAUAUCUUUAUCAAAUUAUUAUUUAUGGGUUCAAUAUUUAAGCUAUAAUUCCAACAACACGGCAAGCAUGCAGCAUAUAAAUAGAAGUGUGCAGUAUGGUAUUGCAUUCAUAACCCAGUUGAGGAAAAAUAUGGCACCCUUCCUAAAGCCUUCUCACCUUCUUCUCUUUGUUUUCUUUCUCUCAUCACCUGAGUCCAUUCUUGCGACAACACGAGAAGGAGAAGCUCUUGUGAAGUGGAAGAAUAGCCUAGCCCCUUCUUCUUUUCUUGAUUCUUGGUCACUCACUCAUCUCGAUAAUCUUUGUAACUGGACUGGCAUUACUUGUAACUCUGCAGGUUCAGUCUCUAAGAUUAACCUUUUUGAGAAACAACUUAAUGGAAUGCUGUCCGAGUUUGGUUUCACUUCAUUUCCAAAUCUCAGCAAUCUCACCCUCACAUACAACUUCUUCUCGGGUCCCAUACCACCAGCCAUUGAGAAUUUAACCCAGCUUCGGUAUCUUGAUUUGAGCUAUAAUUAUCUGGAUGGUCCCAUUCCGUUCCAGGUUAGCCAUCUUCAGAGCUUGCUCAUCUUGAACCUGUCACAGAAUGCAUUGCAAGCUCCAAAUUGGUCCCAUUUCUCUCCCAUGCCUUUCUUGCGCAUCCUCAACCUCAGUUACAAUCCUCUUGCGUCGAAAUUCCCAAAUUUUAUAUCCAAUUCUCAUAGCCUGACUCACCUUAGCCUUAAUUUUAAUGAGUUUACUGGUGAUCUAGUACGUGAAUCAAUAUUUGCCAAUCUGCAUAAUCUUGAAGUCCUCAGUCUUCUUGGCAAUUUUUUUGAGGGGCCAUUUCCGCCAGAUAUAUUCAAGCUUUCCAAAUUAAAACAUCUUCACCUGUCAGGUAACAAAUUCUCAGGUUCAAUUCCAAAUGACAUAAGGUUGCUUUGUGGUCUUGAAAACCUAUUUUUAAGCAACAAUUCCUUUGAAGGACCGCUUCCACCAAAUAUAUUUAAGCUUUCAAAAUUAAAACAACUUGUUCUUUGGAGUAAUAAUUUUUCAGGUUCUAUUUCCAAUGAUAUAGGUUUGCUUUCUGAACUUGAAACCCUCAAUCUUCAAUUUAAUUUUUUUGAGGGGCCGCUUCCCCCACAUAUAUUUAGGCUCUCUAAGUUAACAGGUCUAGAACUCGGAGACAAUAGAAAUUUAUUUGAAGGAAGUAAUAUUCCUAUCGGACUGGGACUCUUGACUAACCUCAGGUACUUAGAUUUACAUUCCAGUAAUCUCAGUGGCUAUAUUCCAUCUGACAUUGGAAACCUGAAGCUACUAGUACUUCUUAGUCUCGGUUCUAAUCAAUUGACUGGACCGCUUUCAAAGAUCGUUUAUAAUCUCACAAAUCUUAUAUUUCUUGAUGUAAGUAAUAAUAGUCUUAGUGGAAAUAUUCAGAGUGACUUGUGGAAAUAUAACCAUCAUCCUACUUUGGAAUACAUCGAUUUUAGUGGGAACCAUUUUACAGGUAUAUUUUUUCUCUAUAGAUCUUUUCCUUUUGUCAUAUGUAACUAAGCUAGUAAUCUGAUUAUUGCAGUUUUACUGAAGUUUCAACAAUCUUGACAGGUGAGCUUCCAACAACAAUUUGCAAUGUCAUGUCCCUUUCGGUUCUUGAUUUGUCAAAUAAUGAAUUAAGUGGUGCACUUCCAAACUGUUUCGGGAAUCUUGCUGAUGGAUUGCUUUACAUUAAUCUUGCUAAUAAUCAGUUUCGAGGAACAAUACCAACUACUUUCUCCAGGAGUUGUCAGCUGACAUAUCUAAACAUGGAUAAUAAUGAGUUUGAAGGAUUGUUGCCCCCAUCUUUGGCGAACUGUAAGCACUUGAGAAUUCUUGAUAUUGGCAAUAAUAAAAUAGGUGGUACAUUUCCGUCAUGGCUUUAUGUACUUGGAGAGCUAGAAGUCCUUGUCUUGCGAUCAAAUAAACUCUAUGGUACAAUAAGUGGAAGGAGCAUAGAAGAUCCCUUCCCCAAGUUGCGGAUUGUGGAUCUGUCCAACAAUCAAUUCACAGGCCAUUUGCCAAUUCAAUACUUUAAGAAUAUGAAAUCAACUGAUAAUUUGUAUCGUUAUCAGAAUUCCACAGGAGUUUUUUCUUUCCAUUAUGAAGCAUCUGUCUCAUUAACUGUGAAGGGAACAGAGUAUGAAGUGAAAAAUAUCCUUCAUAUUUACACAGCCAUUGAUCUGUCCUGCAACAAGUUUCAAGGAGAAAUUCCUGACGUUAUUGGAGAGCUUAGAUGGCUUGCAUUGCUCAACUUAUCUCAUAAUAGUCUGACAGGACCUAUCCCAUCAUUACUGCGAAAUAUGAAAGGACUCCAAUCUUUAGAUUUGUCCUCAAAUCAACUGACAGGGGCUAUUCCACCUCAGAUAACUGCACUGACAUUUCUAGAAGUCUUAAACCUCUCGGGAAACCAUCUUAGUGGAGAGAUUCCUCAGAAAGGACAAUUCAGCACAUUCAACAAUGAUUCUUAUAUAGGAAACUCCGCAUUAUGUGGAUCACCAUUGACGAAGACAUGUGCAAACACAGCAUCACCUCCACAAGAAGUCGGAAAUGUUGAUGAAGAUGAUGCGGGUGAUGAAUUGACAUGGGAAGCAAUCUUGAUGGGAUAUGGAUGUGGACUGAUAUGUGGAUUGUCAUCUGCAUACAUUGUUCUCAAACUAGGAAAGCCUUGGUGGUUUGUGAGAUAUCUCGAAGUACUGCAACAGAAGUUGAUGAAAAGAUAUGCAUGAAGAAUGGUACUGGCCGAUCAAGACCAACUUGAAAGUUUGUUGUCCUUGUGCACAUUUCUGAACCAGUAGUGUACUUGCUGCAUAAGUAUUUGGUAUUAUGUAAUAAUCCGUUUGGUCGGGACUCAUAAUGAUUUCUCUUGCUUCAGGGGUAUUAAUAUUAACCUUGCUAUCUUGAUCAAUGUUAAAGCAAAUUAAAUGAAUGAAAAAACAAAAAGUAUGCAUCAAAUCCGCUCCUGCUGUACCAAAAUCCAUUAAAUUGCUUUGGUCUCUUACCUAACAAUUUAACAGCACACUUCCACACUGUUCAUACCUAAUUUGCGUGUAAUAUGAAAACUAAGAGGCAUGGCUUUUGUCUCUAUAAGUCUUUGAGAACUUAUUCUUCCAAGUCUUCUUCGGAGGCCUGCUGCCUCAACAACCUUUCAAAGAUGUAGCAGUUGCUCGAGAGUAACAUAUAUAUUAGAUAAAGACUAUGCAAUAAUCCACGUGACAGAAAAACCAAAGUCCAAUUAGUUUUCCAAGUUCAUAAAAAAUACUAUAGGAUCAUUAGCAUUACAUUAGUAUUCCACUAGCAUACAGCAUAUUAUAAGACAAAAGUAAGCGGAAAUAAACAUAAUUUCAAUAGAUUUAACUUACUCUUCAGAAUCGAUAAGUUUGGAACACGUUGAUUGAGCACAAGACGAAGGCCACACAUGCGCAUCAUCUGAUGCAGCUAUAUAUGGUGCCUUUACAGUUGCUCAUACAUAUAGUGAAACAAUAAGGAUCAACUCCUCCAUUGUACGUACACAUUUUCAUACAAGCUAUAAAGCAUGGUGAUAGAGUCUUUGCAAUCUCGUCAUGACCGGCACAUCCGAUUAUGAUAAACUCUAGCAGGAUCAUCCAAGUAAUAAUUUUCAUAAUGAUAUUAAUUAUCAUUGUGAAUAGUUGCAUUGAGUUAUAUAUGUGUGUGUAUAUAUAUGCAAUGGAUUUUGUGGUUGAGAAUAUCUAUUAGAUUUUGUAUAUCCAUAACAAUUAUUAAAAUUUAAACAAGAAUAUCUAUUAUUGGUUGUGGUUGACUAUUGUAGUAGUCCAAGAAAUCAAUGCAAGUGAAAUCUAUAUUAUAUUUUAAAAGAUUAUACAUGAAAUACAAAAGGUUUUUUUAGGACUGCUGUUAAAAAUUGUUAUGUUGUACGAAAAAAUGCUGAUAAAAAGAGUGUUAUACGAAAAAAUGCUGAUAAAAAAAAUGUCGUAUAAAUCAGAUAUGACAGCUUCCCACAAAAACUAAAAAAAACAGUUUUCCGUAAUAAUAUGGGAGAGGAAAAACUGUUUGUAGAUUUAUAGAACAAUUUUUCGGUAAAAAACUGUUGUUGUUUUCGAGAGUAAUGACAAACAGUGCCGAAAUCAUUUUGCAGGUAGUUAAUCUCACUUCCAUAUAAUAUACUCCUAUAUAUUACCGAAAAAACAUGAAAUGAUGCAAACCUCAUACUAUUGACAACAGCUAAACUCCUUGCAAUACUUUCAGCUGCAAAAUCCAUCAAAUUUUUUGAUUUAUCAUGUAACUGUUUGACAGAGUACUUCCAAGCCUAAGUAUCAAAAAUCACUACCUUACGAAAUAUAUCUCACCCUACCUUCUCUGCUUAACUGUUUCGAGUGCUUUUACCAAGCAUAUUUUCCAUUAAGCGUGAAAGGCACAGAAUAAUUAGGAUCACCGAAUAUCCCAUCAGUGCUGGGGAAUAUGGAACCAUCUUAUCAAUUAACUAGUUUAACAUUUCUUGCGGUCUUGAACCUCUCAGAAAACCAUCUUAUCCUAAUGUGCCGACUUCCUUUGACGGAGAAAUGGUGAUGCUGAUGCUAAUGAUAAUGAACUCAACUGGGGAGUGAUCCUUAUGGGAUACGGAUGUGGAUUGAUAUGCGGAUUUUCUUUGGGGUUUAUAUUUUGUGGUUUGUGAGAUACAUUGAAGUACUGCAGCUGGAGUUGAUCAUUAUAAAGAACAUAGGCAAGUUAAUCGCUUAUUGAAAUUAGUAAUUGUCAAAAGUAAAAUGUUGAAAUUACUUUUUUCGAUUGAAAUCAUUGAAAAAAAGUCUCUGUCGAAAUUGAUCUGCCAAAAUUAUGUUUAAUAUCUACGGCCAAGAUUAUCUGUCGAAUAUAUUUCCCGACAAUUUUAAAAGACAAAUUUUUCGCCUCUCAGCUGUGAGCGGGAACAGAUAUUUUCGACAGAAUUCCAUUGAAAUUAGCUAAUUUCAACAUAAAUUUUCUAUCGAAAUUACUUGAGUUCUUUGUAGCUUGUUUUCACAAAUACGCUGAUAGCCUUUGGGGACGGGUAUAUUGUUUUCACAAAGCCCUGGUGGUAUGUGAGAUGCUUCGAAGGACUGCAACUGAAGUCGAUAAGAACAUGCAGAAAGAAAACCGAUCCAUCUUGAUAAACUUGAAAAAUGUUGUCAUAUGGUGAUAUAUACUCCCUGGCCCCAGUCUCUUGGAAAGAACUUGGUUGAUUUUUUUUUUUCAGUAUUGUUGGAGCUGUCAUACUAGUGCUAGUGUGCCGACUAGCACUAGUAUGACAGCUCCAACAAGUAUCCAUCCCUAAUAAUUGCAGCAAAUUAAAAAAUAUAGCUAUAUCUUUUUAGCAAUGGUGCAAUUUGGAAAGCUUUCUCAUCAUCUUCUUCUUUUCUUUAUCUCAUUACUCUCAUCUAGUUCCACUGUCCUAUCUGCAACAAUUCGCGAAGGAGAAGCUCUUGUGGAAUGGAAGAACAGCCUAUCCCCGAAUUCAUUUCUUGGUUCUUGGUCACUAAUUAAUCUCACUUAUCUUUGUAAUUAAGUGGACUGGCAUUGUAUGCAACUCUGCAGGUUCAGUCAGUCAGAUUAAUCUUCAAGAACUCACACUUGCUAACCUCCGUUUCUUUUCGUUUCCAAAUCUCACCAAUCUCAACAUUACACAUAACAACUUCACUGGUCCAAUACCACCCGAGACUUUAGCUAUAGUAAUCUCAAUGGUACCCUUCCAUACCAGGUCAGCCAUCUUCAGAGGUCGGUCGUCUUAGGCCUCUAAUUUAAUCACUUGAAAGCUCUAAGCUUGUCCAAUUUUUCCCCCAUGCCUAUACUGGUUGGUCGCGGUCUUGGUGGUAAUAAGCUGGCGUCAAUUUUUCCAGAAUUCAUAUCUAAUUGCUAUAACAUGAUUAACCUUGAUCUUUCAUUUAACAUGUUAACUGGUGAUCCCUUCAACAACUUGCGAAUCUUGGAUCUCUUCGACAAUGAAUUCACUGGUUACUUGCCAAUCCAAUAUUUUAAUAAUAUGAAACCAGUUAAUACCGUGAUUGAUUAUUACAACAUAACAGUGAAUCAUGAUUAUCAAGCAUGUCUUGUUAACAUUUUGCACUCGUAUUAAUUGUCUUAUAUAUGACUAACUCAUCUUGCACUCGUAUUAAUUGUCUUAUAUAAUACUAAUAACAAAAAUAUGAGGCGGUGCUUAGUCAGAUGAUUUUAGUUGUUAAAAUAUUUUUGUGUUAUUUAUAGAUAGUGAAACAUGUCUAAUAUUUUAUCAAUUUUGUUUCGUUUCUUGAGAUUUCCAAAUAUUUAUUGGGACAUUGUACCAUGGUGUAUUUCACAUAUUCGCAAUUUUAAUUAUUUUGUAUUUUUAUUUUAAAGAUAUGAUAAAGUUUAUUUAUUUAUUUGUUUUUAUCUUAAAAGCGAUUUUCGAGUGUUGCUUAAACCUCGAAGAUUCCAAUCGAGUUUUAUUCUCGGAUCUGUUUCGGAAUUGAGCUUGGCCUUGAUUGUUUUCUGAAUAAAUCAGAUCUUUUGAAAUCAAAGGUUCGAUUGUGUUUUCCCGUCUCGCCUUUUGGCGUGUGUUGAUUUAGUACCCAAUUUUUGGGUGAUUCUGCGUUGUUAUAUUUGUGGUUGUUAUGUCUUUCUGUGUUAUCAAUGAGAAUGAUUGGGAUGGAGUUUUGGGAGAUUUGGCUUAUCGCAUCAUUACAUCUUUCGGCAUGUCUAUAGCUGGCUCCCGGCAUGUAGAUAGCUGGGGUAUGCUUGGAACGGUGGCGAUCGCAUGUGCUCACCUGUCACAAAUUAUAGUUGUUCAUUAUUCGAGGGCUCUUGUUCCUCGUUGCUUAGUUUUUACAACUGAGUCGUCUGAACACCGCAACAGCCAUGGAACUAUUGUGAAGGUCAAUUGUGAAGCUAUCAUUUUCGAGAUUGAUGUAGGCUGGAUUACUCGAGAAGCUUUUGUAUUCAUUUUCAGUUUCAAGAAUUCUUGAAUUCAGUGUGUUAAGCAGUCUGGAAACAAUGCGGCUAUUUGAUUAGCUCGUUUUAUUGUUUAUCAACCUGAUUGCAUUGUCAGUUGGGGAUUUGUCCCGAUUAAACUUGUUUUAAUAUAAUGGAAUGAAUUUGCAUUUUGUCAAAAAAAAAAAAAAAAAGCGAUUUUGAGUUGUUUGAGUUAGAUAUAUACUCCUACUGUGGUUCAACUAGUUUUGCCAUAAGUGAAUAACUUCCGGUCAAUAUUUUGAAAUUUGUCGUUAUCUUCUAAUUAAAAUAAAGGGUUAAAUAGCUACUUCAUCAUUAAUAUCGUUGAAAAUUUGCAGCUGAGUCAUGUUGUUGAAAAGACUUUCAAACUGCAUCAUUAAGUAAUUAAAAAAUUUCAAAAACACCACUCUCCGUCAGUUAUGUUAAACAAUUAACGGAAAGUUCGAAAAAAAAUAAAGAAAAGACAAAAAAACAUUAAAAAAAUUUGAAAAAAAAACCCGAAAAAAUGUGAAUAAACUAUGAUAUUUUUUUUCUUUUUUUGAAAAAUGUGAAUAAAAUCAAAAAAUCAAAAAAAAUGGGAAACCAAAAGUGGCAAGCUUUUUUUUUUUUUGUUCCUUUCAAAUUUUCUAAAAUCUGGGGAAAAAAGAACUUGCCAACUAAUUUUUUCCAAAUUUUUUCAAAUUCUUUUCAGAUUUUUGAAUUUUUUUCCAAUUUUUUCCUCACUUUUUUUCUGUUUUUUUUUGAAUUUAUUAAGAUUUUUUUUGUUUUUUCUGCUUAUUCUGAAUUUUUUAAGAUUUAUUCGCAUUUUUAAAAAAUAUUUUUGAAUUAUCCGUUAAGUAAUUAAUGGAACUGACGGAGAGUGAUGCUUUUGAAAGUUUUUAAUUACUUGAUAAUGCGUUUGAAAAUUUUUUCAACAACAUGACUCAGUUGCAAGUUUCCGGCGAGGUUAGUAAUGAAUUAGUUAUUUAACUCUUAAUAAAAAUCUAUCUAAACAAUAUUAUAAAUAUAAUGUUAUGGGUUCGAUGAGUCGUGUAAAACAUGGAAGAAGUUUAGGUGGGGUAAAAAGAGCCUAGCUGUGUGAUUUCCAUUCUGUUAUACGUGAUAUACUGUAGUUGAUCAUCUCCUUUGUCCGCUUCAUCCUGUGCAACCUUAACCUUUAAGGAAAAACUUAUGAGAUUCUCUAGUGCAUCUAAAUUCUUGUGUGAAGAAUGUGAAGAAAAAUGUUAGUCUCAGAUUAUUUUUCCUAAAAUGCUUGCAUGUUACAUUUUAUAUGUAUGUCCUGACUUUAAGUAUAAUUUAGCAUUUUUAUUUAGUAUUGUGUAAAAAUAAUAUAUUUUAUUCAGUCUUAUUAAAAAUAUAAUCAUGUUAUACUGUAAAAGUAUUUGUGAAUUUCUUUGUUACAUAUGUGUUUAAAUUAUUUUAUUUAUAUAUGUUUUACAAUUUUUUACAAAUAUAUAGGUUGAGUAUUGCAUAGGAAUAUAAUUACACGUUAGCAAAUAUGAUUAUGUGUAAACUGUUCUGCGUGCAUGUAUAUUGCUGCUAAGUUUUAAACUUCUUACUAACCGGAAUAAUUUUGACAGAUGUGUGGAACUUGAUUAAUUUAGUUGCACUAUAAGAGAAAGCGUUUUUGUCAAUAAAAAUUGUUAAGGAAAUUAGUCCGUUGGUAGUUCUCAACGGAUUUGUAACAAUUUGACUGGUCAAUGUUCUGUCAACCAAUUCGUAAUGAAAUACCCACACUUAUUUACAACGAGAUGUUCUAUUAGGAAAUAUAGCCACACAAUGGAAUAAUAACAAAAGACCAAGGAAUGAGCAACAGACUAGCAACGAAAGUAUCUGUUAUUACAUUCGUUGAUAUUCCCUUGAUAAAUACUAGACUUUUUAGCACUUUGGUGGCUUGUACUAUUUCAAAUUUGCACGUUAGUGGCCGACCUUUAAAAGUCAUCAAUUGUGUUGCUGAACUUAUUUUUUUUUAACACAUUAGGGGCUCCGCAUCAUAUCCGUUAAAUCGAAGUAACGGCGUCAAAUGAUCAAUACAUAUCUCCUCCUCCUCUUAUUUCCCUCCAAAUUAAAAAACGAAACGGCUACCCUCUUUUCCGAAGCAAGAACGACGACGAAUUCCUGCUUACAGAGAUGAGUUGGUUCCGGCGUCUUAAAGAGGAUGCUGAUGUGUAUUAGCCUCGACAGUGCCCCGAUUACUGUAGUAAGCUCUUCAACUUUUCUUCUUUGUAGCAUAUGAAAUGAGUUUAAUUGACCAUUAUUUCAGUGUUUGUUGUUGUUAGUGGCUAGUUGUUUAGUAUUAUGGACCUGCAAUUGCUUUAUACUAUUAAAAUGAAAGAUUCUGCUUGUGGGUUUUUAAAAAUUAAGGCUUUUACAUAGUCCAAGAUUCGGUCAUUAUAAAAUCAAUUUAUGCCUGUUUUAGUAUAGUGCUUGUUGUUAGUGGCUAUUUGUUAAGUAUAGUGUUGUUUAUUGUAAAUAAAACUGUUGCUUUGCACUCUACAUUUGCAGAACCUGGUGAUUUUACCCUAAAAAUAUAUCAUGGGGCCGAUUGGGUAGAUAACCCUAGGGCAUAUGUGGGAGGUACAGUAGAUUUCUUUGACUUCUGUAAUGCUGAUCAGAUCAGCAUAAUUGAGAUAUAUAGUAUGUUGAAAGAGGUUGAUGAGUUUGGGUUUCACCAACUGUGGUAUAAGCUACCUGGCACUACAUUCGAUAGAGCUUUUGUACUAAAUAAUGAUGAGGAGCUAAUGACCAUGUGUGAGCUUAUAUCUGAUGUGGAUAAGUAUAUGGAGAUUUAUGUCACCACUAUGGCACAUCUAAGUAUAGUGCCCUAUAGAGAUUUAGAGGUUGAAUUUGUUGAACCAACUCCUAAAGAAGCACCUGAAAAGAACAAUCCAUCACCUGAAAAGAUCAAUCCAGCACCUGAAAAGAUCAAUCCAGCACCUGCAAAGAUGUAUCCAGCACCUGCAAAGAGCAUUCCAACUGUGGGAAAUGAUGAUGAUCAGGAAGAGUUUGAGUUUGAUUUUGACAAUACACGGUUUUGGGAUACCACCCAAAAUGAAAUUGAAAUUGUGCAACAAGUUAGGGAAAUGGAGGGGUUGGAAGAGGAAUUUUCAGACACAGAUUCUGAUGAUGAGGAUUUUGUGCCAGAAGAAAAGGAAAGUAGUGAUGAGACCUUCCACUGUGAUAGUUCCAAUCAAGAUAAUUCUGAUGAUGAUUUGUUGUUUGAUGAUGAUUACUACCAUCCUUACCAGCAGAUGGAAACCAACAAAGAAAAAUAUACAACAACAACAACACAGCAAGAAUUUUCCAGUUCCUUGCUUGCUUCUGCGCCUCGGAUAGUUCUUCACUGUAGAAAUCCUUGUACUCAUCUUUGGCCUUAAUCAUUUCAGCAAAACAUUCAUCGUCCUUGUUCUUCAAACGCCUUAUCAGUCCAUUGAUUACACUCUUGCUGCGCGCAUCAAACUCGGGUUCAACCCACUUGAAGAAAUUGCACCUUCCAUUCACGCAAGUCAAGAAUCUUCUACCCGGAUUGUACUCCGUCCACGAUGUCUUCUCCACUGCCCAGCUUCCACACAUACAUUGUUGAUUCAUCUUUGCAGAGCUUUUUGGUUUGGAUGAGAGAUUUAGGUUUGAAUAUGCUCAAUUACACACAGCAGAAACGUAUAUAUAUACACAGCAUAUAGCCGUUGCAAAAAUAUUUUCCUGAAAUACCCCUGACGACCGUUACUUCGAUUUAAUGGAUAUGAUGCGGAGCCCCUAAUGUGUUAAAAAAAAAAUAAGUUCAGCAACACAAUUGAUGACUUUUAAAGGUCGGUCACUAACGUGCAAAUUUGAAAUAAUACAAGCCAUCAAAGUGCCAAAAAGUCUAAAUACUAACAGUUUCGUUAGUAAUUGAUUAUUAGUUUUACAUGGACAAUUGAUAUACACCACAUGAGCACAUACACGGAUACAAUGCCAGGCUCUUAGUUGAAAUGUGUGUACUGCUAAAGCUCAAGGAGAUUUAGUUGACUAAAUUGAUUUGAGUUGUAGAAAAAGGUUUAAUAAUAUAAUGGACUUUGAUAUAUGUAUUGUAGAUAUUAAGUAAUUCUCUUGAAUUUAUAUAUGUAACAUAAUUGUUAAUUGGCUCAUCCUUAACUAGAUAUUUUAUAUUACAUUCUUAACUACAGAUUUUGUAUUUAAAAUUUUUUUAAAAAAUUAACCUUUAUUUGGUAUGUGGAUUUUGUAGUCAAAUGUGGUCAAUUUACUUAGCCUUCGAUCGAAUACCUACCCAAAACAUAAAAAUAUUUUUUAAUCAUUUAUUUUCGACGAUCCAACUAUACGGAUAUUAUUGUAAUGUGAUAAUAUUGUUUACAAAUUUUUUUUAAAAAAAUUAGCCUUUUAUUUGGUAUGCGCAUUUUGUAGUCAAAUGCAAUUAAAUUACUUAGUCUUUAGUGGAAUCUUUACCCGAAACAUAAAACUUUUUUUUAAAAAAAAAUUUGGACAAUCCAACCGUACAGAUGUUAUUGUAACGUGUUAAUAUUGGUUAAAAUAAAUUUUGAGAAAAUAUGUCUUUUAUUUGGUGUGUGGAUUUUGUGGUCAAAUGCGGUCAAAUUACUUAGCAUUUAAUCGAAUACUUACCCAAAACAUGAAACUAUUUUUUUUAAAAAAUAAUUUCGGACGAUCCAACCGUACGGGGGUAUUGUAACACAAUAAUAUUGAUUAAUUUUUUUAUAGGAAAAUUAUAGCCUUUUAUUUGUUGUGUGGAUUUUGUUGUCAAAUGCAGUCAAAUUACUUAGCCUUUAAUGAAAUACUUACAUUAAACAUGAAUUUAUUUUUUUUUAAAAAUCAUUUGGAUGAUCCAAUCGUACGGAUGUUAUUAUGACAUGUUAAUUGAUUAAAAAAAUAUUUAAAAAAAAUGCCUUUUAUUUAGUAUGUGGAUUUUGUAGUAAAUGCUACUUAGCCUUUAAUCGAAUACUUACCCGAAACAUGAAACUAUUUUUCUAAAAAUCAUUUUGGACAAUCCAACCGUACGGAUGUUAUUGUAACAUGAUAAUAUUGAUUGUUUUUUUAUAUAAUAACCUUUUAUUUGGUGUGUGGAUUUUGUAGUAAAAUGCGGUCAAAUUACUUAGCUUUUAAUCGAAUACUUACCUGAAACAUGAAACUAUUUUUAAUAAAAUUAUUUUAGAUGAUCCAACCAUACAGAUGCUAUUGUAACGUGAUAAUUGAUUAUUUUUUAAAAAAAUUAGCCUUUAAUAUGGUGUAUGGAUUUUAUAGUAAAAUGAGGUCAAAUUACUUAGUCUUUAAUGGAAUAUUUAUUAGAAAUAUAUUUUAAAAAAUUAUUUUGGACGAUCCAAACUGUAUGAAUGUUAUUUUAACAUGUUAAUAUUGAUUAAAAUUGUUUUUAAAAAAAAAUUAGUUGUAUUUUAUGUGUGAAUUUUUAGUCAAAUACGAUAAAAUAUUUAUUUAGCUUGUAAUGAAAUAUUAAAACCCUACUUCAAAAGAAACUUGUCUAAAACUACCUAUAAGUGUUAGAGAAUCAUCGAUUUAGUUAUCAAAUUAGUUAUCAUAAGGGUUUUACUCCGCUUUUCUCUGGUAUGAUGUUGAUUUUUGGGGUUUGAUUGGUCGAUUUUCAUGUUUUAUAAGUUAUGUGAGUUCGAUUUUGAUGUUUUUACAAUUAGGUUUAUGUAUGUUCUUAUACAGGUUUCAUGUUCAUGUUUUGAUUUGUUGAUUUCCUAUUUUUCAUAUUUUGUUGAUUAGUUAUUUGUGUGGGUUUUGAACUUUGAUGAGUGUGUAUGUAAUCUCCUGUUUUUUUUUUUCAUUUUUCUGGUUCGAACACUUCGAUUAGUAGCUGGAAAAACAGCUGAUGCGGCAGUAGCGGCUAGUGAGAUGGAUAACAAGAAAAGGAUGAUUUCGAGGUCAUCUCGUGCAAGUCUUCAGAUAUAGUUUUGUUCCUUUAUGUUUUUAAUUGACAUAAAUUUUCACAUUUGAUGAUUAUAUUAUGGGGGAUUCUGGGUAUACUUGUAUAUAAUCUAGCAAGUUAUUAUAAUUCUGGACGGGGGGCUUAUUGUGAAAUUAAAUUGAGGGAUAAGUUGUGUUAUUGGUUCUAGUGGAUUAAAUUUAUGUUGACACUUGAUAUAUGCAUUGAUGUCGUAAAAUAAGUUGCACAUCAAACUAUUUGGCUUGUUUAAGUUGUAUGGAGUAAGGCUGUACGCGGAUCGGAUCGGUUCGGUUGGAGGGUAAUAACCAAACCAAACCGCAACUUACGGUUUUCUAAAAUCUCAAACCGCGACCAUACUGUUGGUUAAAAAAACCCAACCAAAUCCAUCCACGUAAUUGCGGUUGGUUGCGGUUCAACUGCUAAAAUAGUUAUAACAAAGAAAAUAUAUAAGUUAUUGCUUAAAAUCUUGCAUAAAGUACAGACUUUAACUCAAAAAUAUAUAAUUUAUCACUUAAAAUCUUGAAUAAAGUUAAUACAAUAAAUCUGAUUACAUAUUACAAAAGCAAACUACUCCGGAAAUAUAUAACUUGAAGCAGAGCUUCAAGUUAAUGGUUAUUAAAAAUUUCAUCCGCGACUGCCCACAUUUUACGGUUAUCCAUAAUACACGGAUCGGUUGCAGGUGGUUGUUGCGGUUAAUGCGGUGGAGCGGAUUGAACGUACAGCCCUAUGAAGUAUGGUUGCCAAGCAUUGGUUGGUUGUACACGUGUAAACAAAAUGAUAUUUUAAUAUUUAAACAAAACAAUACAGUCAUAAACAGAUCGUGUCGGGCUGGACUGAUUGUGAUUUUCCUUUUUGGAACUCGUACUCGGCAUCUUCCAAGCGAAUGAUAUUUAGAAGUUUGUUGCUAGUAUACUCCAUGUCAUAAUAAGAGUUCUUUAGAUUUUUUAUAUGUAAUUCGAAGUAUAAAAAACAUAUUUUAACAUAUUAUUUUUAAAUUUUUUAUACAUAAAAAUAUAACAUCUAUAUUUUUAUUUAGAAAAAAAUUUGAAAUAUAAUAUAUAGAUGCAUGUCUUUUUUAUACGUGAAAUUACAUGUAAAAAAUUAAAAGACUCUUAUUUUGAGUAAGAGAGAAUAUGAUGUACCAUAAAGUCAUCGAUCUUUUGUUAUCAAAUAAAUGUGAUAUUUAAUUAUUUAAGAGCAAGUCCAAAAGUAUCUUAGUUAAAGUCCUAAAUAUAAUAUAAAAUAUUACGUUCUGGUGAUUUAGGAUAUAUUUUACUAACUUGGACUCCAACAAUGUGUCUUAUUCUCAUAAGAAGUUUAAUAUUUUAUUAUUAAAGACUCUCUUUCAUCAUUAAAGCAUAAUAUAAAAGUAGAGAGAGAAAAAGAGUGUUGAUAAGAAUUAAUAAUAAAAUAUGGGAUAGGGUUAGGAGAGAUGUGCCUCAAAAAUAGGGUUUGAGGAGUUUCAUUAGGUGUGGACACGGAGACCAAGAAGUAAAAGAUGAGUACAGUUAAAUGAAGAUGUGGUAAAAUAAUGUGACCCAUUUAUAUUUAAUAAUACAUUUGAAAUAGUGGAGGAAAGUAACGAGUGUAAUAACGUUUAUAUUAUUAUAGCAUAUAGAUAGCAGAAGAAAGCAAUGGGUAUAAAAGUGUAUUAUAUUAUUAAAGUUUUGAAAUGUUUAGAAAUAAUGGGGCAAUCAAAAAGAAAACUGUAUAAAAAUGGACGAGAGAAUACAAUUCAAGAAGUAAUAUAUCUCAAUUCAAACUAGGUAAUAUAUUUAUGAAUUAUAUUAAAAAAAAUUUGACAUUCAAAUAUAAAAAUUUAUUUUAUCAUCUUAACAAUGGAAUAUUCGAUUAUUAACUUUCGUAAAUAACAUUAAUUUUUCAUUAUAAUAUACUCUAAACUUUUAUUUUAUGUGCCUGUUUGUUUACAAGAAGCUGGAGUCCUACUUCUCUUGACUCGUUUGUGUAAAAACGUAAAAAGUGCUUUUAAAAAGUACUGAGAAGGAAAUGGAAGUAGAAAAUGCUAGUUUUUCUUUAUAAUAUCUAUUUCUUUUCUAGACACUUUAAUAAUUUAUAUAUAUUAAUUUAUUUCUCACUUAUACUCCAUUUUUUUAUAGAGAACUUCUUUUAAACUAAUCGGCUCCUAUAAUCAGUAGUUUCUCAAUUUUAAUAGGAAUAAGAGCAUGUUUAUCUGAGCUUAAAGCCCGGGGUUUAUAUCAUCUCUGGCUUUAAGCUGAAAAAUGUAUGUUUGUGUAUUAAGUCGGAAGUCGGCUUAAAGUCGGAAAUAAGUCAAAAAUUGACCUAAAACCAGAAGUUAGUUUGAGAUACUUUUCUCGGUGACUAAUUUUUUUUUUAGCCAUUUUUUGAUAAAAAUUAUUCCUAAAUCACAAAUUACUCAUAAAUUACUUUUAUUAUUAUUAUUAUUAUAUUUUUAAUAACUUAUAAAUUAUUAAUAAAUCAAAAUUAAUCAAACAAAUAUUUUAAGUUCUCAUAUUAUGAGAUAACUAACGUUAAGUCAUGAAUCAACUGAACGGGAUGUAAGUCUUCUUCUCCCCGAGUCAUCAGCAGACUUUUUCCAUGUCUUCUGAGCCCCCAUUGGCUCACAAUUGGCCCAAAAAAUAUUUGGUUAUGCAUUGCUAUUCACACACUUAGACAUCAAAAUUUAUCAUCCGACAGGCGACAGCUAACUGCACACUAUUUUUCCCACAAGCUGAAAAAUCAACGAUCAAUUAAUUUUUCUUAUCAAUUAAUAAAGUUAUGAUUUCACGUACACGGCAGGCAAAAUGCUAAUAAAUAGACGAGUGCAGUAUAGUAUGGGUUCAUGAUCACCUUGAGAUUUAAUUGAAAAAUAUUAUGGUGAUAUAGAUUAAAUUAAAUUAUAAUAUCUUGAAAAGUUAUAAAUAAUUUUAAUUACUAAUAAUAUUUAUUUGUACAUUUAAAUAUUUUUAUAAAAACACAAAAAUAGCAUUAUACUCAUUUAAGUUUCUCGUAUCCGCCUCUCUUCUUGGAGAUUGUGGAUUUGCGAUAUUUAUAUUGAUUAUUAUAGGAAAAUGUUAUUUCCAGAGCAAACAUUUUUAUUUCCGGAGCAAAUUCAAACAAAUUUUUCCAAAUUGUUCUGGAAAUUAAAAUAUUGAUAUGGAUAUAACAAUUCCCUUAUUAUAUCCUAUGUAUAUUACAUUAAUGCAAUUAACAUGGUUGAUUGUUUUAGUAUAUAAUCAUAUUACUGUGACCUUUUAGUAUAUAAUUAUAUUAUUUUUGUUAUAUUUUAUGCAUCUAGAAACAAUUUUUUUAUGAUAUUUAUUAUAUUAAUUAUAGUAAAAGAUAUAAUUUUGUUUAAAAAAUUGAAUAAAACUAAGAGGGAUAGCCUACGUCUCUCCGAGUCUUCGAGGACUCAUUCCAAGUCCGAGAGGACCACAGCCUCAACCUUUAAGAGAUGUGAAAGUAGCUUGAGAGUGAUAUAAAUUUAUUUUUGACAAUAAAAUUUAAUAAUCAAAUAAAUUAAAUUAAAUUAAACUAGUUUAUAAUCGAUUAAAAAUAUAUAAAUCAAAAUUAUUCCCGAAUUAUGAUAACAAUUAAAAUCAUUUUAAAAGUUGCAUAAAUCAAAUCCAAAUCGAACAAAUUCCCCUAACACUAAAAUGUAGUUGCUUUAUUGUAGAUAAAAACAGUAUAAUAAUAGUAUUGAUGAAAAAUCAAAUUCAUCAAAUAAGUUUAUAAAAAAUACAUGAUUUUAAUUUUAAAAAAAAAACAUGAUUUUAGUGUGUUGUAUUAGUAGUGUGUCCACGCAUUUAUAUAUUAAAAUCUAUCCUCUAAAAACUAUCGAUCUAUUUACACAACUAUUGAUCUGUCGUGCAACAAAUUCCAGGGCGAAGUUCCAAAGAGAGCUUAAAUGGCUUGCAUUGCUCAAUCUAUCUCAUAAUAGUCUUAACGACAUAUGUUCUGAAUUAUUAUUAUGAUUUCAACAAUAUUUUCAAACAUUUCUUAAUAUGUAUUUUCAAAGAAUUCUCAAGCACUUGAACAUUUGGACCGGUUCUUUCGAAGCCAGGCAAUGCACAAAAAUGUCCAAAAAUGAAUAAAUUAAGAGAGAGUAGCUCACCCUUUCAAAGCCUUCCAGGACUCAUUCCAAGUCUUCGGAGGACCACUGCCUCCCCCUUUCAAAGAUGUGAUAGUAGCUCGAGAGUGAUAUAAAUUAUUUUCCCGACAUUAAAAAUAAAAAAUCAGAUUAAAUUAAUCAAUAAUAACUUAAGGAUGAAAUCCAAAUUAAUCCUAAAUUUUGAUAAUAUAUAAAAAUUAUAAUUAUAAAUUAUAUAACCAAAUCAGAAUUGAAUUAACUUACUUGGCACUAGAAUUGCUAAAGACAGUAUAAUAAUUUAAUUGAUGAAAAGUCAAAGUCUUCUAAUAAAUCCAUAAAGAAUAUGAUAAUAUGAAAAUUAUAAUUGAAAAAUCAAAAUCAAUAGUGUAUUGGAAUAGUGUUCACACACUUAUAUAUCAAAAUUUGUGGUCCAAAAACUAUAGCACAAUAUCCUAAAUACAUCACAUUAAAUAAUAGCACAAAAAUAUUCAAUAAAUAAUUGAUUUCAUUCAUAAAUUUGUUAUUUUAAAAACUAAUAAUUUGGUUGAUGUUAACCUAUAUUUUAUAUAUAAUUUCGUCUUAUUUUAUUUUACUAGAAACAAUAUUUUUAUAAUAUUUAUUACAUUAAAUAUAUUAAAAGAUAUAAUUUUAUUAAAAAAAUUGAAUAAAAUUAAAAGGAUAAGUCUCGGCCUCUCCAAGUCUACAAGACUCAUUUCAAGUCCACCGAGGGCCUCAACCAUUGAGAGAUGUGAAAGUAGCUUGAGAGUGAUAUAAAUUAAUUAAAUUAGUUAAUAAUGAAUCAAGACUAAUCAUGAAUUAUGAUAAUAAUUAAAUAAAUUAUAAAAUUAAAUUAUACAAAUAACACUAAACCUUAGUUACUUUAUUGGUAAAUAAAUAUAAUAUAAUAAUCAAAUUGAUGAAAAAUCAAAAUCAUUUAAUAAAUUCACAAAAAAUAUAUGAUCAUUAGUAUGUUAUAUUAGUAUCCACACACUUAUAUUUCAAAAUCUAUCCUCCAAACUUAUCAUCUCUGUAAACUAGCCACAUAAAAUAAAAAUUUAAAGAUAUUAGAUAUUUAGUUAUUUUCAUUAUAUAAUUUUUCCACACGAAAUAACAAAAUAUCUUUAUCAAAUUAUUAUUUAUGAGUUAAAUAUUCAAUUUAUAAAUCCAGUAUGCAGCGUAUAAAUAGAAGUGUGCAGUAUGAUAUCAGAUUCACAUAACCCAGUUGAUGAGGAGAAACAUGGCAUACUCUGCAAAGCCUUCUCACCUUCUUCUCUUUGUUUUCUUUCUCUCAUCACUUGAAUCCAUUCUUGCAACAACACGAGAGGGAGAAGCUCUUGUGAAGUGGAAGAAUAGCCUAGCCCCUUCUUCUUUUCUCGACUCUUGGUCACUCACCAAUCUCGAUAAUCUUUGUAACUGGACUGGCAUUACUUGUAACUCUGCAGGUUCAGUCUCUGAGAUUAACCUUAGUGAGAAACAACUUGAUGGAAUGCUGUCCGAGUUUGGUUUCACUUCAUUUCCAAAUCUCAACAAUCUCACCCUCGCAUACAACUUCUUCUCGGGUCCAAUACCGCCAGCCAUUGAGAAUUUAACACAGCUUCAAUACCUUGAUUUAAGCUUUAAUUAUCUCGAUGGUCCCAUUCCGUUCCAGGUUAGCCAUCUUCAGAGGUUGCUCAUCUUAAACCUGUCACAGAAUGCAUUGCAAGCUCCAAAUUGGUCCCAUUUCUCUCCCAUGCCUUUCUUGCGCAUCCUCGACCUUAAUAGCAAUCAUCUUGCGUCGAACUUCCCAGAAUUUAUAUCCAAUUCUCAUAGCUUGGCUAUCCUUGACCUUGGAUAUAACAACUUUACAGGUGACCUUGUGCGUGAAUUUACUAAUCUACAAAAUCUUGAAACCCUCUACCUAGAUGAAAAUUCUUUUGAGGGGCCAUUUCCGCCGGAUGUAUUCAGGCUUUCCAAAUUAAAACAUCUUCGCCUGUCAGGUAACAAAUUCUCAGGUUCAAUUCCCAAUGACAUAAGGUUGCUUUGUGAUCUUGAAUCCCUAUAUUUAAGCAACAAUUCCUUUAAAGGACCCCUUCCAUCAAAUAUAUUCAAGCUUUCAAAAAUAAAACAUCUUGUUCUUUGGAGUAAUAAGUUUUCUGGUUCUGUUUCCAAUGAUAUAGGUUUACUUUCUGAGCUUGAAACCCUCGAUCUUAACUCUAAUUUUUUUGAGGGGCCGCUUCCGUCAAAUAUAUUCAAGCUCUCCAAACUAAGGUAUCUUUCCCUUUGGGGUAAUAACGUUUCAGGUUCUAUUUCCAAUGAUAUAGGUUUGCUUUCUGAGCUUGAAACCCUCGAUCUUAACUCUAAUAUUUUUGUGGGGCCGCUUCCGCCAAAUUUAUUCAAGCUCUCCAAACUAAAGAUUCUUUCCCUUUAUAAAAAUAACUUUUCAGGUUUUAUUUCUAAGGAUAUAGGUUUGCUUUUUGAACUUGAAACCCUCUAUCUUGGCUCUAAUUUUUUUGAGGGGCCGCUUCCCCCACAUGUAUUUAGGCUCUCCAAAUUAAGAGAUUUGGGUCUCAGAGACAAUAGAAAUUUAUUUCAAGGAAGUAUUCCUAUUGGACUGGGACUCUUGACUAAUCUCAGGUACUUGAGUCUAUUUUCCAAUGAUCUCAGUGGCUAUAUUCCAUCUGAGAUUGGAAACCUGAAGCUACUAAAAGUUCUUGAACUCGGUUCUAAUCAAUUGACAGGACCGCUUUUAAAGAUAGUUUCUAAUCUCAAAAAUCUUAUAUAUCUUGGUGUAAGUGGUAAUAGUCUUAGUGGAAAUAUUCAGAGUGACUUGUGGAAAUAUAACGAUCAUCCAACUUUGGAAUACAUCAAUUUAAGUGGGAACCAUUUUACGGGUAUAGUUUCUCUCUAUAGAUCUUUGUCAUAUGUAACUAAGCUAGUAAUCUGAUUAUUGCCUUUUCACCAAAGUUUCAACAAUCUUGACAGGUGAGCUUCCAACAACAAUUUGCAAUGUCACAUCCCUUUUGCUUCUUGAUUUGUCAAAUAAUGAAUUAAGUGGUGCACUUCCAAACUGUUUCGGAAAUCUUGCUGAUAGAUUGCUUUACGUUAAUCUUGCUAAUAAUCAGUUUCGAGGAACAAUACCAACUACUUUCUCCAGGAGUUGUCAGCUGAAAUAUCUAAACAUGGAUAAUAAUGAGUUUGAAGGAUUGUUGCCCCCGUCUUUGGAAAACUGUAAGCACUUGAGAAUUCUUGAUAUUGGCAAUAAUAAAAUAGGUGGUACAUUUCCGUCAUGGCUUUAUGUACUUGGAGAGCUAGAAGUCCUUGUCUUGCAAUCAAAUAAACUCUAUGGUACAAUAAGUGGAAGGAGCAUAGAAGAUCCCUUCCGCAAGUUGCGGAUUGUGGAUCUGUCCAACAACCACUUCACAGGCCAUUUGCCAAUUCAAUACUUUAAGAAUAUGAAAUCAACUGAUAAUUUGUAUAGUUAUCAGCUUUCCACAGCAGUUUUUUCUUUCCAUUAUGAAGCAGCAGUCUCAUUAAUUGUGAAGGGAACAGAGUAUGAAGUAGCAAAUAACCUUCAUAUUUACACAGCCAUUGAUCUGUCGUGCAACAAAUUUCAGGGAGAAAUUCCAAAGGUUACUGGAGAGCUUAAAUGGCUGGCAUUGCUCAACUUAUCUCAUAAUAGUCUAACAGGACCUAUCCCGUCAUUGCUGAGAAAUAUGAAAGAACUCCAAUCUUUAGAUUUGUCCUCAAAUCAACUGACGGGGGCUAUUCCACCUCAGUUAACUGCGCUGACAUUUCUAGAGGUCUUAAACCUCUCGGGAAACCAUCUUAGUGGAGAGAUUCCUCAGAAAGGACAAUUCAGCACAUUCAACAAUGAUUCGUAUCUAGGAAACUCCGCUUUAUGUGGAUCACCAUUGACGAAGAAAUGUGCAAACACAGCAUCACCUCCACAAGAAGUCGGAAAUGUUGAUGAAGAUUAUGCGGGUGAUGAAUUGACAUGGGAAGCAAUCAUGAUCGGAUAUGGAUGUCGACUGAUAUGUGGAUUGUCAUCUGCAUACAUUGUUCUCAAACUAGGAAAGCCUUGGUAGUUUGUGAGAUAUGUCGAAGUACUGCAACAGAAGUUGAUGAAAAGAUGCUUGAAGAAAGGUACUGGUCGACCAAUAAGAACUUGAAAGUUGUUGUCCUGGUAGACAUUUCUGAACCAGUAGUAUUUGGUAUUAUGUGAUAUUCUGUUUGGUCCGGACUCAUAACGAUUUCGCUUGCUUCAGGAGUAUUAAUAUUAACCUUCCUAUCUUGAUCAAUGUUAAUGCAAAUUAAAAUGAAAAGGCAAAAAAUAUGCAUCAAAUCCCCUCCUGUUGUACCAAGAUUCAUUAAUUAAGAGGCAUGGCUUUUGUCUCUCCAAGUCUUCGAGAAAUUAUUCCAAGUCUUCUUUGGAGGCCUACUGCCUCAACAACCUUUCAAAGAUGUAGCAGUUGCUCGACAGUGAUAUAUAUAUUAGAUAAAGACUAUGCAACAACCAACGUGACAGAAAAAUCAAAAUAGGACAAAAUCCGUACGAAUCAAAAUAGUUUAUUUCUAAGGGGAAUAGCUGAAUUAAAUUGUAAGAGAAGUAAAACAGAUUCUUUUAUAUUUUGGAAUAUAACUGAAAAAGAUUUUGAGAUAAUUUUCAGAAAUCAAACCAGUCAAAUAAAUAUUCGCUGAAGGAACAGAGUAAAGAUACAACGAAUAUAACAAGUUGUAAGAUGAAUAUCGCUGAAUCAAACAGGGUAGAACCCGUACAAAAACGCCAAACAGAAAGGAUCAAAACAGAGUAAUCAAAUUUACCUAACACUAAUAGAAGUAGUGCUGAAUAAAAGAGAACGAAAUCUGUACCUUAAAAAUAGCAAACGCAAACACUAACCAACCUCACAAGGGACCAUCUAAACUCCCUAACCCCGACUUUAUCUUAAACUCCAAAUAUCUCCCUGACUCCAAUAUGCCCAGAACAAUAAACGAAUGUUUUGACCUUCUAAACGAUGUUUUCUGGAAUAACGCAAAACACGAAAAUCGUAGAGAACGAAAAGACCUUUCCGAAAAGGUAAGGCUCGUCAAGAACGGAGUCAUAACGAAUCGGGAAUUAAAUAAAACGUCCGCUGAUUCAGAACUCAAAGCGAGAACAGGAUCUGAUUAAGUUUUGUAAUUUUGAGAACAGUUUGAAACAUAAUCUGAGAAAACAUUAUAAACGAAAGUAUAUGAGAUUGAAAGAGCUUUCCGAAACAUCAAGAAUCAUCAAAUUCCGAUAAGAAUUGAAUUUUCUACGAAUUUUACAAGACAGCUGAUUUGUGAGAAUAAAGCCCUACGAAUUUUUGUCAUAAAAAUGAAGAGAAGGUUGAGUAGCUCUCAAAAGUAUAUAAAAAGAAUGAGAGAACAAAUCAAUAUACUCCCUUUGUCCCUCUCGUUUAUUUACAGUGUUUGACACGCAUUUUAAAGCGCAUAUAAAACAUAGUUCUAUGAUUUAUUUUCAAAAUUUUUCUUUUUUGUAUAAAAAUUUAAACAUCAAAUUUUUAUCUAGAAAAAAAGGAAGUUCAAAAUAAUUUAUUGAACUACGUUUUACGAGAGCAUUAGAAUGCGUGCCGAGCCCCCGUCCCCCAAUGUAAACAAAUGAGAGGGACGGAAGGAGUAUAUAUACAGAGUCUUGAGACCCUAAUUCUAAACCUAUCCAUUAUCUGAAUGCAAGGCUGAUCUAUAUUUUAAGUACACUAUCCUAAUUCAAUUUUAAAUCCUAUUCAUAAUCUAAUUUUAAUCCUUUAUUAUUAUUACUAACCAAUUAAUAUUAUUUUAAAAAAAUACUGGAUAUUACAUUCCUGAUCAGACUAGUGAUCGGAUUGCAACCGCAAAGCAGCCUAUAUAUAGUGACAAUUAAAUACACAACAAAACAACUUCUUUCUUCUCUCUUGGGUUAUAAUACUCAGACGGACAAGCUAUAUCUGAGGCGAUUUUCUGGGCGAUUAAACACACAAUAAAAGCAGCUUCUUCUUCUUCAAUUAAGGUUUAUUCUACACCCAAUCACAUACACACACACACUUUAAUAUGACUAGUGAGUUCAAUUUUUGGUGGUAUUAUAUGAUUAUCAUGUUCUCUUUUUAAAUAUUAGUAACGUUAUUUUCGGAGUGGACUCUGUUGAUGUUUAAAUUUGAUAUAGAUAUUGUAAUUGAAAAUUUAUGUUGAUUUGUUGUUCAGAUUUCAAGUAUUAAUUUGUGUGUGAUCAAAAUUUUGCUUCUACAUCGAUUAUCAGGAGGAAAUAUGAGGCCGAUCUUGAUCAAAGGACACGAAAGGCCAUUAACAUAUCUAAAGUAUAACAAGGAGGGUGACCUCCUCUUCUCCUGCGCAUUAGACAGAAACCCCGCUGUUUGGUACGCUGAUAAGGGAGAGCUUUUAGGCACUUACCGUGGGCACAUUGGUUCUGUUUGGGGUUGUGAUGUUUCUAGGGAUUCAAAACUUUUAAUAACUGCAAGUGCGGAUCAAACAGCAAAGGUAUGGGAUGUUCAAACUGGGUCUGAGCUGUUCACGUUUGAAUUUAAGUCCACUGUGAAAUCAGUAGAAUUUGGUGUCGGAGACAAGCUUGCUGUCAUUGCAACAGACUCCUUUCGUGACAUGUCUUCUGCAAUUCAUGUCAAACACAUAGCCAGAGAUCCUAGUGAACAGUGCGGUGAUUCUGUGAUUGAAUUCUCACCUGGAGGAAGAAUCAAUAGAGCUGUUUGGGGACCUUUAAAUAGGACCAUAAUAAGUGGUGGUGAACAAGGCGUUGUUCGUGUGUGGGACGUUGAGACAAAGAAAGUGAUUUAUGAGUCAGACAAGGAUACUGGUCAUCAGAAGGCCAUUACAUCACUUGCAAAAUCAAGAGACGGUUCACAUUUACUUACUGCUUCCAUUGACAAAUCAGCUAAGCUUUGGGACAUCAGAUCAAUGAAACUUCUCAGGACAUACAAGGCUGAAGCCCCAGUUAAUGCAGUUGCACUCUCUCCACUACUUGAUCAUGUCGUGCUCGGAGGUGGUCAAGAUGCAUCGACUGUUACAAACGAUCCUCGUGCUGGCAAGUUUGAGGCCAAAUUUUAUUCCAAGGUCCUUGAAGAAGAAAUUGGAUCUGUGAAAGGACACUUUGGUCCGAUAAAUGCAUUGGCAUUCAACCCUGAUGGAAAAAGUUUCGCAAGUGGAGGUGAAGAUGGUUAUUUGCGAUUACAUCACUUUGAUCAUGACUACUUCAACAUGGCGAUUUAAUUCGAAUUACUUACAUUGCUACGUCUUUUUUUUUUUUUUUCCGGUUUUAUUCAAGUUAUUUUCUGGUUUUUAUGUUGAUCUUAUGUUCUUUGUUAUAAAUAGAAGUGUGGUUCCUUUUAAAACUAUUUACAUAAGUUUUUGGCUUUUCAUGUAAUUUAAUCAAAGUAAAUGCCAUGAGAUCCUGAAUAUAUCUACUUAUCUAUCUAUCUACUUAUUAAAGCAGAAUCAGGGGAAAAAUAUACCAGAAAUUGGAUGAAAAAUUUACAUACACACCCUCAAUUAUUCAUCAAUUCCGAAAUUGGCCUGUAGUUUAGCUGUUAACUUGCAGGAUUUUUGUAAAAGUAGGAAUCAGCGAUUCUUAGGUACCCCAGUGACCCCGAAUCGGUUUCUCAGAUUCUUGGAAAUCCUCGGUCAGUUGAUUUAGAUUGUGGGCAUAUAUACACCUAUAGUCAGCCUCCGGCGGUGCAAUCUUUUGGUGGUGUUUUUCAGCCUUUUCUGCUAUAGCGAUUCUUGUUAAAACAUUCAGGUGCUAGGGUUGUUUUGUUGGUAAAGGGAAUUGGAUUGUUGUAUCUGCGGUUGUGGCAAAGGUAAUUUUCUUGCCCUUGCUAUUCUUUUGGGAUGUCUGAUUAUAAAUAGCCCUUCUAACUUUGUUCACCUGUUCUGUAUGAUGUGUGUCAUUUGUGAUUGAGUCGAGCAGUAUAUCAUUUUGAUGCAUAUUGUUAAUUUCACUCUGGGAAAUUUUUAUGCUGAUGUUUGGGCAAUUAAUUCUGGUUAUUUCGUUGAUUUUGUUUGUGGUUUGUUUCCACCUGCCAUUAGAACUGUAAAGUAAAGUGUAUUUAUUGAUCAUGAUUCAAGUGUUUGUAGAUAAUCGAUGUGGGUGACAAAGAAGCUGCAAAUGAUGAUGGUUCUUCACAAAUUUUAUCUGCUUUGCUUCCUUUUGUUGUGGCUCUCACCAUGGUUGUCAAGUCGACGACUGCUGUUGCUGCUCUUGCUCAGCCCUCAACUUUCACCUGGUAACAACUUUUGUAUGUUUGGUAAAAUAUUUUGAUUUUUUUUUUUUUGUAAGGGUAAAAUAUUUUGAUUGUGAUAAGCUAAUUUAUUGUUUUUUAAUGAUUCCAACACUACAACAGAUUUAGCAUCACACAACGGUUUUUGCCCGUUGUCUGAGACCACGGAAAACCGUGGUCUAUCGAGACGCCGUCUGAUAUGCGUAUCAGACAACGGUGCGCACCGUUGUGUGAUAGUGCUAAACACGAUGGUUUACGUUAAAAAAAUUGUUGUGCAACACCCAGAACCAACAACGUUUACUCUUAAACGUGGUGUUGUUAGAAACACUCCUUAACAAUAGUCGAUUUCAAAAAUGGUGUUGUUAGAGAGACUAUCCACAACAGUUUUAUUAGCUCGCAAGACUUGUUGGAAAGAUGAUCAUACAACAGUAGUUGAAAUAGAGAAGCUCGUUCUUUCCUCUCUUGUACAACGGGUUUCGAACACCAAGCCACUUGUGUAAGGCCCCUUCUAACAAUGUUUUAAUUAGUGAGGUUGUUGUGUUUAGUUACGUCAGACAAUGGUUUUCUUUCAUAGUUGGUUGUCGUUUACAUGUUUUAACAAUUGUUUCUGUUUCAUCAUUAUUGCAAGUCAUUUGUUUGGACAAUGGUUUUGUGACAAUAAAUCAUUGUUUCCAGUUUUAUGAGACAAUGUUUUUAAUGAAUAAUGAUUAUUGUAUCAUGUUCAGUAUGACAAUGGCCCUGUAUUAUCCCAUUACCUAAAUACAUAAUAGACAAUGAUUAACAUAACUCGAUUAAACUAAGCUAGAGAAUGUAAUUAAAAAGCCAAAAAUUUGUAAACAAAAAAUUUCAUUAUGCACUAAUAACCAUUGUUACAACCAAAUCAUAUAUACCAUCCAAUAUCCAGAAAUAUUUCCCCCGAGGAUGGCAAAUCUCAAAAAUAUAAAUACCUACAAUAAAUGGUAGCAUCUAGAGAGGCAUAUGUGACUACAAGAGUCUUUUGUGAGCUUUUCAACUACCCAGCCCAGGAACAAUCCUCUGAUUGCAUUCUUUUGAUUCGGAUGGAGCCCUCCUGCUAUCUCUUUUGGAAGUGACUCUACUGCAACCACCUGUAAUACAUAAAAAAGUUCUUGAUAUGCUUUUCGUACAAAGAAAUUAAUGUGGUUGAGGAGUAUGUUUCGAGUUCAAAAUAUACCAGUGUGCCAUCUUCCAUGGUUUCACGUCAUUCAUACACAAUAAAUUGUAGCAAUUGUGAGCCCUAUCAACAUACCAGUCUUUCUGUAUUUAGAGUUGGAGCAGCUAAGCCAAAAUCAGACAAAUGGGGAUUGAGUUCAUCAAGUAAAAUAUUUGCUGACUUUAAGGUACUAUUAACAACAUAAGGAACAACAUCAGCAUCUUGCUUCUAUCAUCAGUGAAGUAUAAAAACUCUUGCAAGCUACUAUUUGCAAUAUAAUCAUGGACCAGAAGACGUACCAUGUUCAGCGGAAUAUCAUUCAAAUCUCUGGCAUGGUUGUUGUGAUGGAUAAAAAUAAGUUCCUUUAUGACCUGAAUUAAACAUUAAAAGAUACCAAAUUAACCGAAAUGCGUAGAGAUGCACAAAAAGUCCAGGCCCGAAAAUAUGGUCAUAGAGAUUUAAAAAAAGUCGAAAAUAAAGACAAACCAUGUGAGUAAAAAGCAGAGUAAGGAGGAUUGAUGGUAGUGUUUGAUAUAGAUGCCAUGUGGGUAGAUCCAUAUGAGCUGCUGGAAGCAGAGAGAUUUCUUCCAAACUCUCUUACAUUAUUGACAACAUUUGUGUUAACAUAUAUGUGUUGUAUAUGAAAUUUUAAAGAUUAGAUACAUAAAUAUAAUAUUAUUCGGAAAAUAUAACAUACCAUCUCGAGUCAUUUUCUUGCUUGGUCAUUAAAAUAACCUACAGCAAGUAAUGUACCCUCACUCUAUAAGAAGAAGAUGGACAAAAAGAAGUCAGUUGUAUGGAUGCCUCGGAAUAUAUACAAGAAUGUCCCAGGGAUAUUUAUUCAGUUGAUGAAGCAUGUAUAUCUAGAAAUUAACAAACCUCAUCAGCCAAAACAAAUAUAAAAUUAAUAAAAUCAUCUGUCUCCAAACACACAGAUUAAAAUCAAAGCACAAAUGUUAUCACACAAAACCAAGACAACACAAGAUCCAUCACUAAAACACACAACUACUACUAAAAUCAAACACACAAACAAAAAUCUCAUAUAGAUUCAAACUUUAUCCCCAAAAUCAAGUAUAAUUACACAGUAAAAAGCAUUCGUUUACCUCUUCAUAAGGUGAAUUGUUGUUAAACUAAUCAGCACGGUCAACACCGGCAUCAAAAACUUGAAUGGCCUUUGGGGUUAUCGCCGACAGAACAGAUCUGAGUAAGCUUUGUAGAAAAUGAGAUAGAGACGGGGGAGGGAGGGGAGAGUUCAGAGGAGGGUGAGGGAGAGACAGAGGGCGAGAGGGAGGGGAGGGGCGAGAUGCUUUAACAAAUCAAUUGCGGCAAGAGUGGGGAAGACACAGCCGCACCAGAAGAGGAAGAGAUAGAUUCAGAAGAAGAGAGAUUUACUCUCACUUACAAAUUUUAGGUCAAAAUAGAGGGGGGGAAAUGAAAAUUUGGAUAAACAAGUAGAGAGGGAAUUGAAAAUUUUUGUAAGGUGGAAAUCAUUCGUUCAUCCCGUGUAAAUAACAAAAUCAAUGUAUUAUAAUAUCCAUAUAGUUGAAUUAUAAAUAAAUGAAUUUUUUAAAUUAUAUUUUUGUAUUUGAUUACAAAUAUUUCAUAUUAAAUAAAUUUUAAAAACAAUUUUAAUGUAGAUGUCAAUAUCUAAUUAUUUUAGUUAUUUGUGAAAAUCUUCAAAAAAUUAAAAAUUAAUCUGGUAAAUCUUUUUGACAAAAUAUAGUUGAAAUACAACUAUUUAAUAAAAAAUUAAUAAUUCUUUAAAAGUUAAAAUUCUCAUUUUCUCGAUGUAUUCCGUUUUUGUACUCUUUGUCUAAAUAAAAUAUACACAAAUUUUUAUUAUUCAUUUGUAAUAAGAAGAUAUUUGUGUGGUUCAAAUGUCAAUAUUAGUAUAAAUUUCAUAUUUACAAUAUAGGAUGUACUUAAUAGAAGUUUUGUGAUCUAUAUGAUUAACCCCGUAUUAAUUUUGAAAUAUUUUCGAUCAUCCAAACAUAUAAAGAUCUUAAUAUCUAUCAAUAUUAGUCAUGUAUAAUAUUUUUAAAUUUUUCUAUAUUUAUUUAUAUCUUGUUGUAACAAAACUAGUGAUGAUCGUUGUUUUUAUGUCAUUUCUUAUUUUUGUACUUUUUAUCAAAAAAUUAUAUUUAUAUUAUGCAUAUGUCCAAAUUUGUAUUAUUCAUUUGUAAUUGGAAGAUAAUUUUGUUGUUCGGACCUGAGUAUUACUAUGUGUUUUAUGUUCACAAUUUAGGAAGCACUAGAUAGAAUUUUUGUUAUCUACAAAAUUUGCUCUGAAUUAAUUUAUAAAUAUUUUUUUCGAUGAUAUAACCGUACGGAUGUUAAUAACUAACAAUAUUAGUCAUGCAUAAAAAAAUUAGAUUUUUUUAUGCUUAUUUUAUAUGCUUUUUUUACAAAACUAGUCAAUUGUAAAUUUUGUCUUAUUGUAAAAAGGUAAUUUUUGUCUUGUAGUGUCCAACAGACAACGGUACUUAUAGGCACGUGUGUUGUAUGAGUUAAAAUGACACAACUGUUAUGGACAUUAUACAGUCAUAACAAAAUCUAUUGUCUAAAAUAGGCUCAAACAAUGUUUCGGGAAAAACUCGUUGUGUGUAAGUAGUGUAGACAAUGGUUUCUGGGAGGCAAACCGUUGUAUAAUAAAUUUUCAUUUUUAAGAGUUAGAAAUUCACAUUUUCUUGAUUAGUUCUUGUUUUUGUACUCUUUGUCUUAACAAAUAUACUUAUAUUAUGUAUAUAUGCAAAUAUCAAUUGUCAUUUGUACUAUGAAGAUAAUUUUGUAGUUCGAACAUGAGUAUUGGUAUGUGUUUUAUAUUUACAAUUUAGAAAGUACUGAAUAGGAUCUUUGCUAUAUAUAAGAUUAGCUCCGUAUUAUUUUAUAAAUAUUGAUUUUGAUGAUCUAACCGUACGGAUGUCGAAAACUAACAAUAUUAGUCAUGUAUAAAAAAAAUCAAUUUUUUAUGUUUAUUUUGUAUGUUUUUUUUAACAAUACUAGUCAAUUGUAAAUUUUGUCUUACUGUAAAAAGGUAUUUUUUGUCAUGUAGUGUCUAACAUACAAUGGUUUUUAUAUGCACCUAUGUUGUAUAAUUGAAAAUGAUACAACUGUUACAGAAGUAUACCGUUCUAAGAAAAUCUAUUGUCUAAAUUAGGCUCAAACAACGGUUCACGGAAAAUCCGUUGUAAAAAAGUAGUGUAGACAACAGUUUAUGGGAAGGAAACCGUUGUAUAAUAAAUUUUCAUUUUUAUGAGUUAAAAAUUCGCAUUUCCUUGAUCAAUUCUUGAUCUAAUGCAAGAAAAACAUAUGACUAUCAAGAAAUUGAUUGUUUUGUUAUAACUUUGGUUAGGACUUUGAAUCUUUGCACUCUCUUAUGUACAUCCAUUUUCUUAAAAUUCAUUCAAUCAUACAACAUUUUAUUAGUUAGUAGAGGCUUGUCUAUAAUGCCAUGCUACAAUGCUAACAAAAACACUUGUAUGUUAGCUUCCCAGUCACACAACACUAUAUAAAACCCUUGUUUGAACUCCUCGUAAACAACACAACAAAUAAAACACUUGUCUAAUUACAACGACGGUUUCUUGAACUAUUGUCUGAAGUUUCUUCACACAUCGGCUCUCAAAACAGUUGUCUAACAUGCAUCAUUACACAAUACCACAGUUAAGAAACCAUUGUCUAAUUGAAUUUACUAGACAACAAUUUUUUAACCGUUGUAGGUCGUAGAUGUUAGACAAUAGUUUUUCGAGGCCGAAAAGAAAGUGUUGUGUCUUUUUUCCAAACAACGCUUUUUUCACCGUGCGUUGUCUGAUCAGUGUUGUCUAAUGGUGUUAUUGUUGUAGUGCAAGUUGGAUUUAUUUAAUGCUAAUAGGUACUUGUUCAAGUGAGGAGAUUUAACUGAGAUUCAGGUUCUGGCAUUUGUCUUGUGUUGUUAUUUGUUUAUGUACCGGUUUUGAGAGUCAUUAGAGAUAUGUAAGGUAUUUAUUCCUAUUUUUUAUUAUUAGUAUUACAUCGUUUUCGGGUAAAAUAAUCGAUGAUUGUUUGUUUUAACUGUGUAAUAGCCUUAUGAUCUGCCAACUUAUGUAGACAUGUGAUAAACAUGUUGACUGUGGUCAAUAUUUUAGAUGAGGUAGUGUGUUUGUUGUUAUUGCAAGACUUUUUGGAAUAAUCAUUGUCAAAAAGAACUAACGAUGAAUGGAAAUGAAGUUCUGAAGAAGUGAUGAUACAAUGUUAAAGAGAUUGCUUUUUGUUGAAUUUUUCUGACUCUGGAAUUAAACUGCGUUAGUAUCUUCUUCUCUGAUUUUCCUUAUUUGGUAGACCUACUACUUUCAGAAGAUACAUGUGGUAUUUGUUUGGUUGAUUAAUUUUGGUAAGAUACAGUUUCCGUUUGGAAUCAGACUAUCCAUUGAACAAUCAGACUAUCCAUUGAAGAUUUUAUGCUCGCUCUUAAAUGGUUGAUCCACUGAUCUUAUUCUUACUUCAUAUGAGCUAAAGCCAGCUCUAGGGGUGUUUCUCGCAUACAAAAAAAUUAAAAAAAAUAUUAUGAAACUAUACUUUGCAGGAGUCUCAAAAUAAAUAAGUGUAAACGAUAAACUUAAACACCUAACUUCUUAAACACCUAGCAUAACACGGGUGAGCAUAUGGUCAAUCAUACCAAAUUGAAUAAAUCGAAAUUAAAAUUUAAAUAUUUUUAGACUGGACCAAACUGAAAUAUUUUGUCCGAUCCAGUUCAGUAUGAUCGAAAAGAAUUGAUUCUUUUGGAAAAAGUAACUUAAUAUUAUAAAUAAAAUUAAGAUUUAUAAUUUAUUUAAAAACUAUCAAUGAAUCAUCAACACUUCUUCAAAAAUAGAUACAUUUGAAUUUAUACAUUAGAUAUUAUAACUUCUAAAAAGUAUAUAAAAAUAUAUAAUAUAAAUAUAAAUUUAUAGUAUAAUUUUUUUGACUAUUUAGAAUAUAUUUUUAACCCAAAUAUUUUUUUUUAAAAUCAAAUUUUAUUUCGAUGAACUUUUCUAGAAAAUUAAGAUAGAAACGAAACUCAUUCCUACAGUAAGGUUUCAGUUUUUCGGCUGCAAUACGGUUUUGCUCAUCAUUAGCAUAAAUGGAGUAUGUAGUAAAUAUGAAUGAAUGGCAUGGGAAUUCUUGGAAUGGUAUCAAGAAUUAAGAUUAAAGCACAUUAGAAGUUUAGAACCAUGAAUGUUAUUUUUGAAAAUAGUAAUCCCUCCGUUUCUUAUCACGUUUCUCGUUUGAUAUGUCGGAACGGUUCAUAAUAUGAGACAAAUUAGUAAUUUAUGUCCAAUUUAUAAAAUUAAAUAUAGUCAUGAGUGAUCUUGUUGGAUUCGUAUCUAUGAGUACUUUAAUAAGAUGAAAUUUUUAUAUUUAAUGUUAAUACAAAAUUAAAAUAUAUUAAUUAAAAAUAUAUAUUGACAAACGUGAUAAAAACAAACAGCAAAAAUAUUAAGAAACGAAGCGAGGGAGUAAUAAAUAUGCUUUAUGCUGAACUGAAUUGAGUGCGUGGAAGCUUGGGGAGGCAGCUUACUACAGUAUCUACGUGUAUCUGUAUAUGCAAUAAAGACACAAAUACUCACAGGAGAUUAUUUUUCAAACACUUAAUUUCCCCCUUUCCUUCUCGUAAUAUUCAACUCAAUUCAUCACAUCAUCUUCUUCAGACAAACAACUAUACUCACUUCAGAUCAUCACAUCAUCUUCUUCUUGACUUCAGAUCCACAUUUCAAACCCUAAUCAUUCGCUUGGUCCCCUCCCUCUCUGUAAUAAUACAAUUCUUUCUACACACAAACAAUAACAUCAUCAUCAUCGAGUGAAGCUUCAUAUCCACAUUCCAAGACCUAAUUACUCGCCAAACCACUCUCGCUCUCAUGGAGGAGGCCUUAGAAAUGGCGAGAUCGAAUGAUACCAAGAAGCGAAGGGCGGGAGUGGAUCGGCUGCAACAGCUUCUUGAAGAUUCAAGAAAGUGCUUGUCAUCGUCGGAAGUGACGGCGCUAGUCGACACGUGUCUUGAGCUUUUGAAGGACACGUGUGUUGCUGUCGUCGGCCGCGGAGUUGUUUAAGUUGCAUUCUGAUAGAAUUAUGACGGCGGUUGUUGAUAGGUUGUGGGAUGGGGAGCAGCGGGUUCGAGACUCGGCGAGGAGGCUGUUGAUUACCCUUAUGGAGGUAAUUUAUUAAUUUUCUUGGGGAAUGCCAGUUGAUUUUAUGGAAUGUGAUAUAGUAUAGUUUCUAUCAAUCGAGUAUCUUAAAUUGAUGACUACAACAAGUAUUAUCGUUUUGCACGCAAGUGGCUAAACUUUUAUGCAUGCCAAAUUGCCAAUCGGGUUUCAAUUUCAGAUCUCUGCCUUCACUUGCAUACGAACACAUUUGAGUUUAAAAAGAUGAAUCACCUCAUAAAUAUCAUUAAUAAUUAGUUGGUGUUAAUAGUGCACUGAAAAAUGGGAGAGAAUGACAAGACUAUAGACAGUAGUAGGGCUGAGCGAGAUGUUAAUUGAGUACUUAUAUGAUGCUUCACUAUGUUCAGGGAGUUAGUUUAUUGCUUCUUUCCUACACUUUCACUUGAAUUAGUACUAAUUAAUAAUUCCUUCUCUAUCUUGUAAAAUUUCUCCUUCAUUGCUAAGCAUAUCUACUCUGAUUAAUUUUCAAACAAACUUUACUACUGAGAUAGGAUUGUUUGCUGGGUAGGAGCACCAUAGAAUGAGUAGCUCUAUUGCUAUAUACUGAAGGGUGCGGUGGCAUCCUCGGUUAUAUUUUAAGUGCUACUUCGAAUUUAGUUGUUGGCUUUUGCAAUUUAUUUUCAUUCACAAUGUUUUAAUAAUGAUACCCCAUAUUAGGUGAGAGAUAUUAGUGCCAGGCUGGAGCAGAUUCAGAUUCAACCAGCAACUUCCGUCUCUUCCAUCUCUGAAGGACUUAAUAGUAAUCUUCUCCACCAUGCACCUGAUUUAGAAGUAUAAUGUAUUAAUGUGAACUUUUUAUUUAUAUUUAUUUCCAUGUGUAGUAAAACGAUCACAUCUUUUAAGAGCUUAGUACAAUGUUAUGUACAAUGUGUAAUUAAUUAAGAGGUUUGUACAUAGUUUAGUAUGAAAUGGAAAAAGUUUGUACAGAAGUUUAUUUGUUCACAUUACAGCUGAGACGAGCAAGCAAAAACCAUCAGAGAAUUCAAAGGAUAAUGAUAAAGGAAUUGAGCCCCUACUGGAACUGCCGGAAGAUAUUAUCUUUCUACAAAUUCUGCCUAAGUUGAACAGCCUAGAUGUUCUUCCCCUGGUUUUGGUGGCUAGGAGUUGGGCCUCCUUUCUUUUGCAUGAGGGACCCAGACUGAUGUUAUUCAACCCACCUAAAAAUCCUACACCUAAACACACUUCAAUUUUAUUUGAUGUAAGCCCGAUUCCGUACUCUGUUUCAGUUUUGUUAUCCCCAGAGAGCCGCCAACUGUGUCAGUCUAGGUGUAUAAUUGUUCCAAUCUUGAAUUCUGGUAUAAAACAUGCUGUUCCAAUUUUCACUGACUACCCAGAUUUUUUAAAGCAGGGGGAAGUCCCAACUGUAGUGGGAUCUUCCAGUGGUAUUAUAUGCCUCUAUAUCACCAGUUCUCCCUCUAGAUACAUCCUGCUAAACCCCUUAACAAAACAUUAUAAAGAGGUUGGGGCCCCUUAUAUUUUUGUACCAGAUUGUGAGCAAGCUUCUGUAACUUCUGGAUUCUUUUAUGAUGAAUGGACUGAUGACUUAAAGAUCGUACAAUUGUUGAGAUGGGAUCAAAGGCUUACGAGCUUGGAUGCUCCGGGACCCAAAAAGAUACAUGCGCUUCGCGUUUGUUCUGUAAAUUCUGCAAAUUGGGAAGUUGUUGACUUGGGGCCAAUGAAAGUCUCCGAUCGUCUUGGUGGUGUGUUAUUUUUGCCGAAAGCUCUCGUCACAUUUGUAGAUGCGUUUGCUACAGAGCCGGAGAUUAACUUUUGGUUGGAUUUUCGUGAUUGCCGUCUAAAGGCAGUUCCGGAAUUAGAAGGGGCUGAACUCAGUAUGAAAUCGGUUUGGUGGAAUAACCAGGUUGGUGUUAUUGUUGGAACUGACAGCAUUUAUGUCCUUGAUGAGGAGUUUGCAGCCUGGUAUUACUGCACAGUGCUUCCGGACGUGGGAAAUUGUGUAUUCUGUUUAGAUGAGAACAAAAUUGUGGGGAUGGGGGCUGGGGAAAGCGGAAGCGUAAAUGAUUACAAUAUUCUUAAUUCCACAAGCGGCGAAAUCCAACAUAUAAUCUCGUUGCCUUCUUGCAGGGUUUUUCCGUAUGUUCCUACAUUCUACUAUAUCGAGGGAAUGGCUAAUUUUUAGACUUUUGCAAGUCACAAUGUAAUAAAAGAAUGUAAACAGUACAUAGCAGCAAUACCUCUCUAUAGCAUAUAGUUUCAGAUACAACAUGUAUUGUGAUGCCAGCUUGUAGAGUACAAGUAUUAUUCUAGGUGAUUGAUUGUUGAGAAUAAUAGAGGCAACCGGUUGCAUGAUGGUAUCCUUGAAACUUUCAUAAUUACUAAUAUCGAACUCAGAUAGCAUGCAAUUUUUCCGGAGAUCAUAUUCUUUAGCUAUCAACUAACUCUACAUUAUAUAUUAUGUCCCAGAUCAAUGAGUUUGUUUGCUAUAAUGUCCUAUUUUAUAUGUGAUUUAGGAAUAUGUUCCAUUAACUUGUUAUCACCCUCAAAUCUAAAAUCUAAGACUACCAUGUCCUUAGUUUAUUUUGUUUAAUAUUUGUGAAUAGACUCUAAUCUGAUCAUAUCAAUUAUAUUUUAGUAACAGAUGUUUAAAUGCAUAUGUUUUUGUUAUCUAGUUAUUUCAAUGAUGAUGGGAUUAAAUUUUUUUAUUCUUGUAAUAUGUACAAUGAUUGGUUUAGCUUUAAUAUUUAUUUUUAUUUUUAUUUACCAAUUUUAAUGUAGGUAAAGUUUUAUCAGCAAAUUUUAUUUUUUGUAUGCAGUAAUCUGUUCUAAUAUCAAAUUUUGAUUUAGAUCGAGUAUUAGUAUGUUGAAUUUGCAUUCAUCUAGUUAGAUGAGUGAAACUGGCUAAUUAAUGGAAAAUCAUAAGUACCUGAGUUGUUUUCAAAUUUUUUUCCCAAAUUUUAAUUGUUUGAUUGGUUUCUUCAAAUUAAUAUUAAUGGAAUCAUGAACGCACAUAAAUAAUUUAAUUAAAAAUUAUUUAUUUAUGUGUCAUUUAGAAAAAAUUGGGGACAAAAUUUGGGAUAGUAAUGGGGACGAAAUAUGUGUUAGCGUUAAUGGUUUAGCGGCAGUGGAGAACGCAAUUUAAGAGCAAAUCCAAUAGUGUCCUAAACUAGUAUCCUAAAUUAAAAAUUAAGGUAUUUAUAUAAAUGAGUGCUCCACCUAAUGAGUGCUCCACCAAUGUCCAGUGAUACCUUAAAAUACUAGGAAAUCCAUCAAGCGUCUCGUUUUUAAGACAUCACUAGGCAUGCCCUAUUUCACUUCUAUCAAUAAAAUAUAUCUUUCCCUCGUUUUUUACAGAUCUCUUCUCUCUCAUUUUUUCCAUUUAUGCCCAAUUAUAAUUCAAAUAUAAUACACCUUCAGUCCCUUUUUAGUUGUGAAAUUUACAAAAAUAAUUUGUCCUUAAAUAAUAUUCUCAUCCUUGUUCCAAUACAUAUUUAUACAUAUUUUUUCAUGUUUACCCCUUGAUUGUUGGUUCAAAUGUUUGACUGUACUACUAAUAUAUACAGUUUUGACUUAGUAUUUAAUAUAAUAAAUAAGGGCAUGCGUGGAAACAACUUACAACAUUUAAUUUUCUUUAAUAUAUGUAUUUUUGCAAAUGUGACAACUAAAAAGGAACAGAGAGAGUAUUAUUUUAAUCAUAAAACAUAUUGUUGGAGUUAAUAUAAAAAAAUCAUGUCUUAAAUCAUAAGAUUACUAUAUUUAAUUAUAUUUAUAAGGCAUCUAAUAGUACAAUAUUGGAUUUGCUCUGAUCACAGAUCAAUCAAAUGAUCGGCAACUUAAGCGAUCAAAUGAGAUGACUCGCAUAGUCCACGCUAAUCGAUAUCCUUAAGAGGAUGUUUGCCUGGGCUUAAAGCCCUUGCUUUAAGCCAUCUUUGGCUUUAAGCUGAAAAAUGUCUGUUUGUGUAAUAAGUCAGAAGCCAGCCUAAAGUCAGAAAUAAGCCAGAAGCUGACUUAAAGCCAGAAGUUAAUUUGAGGUACUUUUUUCAGUGGCUAAAUUUUUUUGAACUUUUUUUUUGAUAAAAAUUACUCCUAAAUCAUAAGUUUCUUAUAAAUCACUUUUAUUUUUAUUAUUAUAUUUUUAAUAACUCAUAAGUCAUUCAUAAGCCAAAAUUACCCAAACAGACAUUUUAAGCUAUCAGCUUAUCAGAUAAGACACGUUAAGUCACAAGUCACAUUAAGUCAUAAGCCAUAAGCUCAGCCAAACGGGCAAGUUUUCUAAGAGACAUUCCUGCUUAGUGCAUUUUUAAUAGGGUUGCCUAAAUCGUUGACGAAAUUGGACAUGUGAGACAUUAUAUAAAAUUUGUUAAACAUGUAAGUGAUUGUGUUUCAAUAAUGUUAACUACAUUGAUAGAUUAUAACUUAAAAAUAGUAUGUUAUUAAUAUUUAGAUUGUUAUAAAAAAAUAUAUGAGUUUAAUAUGAUAGGAAAUGAUGUGUAAAUUACCCCGAUUAUAUAUAUAUAUAAAUAAUAAUAUAUUUAUAUAUAUUAUACUAAAUAUAUUAUUAAAAAUAGAUAAAUUUUAUAAUAUAAUCAAAAGUAAAAAAUAAUCUUUAUUUUUAUUGAUUGAUUAUAAAUAUAUUGUAAUAUAAUAUAUUUUAUAAUUUUAAAUUGUUGUUUAUUUAUAUUAUAAAUCAAUUUUAAUAUGAUUUGAGGUUGAAAAUAUAAGAUAAUAUUAUUUUAUUAUUAUAUUAGGAGUUUGUAGUUUGUUUUUUAAUUAAAAAAAUAUAUUAUAUAUUAUAAAAUUAUUAUGUUUUUAUUAAAAAAUAAAAUUCCCCGAAACCCCGCGGGGAUCCCCGUUCCCCGUUCGGGGCGGGGAUCGGGGCGGAAAAUAAUCCCCGUUCGAGGUUCGGGGCGGGGUCGGGUAGGGCCGUAGGGGUAUUGAAUUCGGGGAUCGGGGUCGGGGAUAGCACUCCCCGCCCUCGAAGUCUCCCCGUGCCCAUCCCUAGUCGAACCUCUAGAGGUCCGUAAAAAAUCUCCAAGAAGAUUACACUAUGUAAUCUUCUUGGAGAUUUUUUACGGACCUCUAGAGGUUCGACAAAUAUAGUGGCCGGUAGGAUGUUGGUUAAAAUUAUAGAUAAGUGGUGUCUAUGGUUGAGUGUGAUUUUUUUGAAUAGAAUGGCUAUAUAUUUUAUUUUUGGGAUGCCAACUCAAUUUUUAAACUAAGGACUUCUCAUAUUUGGAGAUGCUAUAUGAUGGCAAAUCCCGCAAAUCUUCAAUUUUGACAUAUAUUAUCCUAAAUUCUCUUUCAACAAUGAUUGAUUCAAAUUUGGAUCAAGAUUGUUGGAUCCCGCUGACGUGGCAGUGACGUCAUGUUGACGUGGCGCCCUGGGGUGGACCCCGGUGCUGACGUGGCAGAUGACGCGGCGGUGACAUGGCGCCUGGUUGGGGUCCCAUUACUAACGUGGCAUUUGGGUAGAAAGUAUAAAUUACGGAAAAUUGAUGACAAACUGAGAGGUGCAUAUUAUAAGUUUUAAAAAGUAUGAGGAGAUAUUUGAUCAGUUUAAAACUAGUUUUUAGGUUUUUAGGCUAACCGUGGUUUGUAUAUUCGAGCAUCCCCGUGUAUAUUGACAUAUAGGUAAACUCCUUGCAAUACUUUGAGCUGCAAAAUCCAUCAAAAUUUUGAUUUAUCAUGUAACUGUUUGACAGAGUACUUCCAACUUUCAAGCGUAAGUAUCAAAAUCACUACCUUCAUAUGUUCCAUUAAGCGUGAAAGGUACAGAAUAAGAAGUGAAAGAAAUCCUUUAUAUUUACACGGCCAUUGAUCUUAUAGGAUCACCUAGCCCAUCAGUGCUAGGGAAUACGGAACCAUCUUAUCAAUUAACGAAGAAAUGUAUGCAUGCAGUGUCACCACCACAAGUCAGAAAUGGUGAUGAUGCUAAUGAUAAUGAACUCAAUUGGGAGUGAUCCUAAUGGGAUAUGGAUGUGGAUUGGUAUGCGGAUUCUUUGGGGUUUAUUGUUCUUACAAUGGGAAAGCCUUGGUGGUUUAUGAGAUACAUUGAAGUAAGUUGAUAAUGACAUGCACGGCUUAAUUAAGAUUAAUUAAGACAAACACCUUGACAAAAUGUUGUCUUAGAAUGAUAUGUAUUCUGAUUUUUCCUAAUUUAAAAUCAAAUUUAUUACAAUUAAAGUUAAAAUCUGCGUAGCACAUACUAUACUUUGAUUAAAUUUUUAUUGAAGUUGUCCAUAUUAACCUAGUGGCCGAAAGUGAAUAAAUUAAAUUAGUGGGGUCUAAUAUAAAAAUUGCAUUAAUUAAAAUUUGUAAUGUAUAGAUUAUGCUAAAGCUAUUCAUUAUAAAGAACAUAGGAAUGUUAAUCUCUUUAUAUGUUUGCAUGCGGAUAGUCUCUCGGGAGUGUGGUAUAUUGUCAUGGCUGGAAAAACGGCUAAUUUCUACGGUUUUUUUUUGACAGAAAUUAAUUUUGACGGAAUACUGUCGAAAUAUCGAAAGUCGAAAAUAAGCCGCAAAAUUACUUUUUUCAAUUUUCAAUUGAAAACUGUCAAAAAAGUCUCUGGCAAAAUUAUAUUUAUUUCUACAGAUAAUGUCGAAAAUAUUUUCCUGCAAAUUUCCCGCACCUUAGUUGUGAGCGGAAAUAGAUAGUUUGGACAGAAUUCCGUCGAAAUUACGCGAGUUCUUUGUAGUGUGUUUUCACACAUACGCUGAUAAUCUUUGGGGACUGGGGUAUAUUGUUUUCGCAAAGCACUGGUAGUUUGUGAGCUUGUCCAAUUUUUCCCCCCAUGCCUAUACUGGUUGGUCUCAGUCUUAGUGGUAAUAAGCUGGCGUCAAAUUUUCCAGAAUUCAUAUAUAAUUGCUAUAACAUGAUCCGAUGCCUGAAUCAGCAGCUAACAAUUUACGUAAUCUUGAAGAACUAUAUCUUGGUGCCAAUUCUUUCGAGGGCUCAUUUCCAACGAAUAUAUUCAAGCUUUCCAAAUUAAGGGUUCUUGACCUAUCUGUGAAUAAUUUUUCAGGUUCCAUUCCCAAUGGUAUAGAGAUGCUUCCCGAUCUUGGAAUAAAUCGUAUUUAUAAUAAUUCAUUUGAAGGAAUUAUUCCUUCUUCAAUUAGUCUACUUAAAGAUCUUCAACACCUAGACUUCGGUGACGACAACCUUGUGGUUUCAAGUAUAAUGUCUUACGGGUCCAAUCUAACCGAUCAUUACAGGCAACCCCAUUGGAGAUGCUCUUAAUAACAUUUUAACUAGAGAGUAUUUUCUAUCAAUUGCAUUUGUAUUAAAUUUGAUUUAGAUGAAGAGAAACAGAAUACAUAUGAUCCCGAGACAACAUUUUGUCAAUGUUUUCGUCUUGAUUGAACAGUCUUCUUCAUGCGUGUCCUUGUCAACUUCAGUUGCAGUAAUUCAAUGUAUCUCAGGAACCACCUUGGCUUUCCCAUUUUGAUAACAAGUAUCCUGAAGAUAAUCCGCAUAUCAAUCCACAUCCGCGCGUAUCCCAGUUGAUUUAUUAAUUUAUUCAUGAAGUGUUGCGAACGACAUUCCUGCAAAAGUAAAAGUCAGUGGAAUUUGUAUGAUAGCAUGAUGAAUAUUUAAAGUUUCAGUUAAAAUUUCACCAAGUAUUUUAUUUCUGGCUUAAGUCCCGGAUUGACGAAUUCUGCUGAUCACAUUUCUAAUCGACCAAUUCUGGUCGAAUAAAUUAAAUGGCACACUUCCUGAGUUGGUGGUAGGGGCGUUCUUCUUGUGUUUCUUUCUUUUCAUUAUUGACAUUGUUAUCCAGGCCCUUGCUUCUGGGCUUUUGUAAAGCACCCAUUUACGCCAUUGUCAUGAUCAUAGCUAGUCUUCCAUAUCCAAGAUACGCGCAUUAUAGUGGAUUUAUCUUUAUUAGUGAUUUCUGUGGAAAUGCAUAAUCUUAAUUAUAAGCUCCAAUAUUAUAAAAUAAACCUAACUUAUUAGAGUUAACAGGGCAUUUGUGUUGAUAAUUUGCGCAAUGUUAAUGGGGAUCGCUCCCAAGUCUUGGACGGACUCUUUCCAAGUCUUCUGAGGACCCAUCUGCACACUAAUUUGUCCGCCAACUAAAAAUUUAUAUAUAUUUUUCCAUAGAAUAUAAAUAGUUGGGGGUACUAACAGAACCUCUAGUAAAAUUAAUUAAUACCGUUAUGAUUUCGCAAACACAGCAGACAGCAGGCAUAAGGCUUAUAAAUAGAAGUGUCGUAUUUGGUUGAUGGUCAAGUUGAGUGGAAAUAUGGCACACUUUGUAAAGCCUUGUUAUCCUCUUCUCUUUGUUUUCUUUCUCUCAUUACUUCAAUCCAUUCUAACAACACAAGAGGGAGAAGCUCUUGUGAAAUGGAAGAAUAGCCUAGCCCCUUCUUCUUUUCUCGACUCUUGGUCACUCACCAAUCUCGAUAAUCUUUGCAACUGGACUGGCAUUACUUGUAACUCUGCAGGUUCAGUCUCUGAGAUUAACCUUAGUGAGAAACAACUUGAUGGAAUGCUGUCCGAGUUUGGUUUCACUUCAUUUCCAAAUCUCAACAAUCUCACCCUCGCAAUUAACUACUUCUCGGGUCCAAUACCACCAGCCAUUGAGAAUUUAACACAGCUUCAAUAUCUUGAGUUGAGCAAUAAUUAUCUAGAUGGUCCCAUUCCUUUCCAGGUUAGCAAUCUUCAGAGGUUGCUCAUCUUAAACCUGUCAGAGAAUGAACUGCAAGCUCCAAAUUGGUCCAAUUUUUCCCCCAUGCCUUUUUUGACCAUCCUCGACCUUUAUAAAAAUAAUCUUUUGUCAGAAUUUCCCGAAUUUAUAUCUAACUCGUGUAACCUUACGUACCUUGACCUCUCAUCCAACAAGUUUAGAGGGGAUCUUGCGCGAGAAUCAGUAUUAACCAAUCUAGGUGAUCUUGAAACCCUCUAUCUUAUUAGAAAUUCUUUCAAGGGGUCAUUUCCGUCAGAUUUAUUCAAGCUUUCUAAAUUAAAACGUCUUCACCUGUCGAGCAACAAAUUUUCAGGUUCAAUUCCUAAUGCCAUAAGGUUGCUUUGUGAUCUUGAAUUCCUAUAUUUAGGCAACAAUUCCUUUGAAGGACUGCUUCCACCAAAUAUAUUUAAGCUUUCAAAAUUAAAACAUCUUGUUCUUCGGAGUAAUAAGUUUUCAGGAUCUGUUUCCAAUGAUAUAAAUUUGCUUCCUGAACUUGAAUAUCUCGAUCUUAAUUCUAAUUUUUUUGACGGGCCGCUUCCUCCAGAUGUAUUCAAGCUCUCCAAACUAAGGUUUCUUUACCUCUCGGGUAAUACCUUUUCACGUUCUGUUUCCAAUGAUAUAGGUUUGCUUUCUGAGCUUGAAACCCUCGAUCUUAACUCUAAUUUUUUGAGGGUCCGCUUCCGUCAAAUAUAUUCAAGCUCAAAUUAAAAAUUCUAGACCUCUCAAACAAUAGAAAUUUAUUUCAAAGAAGUUUUCCUAUUGGACUGGAACUCUUGAGUAACCUCAGCUACUUAGGUCUAAGUUCCAGUAAUCUCAGUGGCAAUAUUCCAUCUUACAUUGGAAACCUGAAGCUACUAAUAUCUCUUGAUCUCAGUUCUAAUCAAUUGACUGGACCGCUUUCAAAGCUCGUUUCUAAUGUCACAAAUCUUAUAUUUCUUGAUUUAAGAGAUAAUAGUCUUAGUGGAAAUAUUCAGACUGACUUGUGGAAAUAUAACGAUCAUCCAACUCUGGAAUACAUCAAUUUGAGUGGGAACUAUUUUACGGGUAUAGUUUUUCUCUAUAGAUCUUUUCUUUUGUCAUAUGUAACUAAGCUAGUAAUCUGAUUAAUUGCAGUUUUACCAAAGUUUCAACAAUCUUGACAGGUGAGCUUCCAACAACAAUUUGCAAUGUCACUUCCCUUUCGGUUCUUGAUUUGUCAAAUAAUAACUUAAGUGGUGCACUUCCAAAAUGUUACGGGAAUCUUGCUGAUGGAUUGCUUUACAUUAAUCUUGCGAAUAAUCACUUUCGAGGAACAAUACCCACUACUUUCUCCAGGAGUUGUCAGCUGAUAUAUCUGAACAUGGAUGAUAAUGAGUUUGAAGGAUUGAUGCCCCCAUCUUUGGCGAACUGUAAGCACUUGAAAAUUUUUGAUAUUGGCAAUAAUAAAAUAGGUGGUACAUUUCCGUCAUGGCUUUAUGCACUUGGAGAGCUAGAAGUCCUUGUCUUGCGAUCAAAUAAACUCUAUGGUACAAUAAGUGGAAGGAGCAUAGAAGAUCCCUUCCCCAAGUUGCGGAUUGUGGAUCUGUCCAACAAUCAAUUCACAGGCCAUUUGCCAAUUCAAUACUUUAAGAAUAUGAAAUCAACUGAUAAUUUGUAUCGUUAUCAGAAUGACACAGGAGUUUUUUCUUUCCAUUAUGAAGCAUCUGUCUCAUUAACUGUGAAGGGAACAGAGUAUGAAGUGAAAAAUAUCCUUCAUAUUUACACAACCAUUGAUCUGUCCUGCAACAAGUUUCAAGGAGAAAUUCCUGACGUUAUUGGAGAGCUUAGAUGGCUUGCAUUGCUGAACUUAUCUCAUAAUAGUCUAACAGGACAUAUCCCAUCAUUGCUGAGAAAUAUGAAAGGACUCCAAUCUUUAGAUUUGUCUUCAAAUCAACUGAAAGGGGCUAUUCCACUUCAGUUAACUGCAUUGACAUUUCUAGAGGUCUUGAACCUCUCGGGAAACCAUCUUAGUGGAGAGAUUCCUCAGAAAGGGCAGUUCAGCACAUUUAACAUUGAUUCUUAUCUAGGAAACUCCGCGUUAUGUGGUUCACCUUUGAUGAAGAAAUGUGCAAACACAGCAUCACCUCCACAAGAAGCCGGAAAUGGUGAUGAAGAUGAAGCUGGUGAUGAAUUGACAUGGGAAGCAAUCGUGAUGGGAUAUGGAUGUGGACUGAUAUGUGGAUUGUCAUCUGCAUACAUUGUUCUCAAACUAGGAAAGCCUUGGUGGUUUGUGAGAUAUAUCGAAGUACUGCAACAGAAGUUGAUGAAAAGAUAUGCAUGAAGAAAGGUACUGGUAGAUCAAGAUGAACUUGAAAGUUGUUGUCGUGGUAGACAUUUGUGAACCAGUAGUGUACUAGCUGCAUAAGUAUUUGGUAUUAUGUAAUAAUCCGUUUGGUCGGGACUCAAAAUGAUUUCUCUUGCUUCAGGGGUAUUAAUAUUAACCUUGCUAUCUUGAUCAAUGUUAGGGCAAAUUAAAAAGAAUAUAAAAGCAAAAAAUUUGCAUCAAACACCUGUUGUACCAACAUGCAUCCAUUAAUUUGCUUUCAUCUAUUAAGUAACAAUUUAAGAGCGCUUCCACUCUGUUUAAGCAUGGAGAUAACACAAAGAAGGCAAGUCCAUGGACUAAUAUAUUAACACGUAGUCCACAUCUAUGGUAUGAACAAUUCAUAUUGCUCUUCUAUCUGUUCAACAGUCUCCCGAAGAUAGGCCAAAAAUGUCAUCUGUGGUUCUUAUGUUUGUCAGUGAAGGAGAAUCUCUGAUGCCUACACAACCUGGUGUUUUUACAGAAAGGAAUGUAGGUGAAACCAGGGGCGUAAAAUGAAUCAGGACUAAAAUCUGCUAAAAUGAUAAUUAUUUACUCAUCAUUCAAGAUUAGUCGGGCUCAAAGAUUUAUAUGGAUUUUAAGAACAAACUAUGACUAAAUAUGAAAAAAUCAUUAAUUUUUCCGACUCAAUAUUUUUUAGCCUCCCCCGGCCCUGGGUGAAACCAUAAGCUUCUCUGGUGCACAUCCAAAUCAUUCAGUUGGUUCUACUUUCAGCUCACCCACAGGAACAUCAUUCUGCAGGUACUCUUUUAUCUGUACUUUCUUAUAUUGUAUGCCAGUAAAUUUUAUAUCGACAAACUGCACAAUACACCUCGAUCUCAUAUUAUUGACAGGUGAGCUCCUCUCAUAAUGCUCACAGGCGAACCCCUGCAUAUAUACUUUGUGAUGUCAUUGAUGAUCGAUAGACUUGAAAAAAAAUUAUGACAAAGAUUCAUAAAAUAUCUACUUCCAUCCUAAUUCAGUAUUCAAUAUUAUUCAUUCGUAUCAUCAUCCAAUCAAUUCUAAUAGUUCUUCUUUAAAUCAGUACAAAUAUUGUUAAAUACCUGGAUGAUGGUUGUCUUUCCGCGAACCAAUCAUGAAAUUACCUCUGUAUAAAUCCAUCGGAAAUAAGACAGUUAAUAUCCCAAUCGAAUACACCCCGUCAGUUGUCAAACUCCUCGAAACGUAUUAAUCACUUUAGAAAAUUUGUUCCACUGGCGCUAGUCAGUCCCAGAGUUGGUGGUGGGUGCUUCUGGGCUUUCGAAAAGCACCCAUUUACUCCAUUGUUUAGAGAAGUAAAACCCCACCUUCCGCUCAUUUGAUUGAUCAGCUGAAUUAGGCAGAGUUUACAUGGUCAUGAUCAUAGUCUCCCAUNUUAAUAGUCUGACAGGACCUAUCCCAACAUUGCUGAGAAAUAUGAAAUAACUCCAUUACUCCAAUCUUAGAUUUGUCCUCAAAUCAACUGACAGGGGCUAUUCCACCUCUGUUAACUGCAUUGACAUUACUUUUCUCUUUAUAUUCUUUCCUUUUGUAUGUACCUAUGCUAAUUAUCUGAUUAUUAAAAUUAUAACAAAGCUUCAAGAUUUUUAACAGGUGAGCUUCCACUAAAAAUUUGCAAAGUCACUUCCCUUUCGCGUCUCAUUAUGUUAGAUAAUGGGUCAAGUGGUGCACUUCCACAGUGUUUGGGGAACCUUUCUUUGCUUGGUUUCAAUAAUCUUGCUAAUUAUCAAUUUCAAGGACCAAUACCAACGACUGUCCAAGACUUGUCUGUGCAUAUCUAAACAUCCAUAACAAUCACUUUGAAGGUUUGUUGCUCCAAUCUUUGGCAAACUGUAAACACUUACAAAUUCUUGAUAUUGGAAACAACGUUGGAGAGCUAGAUGUCCCAGUUAGGGCGGUAAUUCGACUAGAGCAAACCGAGUUUUGAGCGGAGCCAAAUUCGAGCCAAGUUUAAUCGAGUCGAGCCGAGUCGGCUCGUUUAGCUAAUCGAGCCUAAAACUUAGCCCGAACUCGACUCAUUUAAUUUCACGAGUCGAGUCGAGCCAACUCGUUUAGCUAAAUGAGCUGAUUUUAACAAGUCGAGCGAGCGAGCUCGUAUAAUUUUAACUUAGUCGAGCCUGAAUCUCUACCCAAACUAUUGGCUCGUGUAAUUUCGCGAGUCGAAUCGAGCCGGCUCGUUUUAUUAAACAAGCCGAAAUUUUUGCCCGAAUUUGCUCGUUUAACAAGCCGAUCUGAGCCUAGUUAAAUGAGUUCGAGUUAGUCGAGCUCGCGAGCUGCGAGCUCACCUGCCAGCUCUAGUCCUAGUCUUGCAAUCAAAUAGGUUUAACGGUAUAGAAAGUGGAAGGAGCACAAGGCAUCCAUUCCCCAAGGCUAUUUACCAAUUCAGUACUUUGAGGAUACAAAAUCAUUCUGCAGGUACUCUUGUAUCUGUACUUUCUUGUACUGUAUGCCACUUUGACAGUAGAGUAAAAUUUAUAUCGACAAACUGCAUAUGUUCUGAACUACUCCUCUAUCCCAAAUUAGAUGAGCUAGUUGACUUUGAGCACGUAACUUAAGGUACAUUGACCAACUAGUUCCGAUAUUUAUUUUUUUAAUUUUUCUUUUGUAAAUGAAAAUUUCAUAUUUAAAUUUUUAUUUGCAAAACUAAAAUUUAAAAAUAUGUAAUGUGGCUAUGCGGUCAAUGUCAACGAGCUCAUCUAAUUUGGGAUUGGGAUGCAGGGAGUAUUACGUACUAUGUUAUGCAAGCUGUUUACAACUUUCAUCAAAAUUUUCAAACAUUUCUGAAUAUGUAUUUUCAAAGAAUUCUCGGGCACUCUUAAGGCCUAUAAUUAUUGGAACUCUCACGUUAUGGACCAGAGGACCACUAUGUAUUUUACAAGCACGACGAAUCAUGUGGUCAUUAUGGACUCCCCAAGCCUUAGAGGACUCAUUCCAGGUUUUAGGAGGACCACUGCCUAGCUCACCCUUUCGGAGUGAUGUAAAUUAGUUUCCAGACACUAAAAAUAAGUAAUCAGAUUAAUCAUUACAAAAUUUUGAUAUAAAAUCAGAAUAAAUCCUAAACUUUGAUGAUACAAAAAAAAUUAUAAUUGUAAAUUAUACAAUCAAAUUAAGAUCGAAUUAACUUCCCUCACACUUAAAAUUUAUAGCGAUCAAAUCAAAAUCGAAUUAACUUUCCUAUUACUAAAAUUUAAUUACAAUAUUAUUAGAUAAAGAGAAUAUAUAAUAAUCAAGAGAAAAUAGAUUUUUUUUUGCCACUCAACUUAUUGUGUUUUAAGAAACUUACCACCCAACUAAAUUUUUUUCCUUUUGCUCACUAAUGUUAGGUUUGGAUUUGUUUUUAGCCACCAAAUAAGGUUCGGAUUUGAUUACCAGCAUUAUGAUAAUUUUUUUUGUCACUAAACUUAUUGCGUCUUUAGAAACUAACCACUGAACUAAAUUUUUUUUAUUUUACUCACUAAUGUUAGAUUUAGUUUUUUUUGUCACUAUAGUUAGGUUCAGAUUUGAUUAUUAGCAUUACAUUAAUUCUGUGUAGCAUUUUUAAAAUAUGGUAGUAGUCUGUGAUAUUUAGAUGAUUUGAUAUAUGUCUGUAUUUUUAUAUAUAGUAUAUUUUAUGUCCCCAAGGUCGUUUACCUUGGGUCAUAAAAAUUUUACACUCAUUUUAUGACUUUUAAAAGAUGUAGUUUCAUAAAUAAUUUUAUUUUUUUCUUUCGAAUUAAAAUUCAGCAUUUGAAUUUUACACACAAAAAAAUCGCAAGAAUAAGAUAUGAAACUAUGCUUUACAAGAGUCUUAAAAUACGUGCUAAACGGUAGAAAAAACUGUAAACUAAUGAGAGGUACAUAGGGAGUAAUAAUAACAUAAAAUGAUGCACAAUCAUCGAAUUAAGUUUUCCUCUCUCUAUAUAUUUAUUUUGUAAAUUUUAAUAAGAUAAAGUUAUUAAAAUUUAUGAUAUAAAUUUAAGAGAUAUCUUAGAUUGAGUGGCAAAAAUUUAGUUGGGUGGUAAGUUUCUAAAAACACAAUAAAUUGAGUGGGAACAAAAUCUAUUUUCCCAAUAAUGAGUGGGAAUAAAAUCUAUUUUCCCAAUAAUCAAAGUGACGAAAAAUCAAAGUCAUCUAAUAAGUCCAGAAAAAAUAUGACCAUUAGUAUAUUGAAAUAAUAUUCACGCAUUUAUAUACGAGAAUAUAUGGUCCACAAGUUAGUGCACAAUGUCCAAGAAUCUUUAUCAAAUAACACGGCAAGCAUGCAGCAUAUAAAUAAGAGUGGGCAGUAUGGUAUUGCAUUCAUAACCCACUUGAGCAGAAAUAUGGCACACUUCCUAAAGCCUUCUCACCUUCUUCUCUUUGUUUUCUUUCUCUCGUUACUUCAAUCCAUUCUACCAACAAGACCAGAGGGAGAAGCUCUUGUGAAAUGGAAGAAUAGCCUAGCCCCGUCUUCUUUUCUCGAUUCUUGGUCACUAACCAAUCUCGAUAAUCUUUGUAACUGGACUGGCAUUACUUGUAACUCUGCAGGUUCAGUCUCUGGGAUUAACCUUUAUGAGAAACAACUUGAUGGAAUGCUGUCCGAGUUUGGCUUCACUUCAUUUCCGAAUCUCAACAAUCUCACCCUCGCAUACAACUUCUUCUCGGGUCCAAUACCACCAGCCAUUGAGAAUUUAACACAGCUUCAAUAUCUUGAUUUAAGCAUCAAUAGUCUCGAUGGUCCCAUUCCUUUCCAGGUUAGCCAUCUUCAGAGGUUGCUCGUCCUAAACCUGUCACAGAAUGCAUUGCAAGCUCCAAAUUGGUCCCAUUUCUCUUCCAUGCCUUUUUUGCGCAUCCUCAAGCUCAGUAGGAAUCAUCUUGUAUCGAAAUUUCCAGAAUUUAUAUCCAAUUCUCAUAGCUUGGCUAUCCUUGACCUUGGCCAGAACAACUUUACAGGUGAUCUUGUGCGUGAAUUUACCAAUCUACAAAAUCUUGAAACCCUCUGGCUUUAUCGUAAUUCUUUUGAGGGGCCAUUUCCGCCGGAUAUAGUCCAGCUUUCCAAACUAAAAGAUCUUGCCCUGUCAAGUAACAAAUUUUCAGGUUCAGUUCCCAAUAACAUAAGGUUGCUUUGUGAUCUUGAAUACCUAUAUUUAGGCAACAAUUCCUUUAAGGGGCCACUUCCACCAAAUAUAUUUAAGCUUUCAAAAUUAAAACAUCUUGUUCUUUGGAGUAAUAAGUUUUCAGGUUCUGUUUCCAAUGAUAUAGGUUUGCUUCAUGAGCUUGUAACCCUCAAUCUUAACUCUAAUUUUUUUGAGGGGCCGCUUCCGCCAAAUGUAUUCAAGCUCUCCAAACUAAAGUUUUUUGCCCUUCAUGAGAAUAACUUUUCAGGUUUUAUUUCUAAGGAUAUAGGUUUGCUUUCCGAACUUGAAAUCCUCUAUUUUGGCUCUAAUUUUUUUGAGGGGCCGCUUCCUCCACAUGUAUUUAGGCUCUCCAAAUUAAGAGGUCUGGACCUCUCACACAAUAGAAAUUUAUUUGAAGGAAGUAUUCCUAUUGGACUGGGACUCUUGACUAACCUCAGGUACUUAGAUCUACAUUCCAAUAAUCUCGGUGGCUAUAUUCCAUCUGACAUUGGAAACCUGAAGCUACUAGUACUUCUUGAUCUCGGUUCUAAUCAAUUGACUGGACCGCUUUCAAAGAUCGUUUCUAAUCUCACAAAUCUUAUAUGUCUUGAUGUAAGUCAUAAUAGUCUUAGUGGAAAUAUUCAGAGUGACUUGUGGAAAUAUAACGAUCAUCCAACUUUGGAAUACAUCAAUUUAAGUGGGAACCAUUUUACGGGUAUAGUUUUUCUCUAUAGAUCUUUUCCUUUUCUCAUAUGUAACUAAGCUAGUAAUCUGAUUAUUGCAGUUUCACCAAAGUUUCAACAAUCUUGACAGGUGAGCUUCCAACAACAAUUUGCAAUGUCACUUCCCUUUCGGUUCUUGAUUUGUCAAAUAAUGAAUUAAGUGGUGCACUUCCAAACUCUUUGGGGAAUCUUGCUGAUGGAAUGCUUUACCUUAAUCUUGCUAAUAAUCAGUUUCGAGGAACAAUACCAACUACUUUCUCCAGGAGUUGUCGGUUGACAUAUCUAAACAUGGAUAAUAAUGAGUUUGAAGGAUUGUUGCCCCCAUCUUUGGCGAACUGUAAGCACUUGAAAAUUCUUGAUAUAGGCAAUAAUAAAAUAGGUGGUACAUUUCCGUCAUGGCUUUAUGCACUUGGAGAGCUAGAAGUUCUUGUCUUGCGAUCAAAUAAACUCUAUGGUACAAUAAGUGGAAGGAGCAUAGAAGAUCCCUUCCCCAAGUUGCGGAUUGUGGAUCUGUCCCACAAUCAAUUGACAGGCUAUUUGCCAAUUCAAUACUUUAAGAAUAUGAAAUCAACUGAUAAUUUGUAUCGUUAUCAGAAUGACACAGGAGUUUUUUCUUUCCAUUAUGAAGCAUCUGUCUCAUUAACUGUGAAGGGAACAGAGUAUGAAGUGAAAAAUAUCCUUCAUAUUUACACAACCAUUGAUCUGUCCUGCAACAAGUUUCAAGGAGAAAUUCCUGACGUUAUUGGAGAGCUUAGAUGGCUUGCAUUGCUGAACUUAUCUCAUAAUAGUCUAACAGGACAUAUCCCAUCAUUGCUGAGAAAUAUGAAAGGACUCCAAUCUUUAGAUUUGUCUUCAAAUCAACUGAAAGGGGCUAUUCCACUUCAGUUAACUGCAUUGACAUUUCUAGAGGUCUUGAACCUCUCGGGAAACCAUCUUAGUGGAGAGAUUCCUCAGAAAGGGCAGUUCAGCACAUUUAACAUUGAUUCUUAUCUAGGAAACUCCGCGUUAUGUGGUUCACCUUUGAUGAAGAAAUGUGCAAACACAGCAUCACCUCCACAAGAAGCCGGAAAUGGUGAUGAAGAUGAAGCUGGUGAUGAAUUGACAUGGGAAGCAAUCGUGAUGGGAUAUGGAUGUGGACUGAUAUGUGGAUUGUCAUCUGCAUACAUUGUUCUCAAACUAGGAAAGCCUUGGUGGUUUGUGAGAUAUAUCGAAGUACUGCAACAGAAGUUGAUGAAAAGAUAUGCAUGAAGAAAGGUACUGGUAGAUCAAGAUGAACUUGAAAGUUGUUGUCGUGGUAGACAUUUGUGAACCAGUAGUGUACUAGCUGCAUAAGUAUUUGGUAUUAUGUAAUAAUCCGUUUGGUCGGGACUCAAAAUGAUUUCUCUUGCUUCAGGGGUAUUAAUAUUAACCUUGCUAUCUUGAUCAAUGUUAGGGCAAAUUAAAAAGAAUAUAAAAGCAAAAAAUUUGCAUCAAACACCUGUUGUACCAACAUGCAUCCAUUAAUUUGCUUUCAUCUAUUAAGUAACAAUUUAAGAGCGCUUCCACUCUGUUUAAGCAUGGAGAUAACACAAAGAAGGCAAGUCCAUGGACUAAUAUAUUAACACGUAGUCCACAUCUAUGGUAUGAACAAUUCAUAUUGCUCUUCUAUCUGUUCAACAGUCUCCCGAAGAUAGGCCAAAAAUGUCAUCUGUGGUUCUUAUGUUUGUCAGUGAAGGAGAAUCUCUGAUGCCUACACAACCUGGUGUUUUUACAGAAAGGAAUGUAGGUGAAACCAGGGGCGUAAAAUGAAUCAGGACUAAAAUCUGCUAAAAUGAUAAUUAUUUACUCAUCAUUCAAGAUUAGUCGGGCUCAAAGAUUUAUAUGGAUUUUAAGAACAAACUAUGACUAAAUAUGAAAAAAUCAUUAAUUUUUCCGACUCAAUAUUUUUUAGCCUCCCCCGGCCCUGGGUGAAACCAUAAGCUUCUCUGGUGCACAUCCAAAUCAUUCAGUUGGUUCUACUUUCAGCUCACCCACAGGAACAUCAUUCUGCAGGUACUCUUUUAUCUGUACUUUCUUAUAUUGUAUGCCAGUAAAUUUUAUAUCGACAAACUGCACAAUACACCUCGAUCUCAUAUUAUUGACAGGUGAGCUCCUCUCAUAAUGCUCACAGGCGAACCCCUGCAUAUAUACUUUGUGAUGUCAUUGAUGAUCGAUAGACUUGAAAAAAAAUUAUGACAAAGAUUCAUAAAAUAUCUACUUCCAUCCUAAUUCAGUAUUCAAUAUUAUUCAUUCGUAUCAUCAUCCAAUCAAUUCUAAUAGUUCUUCUUUAAAUCAGUACAAAUAUUGUUAAAUACCUGGAUGAUGGUUGUCUUUCCGCGAACCAAUCAUGAAAUUACCUCUGUAUAAAUCCAUCGGAAAUAAGACAGUUAAUAUCCCAAUCGAAUACACCCCGUCAGUUGUCAAACUCCUCGAAACGUAUUAAUCACUUUAGAAAAUUUGUUCCACUGGCGCUAGUCAGUCCCAGAGUUGGUGGUGGGUGCUUCUGGGCUUUCGAAAAGCACCCAUUUACUCCAUUGUUUAGAGAAGUAAAACCCCACCUUCCGCUCAUUUGAUUGAUCAGCUGAAUUAGGCAGAGUUUACAUGGUCAUGAUCAUAGUCUCCCAUAUAUCCCUGAUACGCACAUUAUAGUGGAUUUAUCUUUAUCAGUGAUUUCUGUGGAGAUGCAUAAUCAUUAUAAGCUCCAAUAUAAAAUUUUAAAGUUAGUAUGGGAAUUUGUGUUGAUAAUUUGCGCAAUGUUAACAGGAUUGCUCCCAAGUCUUGGACGGACUCUUUCAAAGUCUUCUCAGGACCCAUCUGCACACUAAUUUGUCUGCCAACUAAAAAAUCAACAAUAUGUUACUCCCUCCGUUUUUCUUAAACUGAGGUUAAAAUUUUUGACACAAGAUGGGUUGACAGUAUAAAAUUAAAAUAUUUGUGAAUAAAAAUUUUGGUUAUAUUUUUUAUUUAAAAAGAAAAUCUUGAAAAUAAUAUUAUUAACUACCAGUCAGAUCACUUAAGUGUAUGUCCAAAAUUAAAGCGGCAUAUAAAAAAAAGGGAGGAAGCAUGUACUAACUGUUUCCAUAACAGUUUACAAGUAUAAGCUAUACCCCCUCUCUAUUUUUUUCUAUGACAGCUUUGAUUUUGGGCACACAUUCUUAAGUGUUUUGACCGGAUAGUUAAAAAUUUAUCUUCUAAAAUUUUUAAAAAAAGUAAAAUCGCAAAAAAAAUUAGAAAGCUGGUAUUUUUGAUAAAUUUCCAAAUAUGUAAUCAAGAAAAAUAACUUUUACUAUCCAAUCAACUCAUUUAAAGAUGUGUGUCAAAAAUCAAAAUAUCAUACAAAAAAUAGGUAUACAUUUUUUUAAUAGAUUAUACUCCCUCUGUUCCAAAAUAAGUGUCAGCUGGGGGUAAUAACAAGACCUUAGUCAACCCAAGCACAGCAGACAGCAGGCAUAAGGCAUCAGGAAUUUCACAGGACCAUUAUCUUUCUCUUAUUAACUGUGAAGGGAACAGCGUAUGAAGUAGCAAGAACCUUCAUAUUUACACAGCCAUUGAUCUGUCGUGCAACAAAUUUCAGGGAGAAAUUCCAAAGGUUACCGGAGAGCUUAGAUGGCUUGCAUUGCUCAAUUUAUCGCAUAAUUAAUAGUCUGACAGGACCUAUCCCAACAUUGCUGAGAAAUAUGAAAUAACUCCAUUACUCCAAUCUUAGAUUUGUCCUCAAAUCAACUGACAGGGGCUAUUCCACCUCUGUUAACUGCAUUGACAUUACUUUUCUCUUUAUAUUCUUUCCUUUUGUAUGUACCUAUGCUAAUUAUCUGAUUAUUAAAAUUAUAACAAAGCUUCAAGAUUUUUAACAGGUGAGCUUCCACUAAAAAUUUGCAAAGUCACUUCCCUUUCGCGUCUCAUUAUGUUAGAUAAUGGGUCAAGUGGUGCACUUCCACAGUGUUUGGGGAACCUUUCUUUGCUUGGUUUCAAUAAUCUUGCUAAUUAUCAAUUUCAAGGACCAAUACCAACGACUGUCCAAGACUUGUCUGUGCAUAUCUAAACAUCCAUAACAAUCACUUUGAAGGUUUGUUGCUCCAAUCUUUGGCAAACUGUAAACACUUACAAAUUCUUGAUAUUGGAAACAACGUUGGAGAGCUAGAUGUCCCAGUUAGGGCGGUAAUUCGACUAGAGCAAACCGAGUUUUGAGCGGAGCCAAAUUCGAGCCAAGUUUAAUCGAGUCGAGCCGAGUCGGCUCGUUUAGCUAAUCGAGCCUAAAACUUAGCCCGAACUCGACUCAUUUAAUUUCACGAGUCGAGUCGAGCCAACUCGUUUAGCUAAAUGAGCUGAUUUUAACAAGUCGAGCGAGCGAGCUCGUAUAAUUUUAACUUAGUCGAGCCUGAAUCUCUACCCAAACUAUUGGCUCGUGUAAUUUCGCGAGUCGAAUCGAGCCGGCUCGUUUUAUUAAACAAGCCGAAAUUUUUGCCCGAAUUUGCUCGUUUAACAAGCCGAUCUGAGCCUAGUUAAAUGAGUUCGAGUUAGUCGAGCUCGCGAGCUGCGAGCUCACCUGCCAGCUCUAGUCCUAGUCUUGCAAUCAAAUAGGUUUAACGGUAUAGAAAGUGGAAGGAGCACAAGGCAUCCAUUCCCCAAGGCUAUUUACCAAUUCAGUACUUUGAGGAUACAAAAUCAUUCUGCAGGUACUCUUGUAUCUGUACUUUCUUGUACUGUAUGCCACUUUGACAGUAGAGUAAAAUUUAUAUCGACAAACUGCAUAUGUUCUGAACUACUCCUCUAUCCCAAAUUAGAUGAGCUAGUUGACUUUGAGCACGUAACUUAAGGUACAUUGACCAACUAGUUCCGAUAUUUAUUUUUUUAAUUUUUCUUUUGUAAAUGAAAAUUUCAUAUUUAAAUUUUUAUUUGCAAAACUAAAAUUUAAAAAUAUGUAAUGUGGCUAUGCGGUCAAUGUCAACGAGCUCAUCUAAUUUGGGAUUGGGAUGCAGGGAGUAUUACGUACUAUGUUAUGCAAGCUGUUUACAACUUUCAUCAAAAUUUUCAAACAUUUCUGAAUAUGUAUUUUCAAAGAAUUCUCGGGCACUCUUAAGGCCUAUAAUUAUUGGAACUCUCACGUUAUGGACCAGAGGACCACUAUGUAUUUUACAAGCACGACGAAUCAUGUGGUCAUUAUGGACUCCCCAAGCCUUAGAGGACUCAUUCCAGGUUUUAGGAGGACCACUGCCUAGCUCACCCUUUCGGAGUGAUGUAAAUUAGUUUCCAGACACUAAAAAUAAGUAAUCAGAUUAAUCAUUACAAAAUUUUGAUAUAAAAUCAGAAUAAAUCCUAAACUUUGAUGAUACAAAAAAAAUUAUAAUUGUAAAUUAUACAAUCAAAUUAAGAUCGAAUUAACUUCCCUCACACUUAAAAUUUAUAGCGAUCAAAUCAAAAUCGAAUUAACUUUCCUAUUACUAAAAUUUAAUUACAAUAUUAUUAGAUAAAGAGAAUAUAUAAUAAUCAAGAGAAAAUAGAUUUUUUUUUGCCACUCAACUUAUUGUGUUUUAAGAAACUUACCACCCAACUAAAUUUUUUUCCUUUUGCUCACUAAUGUUAGGUUUGGAUUUGUUUUUAGCCACCAAAUAAGGUUCGGAUUUGAUUACCAGCAUUAUGAUAAUUUUUUUUGUCACUAAACUUAUUGCGUCUUUAGAAACUAACCACUGAACUAAAUUUUUUUUAUUUUACUCACUAAUGUUAGAUUUAGUUUUUUUUGUCACUAUAGUUAGGUUCAGAUUUGAUUAUUAGCAUUACAUUAAUUCUGUGUAGCAUUUUUAAAAUAUGGUAGUAGUCUGUGAUAUUUAGAUGAUUUGAUAUAUGUCUGUAUUUUUAUAUAUAGUAUAUUUUAUGUCCCCAAGGUCGUUUACCUUGGGUCAUAAAAAUUUUACACUCAUUUUAUGACUUUUAAAAGAUGUAGUUUCAUAAAUAAUUUUAUUUUUUUCUUUCGAAUUAAAAUUCAGCAUUUGAAUUUUACACACAAAAAAAUCGCAAGAAUAAGAUAUGAAACUAUGCUUUACAAGAGUCUUAAAAUACGUGCUAAACGGUAGAAAAAACUGUAAACUAAUGAGAGGUACAUAGGGAGUAAUAAUAACAUAAAAUGAUGCACAAUCAUCGAAUUAAGUUUUCCUCUCUCUAUAUAUUUAUUUUGUAAAUUUUAAUAAGAUAAAGUUAUUAAAAUUUAUGAUAUAAAUUUAAGAGAUAUCUUAGAUUGAGUGGCAAAAAUUUAGUUGGGUGGUAAGUUUCUAAAAACACAAUAAAUUGAGUGGGAACAAAAUCUAUUUUCCCAAUAAUGAGUGGGAAUAAAAUCUAUUUUCCCAAUAAUCAAAGUGACGAAAAAUCAAAGUCAUCUAAUAAGUCCAGAAAAAAUAUGACCAUUAGUAUAUUGAAAUAAUAUUCACGCAUUUAUAUACGAGAAUAUAUGGUCCACAAGUUAGUGCACAAUGUCCAAGAAUCUUUAUCAAAUAACACGGCAAGCAUGCAGCAUAUAAAUAAGAGUGGGCAGUAUGGUAUUGCAUUCAUAACCCACUUGAGCAGAAAUAUGGCACACUUCCUAAAGCCUUCUCACCUUCUUCUCUUUGUUUUCUUUCUCUCGUUACUUCAAUCCAUUCUACCAACAAGACCAGAGGGAGAAGCUCUUGUGAAAUGGAAGAAUAGCCUAGCCCCGUCUUCUUUUCUCGAUUCUUGGUCACUAACCAAUCUCGAUAAUCUUUGUAACUGGACUGGCAUUACUUGUAACUCUGCAGGUUCAGUCUCUGGGAUUAACCUUUAUGAGAAACAACUUGAUGGAAUGCUGUCCGAGUUUGGCUUCACUUCAUUUCCGAAUCUCAACAAUCUCACCCUCGCAUACAACUUCUUCUCGGGUCCAAUACCACCAGCCAUUGAGAAUUUAACACAGCUUCAAUAUCUUGAUUUAAGCAUCAAUAGUCUCGAUGGUCCCAUUCCUUUCCAGGUUAGCCAUCUUCAGAGGUUGCUCGUCCUAAACCUGUCACAGAAUGCAUUGCAAGCUCCAAAUUGGUCCCAUUUCUCUUCCAUGCCUUUUUUGCGCAUCCUCAAGCUCAGUAGGAAUCAUCUUGUAUCNUUUUUAUUUAAAAAGAAAAUCUUGAAAAUAAUAUUAUUAACUACCAGUCAGAUCACUUAAGUGUAUGUCCAAAAUUAAAGCGGCAUAUAAAAAAAAGGGAGGAAGCAUGUACUAACUGUUUCCAUAACAGUUUACAAGUAUAAGCUAUACCCCCUCUCUAUUUUUUUCUAUGACAGCUUUGAUUUUGGGCACACAUUCUUAAGUGUUUUGACCGGAUAGUUAAAAAUUUAUCUUCUAAAAUUUUUAAAAAAAGUAAAAUCGCAAAAAAAAUUAGAAAGCUGGUAUUUUUGAUAAAUUUCCAAAUAUGUAAUCAAGAAAAAUAACUUUUACUAUCCAAUCAACUCAUUUAAAGAUGUGUGUCAAAAAUCAAAAUAUCAUACAAAAAAUAGGUAUACAUUUUUUUAAUAGAUUAUACUCCCUCUGUUCCAAAAUAAGUGUCAGCUGGGGGUAAUAACAAGACCUUAGUCAACCCAAGCACAGCAGACAGCAGGCAUAAGGCAUCAGGAAUUUCACAGGACCAUUAUCUUUCUCUUAUUAACUGUGAAGGGAACAGCGUAUGAAGUAGCAAGAACCUUCAUAUUUACACAGCCAUUGAUCUGUCGUGCAACAAAUUUCAGGGAGAAAUUCCAAAGGUUACCGGAGAGCUUAGAUGGCUUGCAUUGCUCAAUUUAUCGCAUAAUUAAUAGUCUGACAGGACCUAUCCCAACAUUGCUGAGAAAUAUGAAAUAACUCCAUUACUCCAAUCUUAGAUUUGUCCUCAAAUCAACUGACAGGGGCUAUUCCACCUCUGUUAACUGCAUUGACAUUACUUUUCUCUUUAUAUUCUUUCCUUUUGUAUGUACCUAUGCUAAUUAUCUGAUUAUUAAAAUUAUAACAAAGCUUCAAGAUUUUUAACAGGUGAGCUUCCACUAAAAAUUUGCAAAGUCACUUCCCUUUCGCGUCUCAUUAUGUUAGAUAAUGGGUCAAGUGGUGCACUUCCACAGUGUUUGGGGAACCUUUCUUUGCUUGGUUUCAAUAAUCUUGCUAAUUAUCAAUUUCAAGGACCAAUACCAACGACUGUCCAAGACUUGUCUGUGCAUAUCUAAACAUCCAUAACAAUCACUUUGAAGGUUUGUUGCUCCAAUCUUUGGCAAACUGUAAACACUUACAAAUUCUUGAUAUUGGAAACAACGUUGGAGAGCUAGAUGUCCCAGUUAGGGCGGUAAUUCGACUAGAGCAAACCGAGUUUUGAGCGGAGCCAAAUUCGAGCCAAGUUUAAUCGAGUCGAGCCGAGUCGGCUCGUUUAGCUAAUCGAGCCUAAAACUUAGCCCGAACUCGACUCAUUUAAUUUCACGAGUCGAGUCGAGCCAACUCGUUUAGCUAAAUGAGCUGAUUUUAACAAGUCGAGCGAGCGAGCUCGUAUAAUUUUAACUUAGUCGAGCCUGAAUCUCUACCCAAACUAUUGGCUCGUGUAAUUUCGCGAGUCGAAUCGAGCCGGCUCGUUUUAUUAAACAAGCCGAAAUUUUUGCCCGAAUUUGCUCGUUUAACAAGCCGAUCUGAGCCUAGUUAAAUGAGUUCGAGUUAGUCGAGCUCGCGAGCUGCGAGCUCACCUGCCAGCUCUAGUCCUAGUCUUGCAAUCAAAUAGGUUUAACGGUAUAGAAAGUGGAAGGAGCACAAGGCAUCCAUUCCCCAAGGCUAUUUACCAAUUCAGUACUUUGAGGAUACAAAAUCAUUCUGCAGGUACUCUUGUAUCUGUACUUUCUUGUACUGUAUGCCACUUUGACAGUAGAGUAAAAUUUAUAUCGACAAACUGCAUAUGUUCUGAACUACUCCUCUAUCCCAAAUUAGAUGAGCUAGUUGACUUUGAGCACGUAACUUAAGGUACAUUGACCAACUAGUUCCGAUAUUUAUUUUUUUAAUUUUUCUUUUGUAAAUGAAAAUUUCAUAUUUAAAUUUUUAUUUGCAAAACUAAAAUUUAAAAAUAUGUAAUGUGGCUAUGCGGUCAAUGUCAACGAGCUCAUCUAAUUUGGGAUUGGGAUGCAGGGAGUAUUACGUACUAUGUUAUGCAAGCUGUUUACAACUUUCAUCAAAAUUUUCAAACAUUUCUGAAUAUGUAUUUUCAAAGAAUUCUCGGGCACUCUUAAGGCCUAUAAUUAUUGGAACUCUCACGUUAUGGACCAGAGGACCACUAUGUAUUUUACAAGCACGACGAAUCAUGUGGUCAUUAUGGACUCCCCAAGCCUUAGAGGACUCAUUCCAGGUUUUAGGAGGACCACUGCCUAGCUCACCCUUUCGGAGUGAUGUAAAUUAGUUUCCAGACACUAAAAAUAAGUAAUCAGAUUAAUCAUUACAAAAUUUUGAUAUAAAAUCAGAAUAAAUCCUAAACUUUGAUGAUACAAAAAAAAUUAUAAUUGUAAAUUAUACAAUCAAAUUAAGAUCGAAUUAACUUCCCUCACACUUAAAAUUUAUAGCGAUCAAAUCAAAAUCGAAUUAACUUUCCUAUUACUAAAAUUUAAUUACAAUAUUAUUAGAUAAAGAGAAUAUAUAAUAAUCAAGAGAAAAUAGAUUUUUUUUUGCCACUCAACUUAUUGUGUUUUAAGAAACUUACCACCCAACUAAAUUUUUUUCCUUUUGCUCACUAAUGUUAGGUUUGGAUUUGUUUUUAGCCACCAAAUAAGGUUCGGAUUUGAUUACCAGCAUUAUGAUAAUUUUUUUUGUCACUAAACUUAUUGCGUCUUUAGAAACUAACCACUGAACUAAAUUUUUUUUAUUUUACUCACUAAUGUUAGAUUUAGUUUUUUUUGUCACUAUAGUUAGGUUCAGAUUUGAUUAUUAGCAUUACAUUAAUUCUGUGUAGCAUUUUUAAAAUAUGGUAGUAGUCUGUGAUAUUUAGAUGAUUUGAUAUAUGUCUGUAUUUUUAUAUAUAGUAUAUUUUAUGUCCCCAAGGUCGUUUACCUUGGGUCAUAAAAAUUUUACACUCAUUUUAUGACUUUUAAAAGAUGUAGUUUCAUAAAUAAUUUUAUUUUUUUCUUUCGAAUUAAAAUUCAGCAUUUGAAUUUUACACACAAAAAAAUCGCAAGAAUAAGAUAUGAAACUAUGCUUUACAAGAGUCUUAAAAUACGUGCUAAACGGUAGAAAAAACUGUAAACUAAUGAGAGGUACAUAGGGAGUAAUAAUAACAUAAAAUGAUGCACAAUCAUCGAAUUAAGUUUUCCUCUCUCUAUAUAUUUAUUUUGUAAAUUUUAAUAAGAUAAAGUUAUUAAAAUUUAUGAUAUAAAUUUAAGAGAUAUCUUAGAUUGAGUGGCAAAAAUUUAGUUGGGUGGUAAGUUUCUAAAAACACAAUAAAUUGAGUGGGAACAAAAUCUAUUUUCCCAAUAAUGAGUGGGAAUAAAAUCUAUUUUCCCAAUAAUCAAAGUGACGAAAAAUCAAAGUCAUCUAAUAAGUCCAGAAAAAAUAUGACCAUUAGUAUAUUGAAAUAAUAUUCACGCAUUUAUAUACGAGAAUAUAUGGUCCACAAGUUAGUGCACAAUGUCCAAGAAUCUUUAUCAAAUAACACGGCAAGCAUGCAGCAUAUAAAUAAGAGUGGGCAGUAUGGUAUUGCAUUCAUAACCCACUUGAGCAGAAAUAUGGCACACUUCCUAAAGCCUUCUCACCUUCUUCUCUUUGUUUUCUUUCUCUCGUUACUUCAAUCCAUUCUACCAACAAGACCAGAGGGAGAAGCUCUUGUGAAAUGGAAGAAUAGCCUAGCCCCGUCUUCUUUUCUCGAUUCUUGGUCACUAACCAAUCUCGAUAAUCUUUGUAACUGGACUGGCAUUACUUGUAACUCUGCAGGUUCAGUCUCUGGGAUUAACCUUUAUGAGAAACAACUUGAUGGAAUGCUGUCCGAGUUUGGCUUCACUUCAUUUCCGAAUCUCAACAAUCUCACCCUCGCAUACAACUUCUUCUCGGGUCCAAUACCACCAGCCAUUGAGAAUUUAACACAGCUUCAAUAUCUUGAUUUAAGCAUCAAUAGUCUCGAUGGUCCCAUUCCUUUCCAGGUUAGCCAUCUUCAGAGGUUGCUCGUCCUAAACCUGUCACAGAAUGCAUUGCAAGCUCCAAAUUGGUCCCAUUUCUCUUCCAUGCCUUUUUUGCGCAUCCUCAAGCUCAGUAGGAAUCAUCUUGUAUCGAAAUUUCCAGAAUUUAUAUCCAAUUCUCAUAGCUUGGCUAUCCUUGACCUUGGCCAGAACAACUUUACAGGUGAUCUUGUGCGUGAAUUUACCAAUCUACAAAAUCUUGAAACCCUCUGGCUUUAUCGUAAUUCUUUUGAGGGGCCAUUUCCGCCGGAUAUAGUCCAGCUUUCCAAACUAAAAGAUCUUGCCCUGUCAAGUAACAAAUUUUCAGGUUCAGUUCCCAAUAACAUAAGGUUGCUUUGUGAUCUUGAAUACCUAUAUUUAGGCAACAAUUCCUUUAAGGGGCCACUUCCACCAAAUAUAUUUAAGCUUUCAAAAUUAAAACAUCUUGUUCUUUGGAGUAAUAAGUUUUCAGGUUCUGUUUCCAAUGAUAUAGGUUUGCUUCAUGAGCUUGUAACCCUCAAUCUUAACUCUAAUUUUUUUGAGGGGCCGCUUCCGCCAAAUGUAUUCAAGCUCUCCAAACUAAAGUUUUUUGCCCUUCAUGAGAAUAACUUUUCAGGUUUUAUUUCUAAGGAUAUAGGUUUGCUUUCCGAACUUGAAAUCCUCUAUUUUGGCUCUAAUUUUUUUGAGGGGCCGCUUCCUCCACAUGUAUUUAGGCUCUCCAAAUUAAGAGGUCUGGACCUCUCACACAAUAGAAAUUUAUUUGAAGGAAGUAUUCCUAUUGGACUGGGACUCUUGACUAACCUCAGGUACUUAGAUCUACAUUCCAAUAAUCUCGGUGGCUAUAUUCCAUCUGACAUUGGAAACCUGAAGCUACUAGUACUUCUUGAUCUCGGUUCUAAUCAAUUGACUGGACCGCUUUCAAAGAUCGUUUCUAAUCUCACAAAUCUUAUAUGUCUUGAUGUAAGUCAUAAUAGUCUUAGUGGAAAUAUUCAGAGUGACUUGUGGAAAUAUAACGAUCAUCCAACUUUGGAAUACAUCAAUUUAAGUGGGAACCAUUUUACGGGUAUAGUUUUUCUCUAUAGAUCUUUUCCUUUUCUCAUAUGUAACUAAGCUAGUAAUCUGAUUAUUGCAGUUUCACCAAAGUUUCAACAAUCUUGACAGGUGAGCUUCCAACAACAAUUUGCAAUGUCACUUCCCUUUCGGUUCUUGAUUUGUCAAAUAAUGAAUUAAGUGGUGCACUUCCAAACUCUUUGGGGAAUCUUGCUGAUGGAAUGCUUUACCUUAAUCUUGCUAAUAAUCAGUUUCGAGGAACAAUACCAACUACUUUCUCCAGGAGUUGUCGGUUGACAUAUCUAAACAUGGAUAAUAAUGAGUUUGAAGGAUUGUUGCCCCCAUCUUUGGCGAACUGUAAGCACUUGAAAAUUCUUGAUAUAGGCAAUAAUAAAAUAGGUGGUACAUUUCCGUCAUGGCUUUAUGCACUUGGAGAGCUAGAAGUUCUUGUCUUGCGAUCAAAUAAACUCUAUGGUACGAUAAGUGGAAGGAGCAUAGAAGAUCCCUUCCCCAAGUUGCGGAUUGUGGAUCUGUCCCACAAUCAAUUGACAGGCUAUUUGCCAAUUCAAUACUUUAAGAAUAUGAAAUCAACUGAUAAUUUGUAUCGUUAUCGGAAUUCCACAGGACCAUUAUCUUUCUCUUAUGAAGCAGCAGUCUCAUUAACUGUGAAGGGAACAGAGUACGAGGUAGCAAAGAACCUUCAUAUUUACACAGCCAUUGACCUGUCGUGCAACAAAUUUCAGGGAGAAAUUCCAAAGGUUACUGGAGAGCUUAGAUGGCUUGCAUUGCUGAAUUUAUCUCAUAAUAGUCUGACAGGACCUAUCCCAUCCUUGCUGAAAAAUAUGAAAGAACUCCAAUCUUUAGAUUUGUCCUCAAAUCAACUGACAGGGGCUAUUCCACCUCAGUUAACUGCAUUGACAUUUCUGGAGGUCUUCAACCUCUCGGGAAACCAUCUUAGUGGAGAGAUUCCUCAGAAAGGGCAGUUCAGCACAUUUAACAAUGAUUCUUAUCUAGGAAACUCCGCGUUAUGUGGAUCACCUUUGACAAAGAAAUGUGCAAACACAGCAUCACCUCCACAAGAAGUCGGAAAUGGUGAUGAAGAUGAUGCUGGUGAUGAAU